rnacentral:lncRNA from 1 species
CCUCUUGAUCAUGAAGAGACUAGGCAUAUUUUAUUUUUACAUAAGAGGUCAAGUGUAUACUCAUUGUGUUUGUAUCCCCUUACUCCAGGACAUGGAGUUUCUUAGCUCAAACUCAUAUGAGCUCGGUGAACAGUAAAAUCGUAAAAAAUUCCAAAUUUUUUUUUGUGACAAACAUUUUCAAAAGUUGUCAAUGCCUGCAAAGUUUCAUCGUGAAAUAACAUUUGUAGAAGCUGUGACAAAAAAAUCGAUGCUUCAAAAAUGUCAUUUCCAAAAGCAUUUUGGAGUGAUGAUUUUUUUGUCACUCCUACAAAUGUCAUUUCACGUUGAAAUUUUACAUGCGCUGAAAACAUUUGUCAAUGCUCGUUAAAAAAAUAGAAUUAUUUGAAUCUGUUUAAAAAAAAUCCAAUUUUACUGUUCAUCCCGAGCUUAUUUGAGCUCGAGAUCAGAAGAGUACUUUCGCCUACUUCAUUCCUUUAUAUAAAAAAAUCCAUAGUGUCGUUAUCGACAAUAUGCGGCCAUUUCCUCGGAGAAAAAAUCACUCAUGCGUGACAAAAACAAAUUCUAUGUCAUGCAUCAAGUUUGUCAAGGAAAAUCCAGAAAAACAAAGAUACUUGUAUACUGAUCUGACGGCUGCGGUUUCUUUAUCAAUCUGAUUUGAUGGCGGUUGGCCAGUUACUCCCUGGCCUGGCCGUAAAUUCCGGGAGAGCAGAUCAAAUCAAGAUUUCUGGAAGCCUUUGCGCUCAAGCAAGCGUCGUCGACACACGGCAGCGCCCGAGUGUCCGUGUCUCCGGGCGUCUCGUCGUCCCGCGCUCACCCCGUCCGUCACACGUCGCCCCCCCACUCUCGCUGUCCGUCCGUCAACCCGCGCGUCCAUCCGCCGUCUUUUCCCCCGCGCUGCGCUCCAUGUAAUCGACAGCGUACGCAACCCAUUCAUUCGAGCCGAUGGGUUGCGUGUGCAUCUCGCGAAAAAAUCUACUCUACGAGGGUUUCAGCGCGCGGCAUGGACGACGGGGGCGGUGCGCGGCUCUUCCGUGGCUGGCGACGCUGUGGCCGUUUACCGGUCGACCGGCCGCCCAGCCGGGCGCAUGGACGACGGCCUGCCUGCCGCCCUCUGUGUGUAUGCUAAAGAAGUUGUUGGCCUGCAGUUUGCUUACCCCCUCCGUAGACAUCGACAUGUGAACAAGGUGCCAAGGUCAGGUAGCGCGUAUGUUUCUUAAUCGAAUGUCCAGAUUAACAGAACGGGGUUAACAACCAGGGUUUGCUGGUUUGAAAAGGGUCGUGGGCUAUGGCCUGCAAACUGACCUUGCAACAGCAAAAUGGUGUUUUGUCAACGGUAUAAUUAAACCAAGGACAAACCGAUCGAUGUGAACUCGAUCAUUCUAUAGUACUGCAGGAGCAUUUACUUUUCCAUUUGGCGAUUUGGCACGCGAGACGGCCAUGAACCGGCAGCCACACGCUGUCCACGUGUGCAGGGCUAUGAAGCGUCAGGCGAGCAGGGAGCAGGAGGUAGCAUGAGAUGAGAAGUCGCCCUCGUCACAGCCAUGACAGCCGCCUAAGUGGCCCGACAGGAUGCAAGAGCUAAACUAAUUAGAGCAUGUACAAUGCAUAGCCUUAAGGUGAUGCCUUGCAUGCCAUGUAUGAUCGGAUAUGACGUAAAGUAGGUUCGGAUAGGGAAGCGGGAUCCUUUCCAGGAGGCGGGUGCUUGAAGAGAAAAAGUGUGGUCCGGUGACAAAAGCUAAAAAGGUUGGAGUGAAAAGUAAAGAUGCAUGUGUACUAGAGUCUUUAUUUUCUAUUUCUUAAUAAGGCCCAUUAGUGAUAGCUUACAUUAAGGAGAAAAAUAAAUGCAGGUGCCUCAAAUUACUGUUUGUCAUUUGUCAUGAGGCGUAUGUAUCCAAAUGUCACCAGAUAGACGCCACUGUUGCGGCCGCGGCAUCUGCAUGCCGGAUGCUCUCCGCUUCGGCUACAGGCUUCCCUCCAGCGAGCGAAACCAUCUCCCGGUCUCUGCAGUCUCGACCACCACCAUCUCUCUUCUGGAACGCGUAUAAAAGGGGAGGGGGCGCCUCUGCCUCCUCUCCAUCGCCAUUAGUGCCUCACGCUCCUCAGUCUCAGUGAGAAGAUAGACAGACUACACUGCAAGAAACACUCGAAGGAUCAGCGAGGAGGACCGCGCUGGAGAAGCAGGGCACGUGCAUGCAUGCGGGCGUGCUCGAUCUCAUCCUGCCUCCGUCGGUGGGAUCGGAGCUGCUAGCCCUGCACUGCACUGCACGUGUUCUUCUCCUCCAUCACGGUCUUUCCUCGCUCCGGAGCCCGGCGCCGUCGUCGGCCCGCCCGCCCGCGAGCACGAACCGUACCACGUCGUGUGCCAUCCGGUUCCAUGGUCGAUCCACGAGGUAUGCGUCUUCAAUCUUGAAUCGUACUCCUAGACGUUGUAUGCUCUCCAUGGCCGAGUGAUCCACAAGGUAUGCACUAGCUAGGGCAUCUUCAACCUUGAACCGGCCGCGUUAGUUCCACGCGGCGACACCGAUGAACCAUGCAUCGAACCCCCACCUGCGCGCGCUCAACUCCAGCCGACAAGGCAAUGUAUUUCUCGCAUGUUCUUCGUGUUUUUAAGCUUUUGCGGCGAGCGUUUGCUUUCAGAUCUAGUUGAUUCGUACCGAUCGAUUGCGUAAGACCUGCUACGUACUUUGAUCAUUCAUACUGCUUUUCGCCGGAGAACAGGCUAGCAUGUUCCUGCAAUCCUGCAUAUACCUUUUCUUUUAGAAUAAAUGAUGGAUACUUAAAUAUUUAUACUGGCCCCAAAGGAAUAAUAGUACAAGUUCAUUUCCAUCUCUCUCUAUUAUAAAAGUACUCCAAUUGGCAUGUGUAGAAGAGGCAAGUGCACAUAUCAAAAUUUUGCCUUUAGCGUCUCAACUUGUUUAUAAGUAACCGAAGAUUCAACGCGACAGACAGAGGAACCGACAAGUUCCUUGCGCGCGCUGCCUGCCCCUUGACUGUAUCAAACUGGUGUGCGUGCGCGUGUUCUUCAUACACUGCGUCGGUACGCCUGCCGAUGCGAGCGUGCAUGUCUACAUGUGACGCACACCAGAAUGCGCGUCGCAAACCAACCCUCGGCCCGAUUGGCUACCCCGAUGGCACCAUCGAUCGACCGGGUUAGUGUGGUGCACAUCACGCCCUAGUUUAUAAGUACAGAUAGAUUGGGCGAGUAAUUACAGACAUCUACGUCAGGUACAACUUUUGGGUAACCGUCAUUGUCCCGCGGAUUCACGGUGGCCUGGUCGGAUUUGCUGCUUUAACUCCUUUUGAAAGAUGGUUUUCGUUUUGACAUGACCACGCCGAGAGCUAUAGGCUAUGGCCCUUGCGGUAAUCUCCGUUUUUCUCUAUAGGGGGGGGGGGGAGAAAAUUGGCCUUUUGGCAGGAGGCUAGCUAGGGGCGUAGGAAAACUGAGUGUGACCUUGGCCCCUCUGGGUUGGUGGAGGGAGAUGCGGAUCCGAUCGUGGAGGCAAGUGCACCGAGCAAUUGCAACGACAUUGGGAGCACUCGCCAUUUGGUCGGAUAUUACCUCGGUCCCAAAAUUCUUGUCGUGUUAGAUACAUUCACAUUUAGACAAACCUAAGACAAGAAUAUGAGGAUGAAAGUCCUUCAGCCGAAAAUACUUGUCGAAGAAAUGGAUGUACCUAGACGUAUUUUAGUCCUAGAUAUAUUCAUUUUUAUCCAUUUCUCUGACAAAUAUUUCUGGAUGAAGGGAGUAUAUGCCAGAAGGAAAGCUUGCGAUGACUGUAGUAGCAAUUAUUUCAGUUCAGUCUCUUUUCCAGCAAAGUGUUCUCCUCUUAGAUUUUUGUAUGGGAGUGUUGGUUGUCUUUUUUACCUCUCUACAGCUUACGACUCGAUGUCACUAGGCACCAGCCCACUAGCAGCUAGGUGUGCUCCGUACGCGACGUACUACUGAGAUCCAGCACGAUUGCACGAAUCCCUGGCGUAACUGAGAUAGCGUAGAGAAGCAUCACGCCAAGUUUUUAAGCAAUUUAUAACUUGUUUUACAACAAAAUUGUUAAUUAGUUUGUUUGAAACUUCGGCCAAAUUAGACUCCAUGCUCGGCGCAACCCUUUAUGAUGCCGAAGGUGUGUAUAUCCAUGCAUGCCACUUCUGCUGGCCGCCUCUCAGAGUGCCCCAGGCCCAACAUUGUGGCUUGGUUGGGACCUCCGGCUUUAGAUGUUAGGCUUUGGUGCAAAGUUUGUUUGGUAUUCGACUCGGACUAUCGACAUCCCUUCAUCAAGUGGAUAGGAAUAGUGACAUAUGUUGUCAAGAUGAUGACUUCAGACUUACUGAUGUAUUACCUUGUAAGGUCUUUGUGAAUAAUUAAUAAAGUAGCCACAUGCAUCGCCCAGAUGCAGAGGUCGGGGGUCAUCCUCCUUUUCUAUAAAAAAUGCCACUUGUGCUGGCGCCAAGAUAGAUGUCAUGCCAUAUUGCCAUGUGAUGAGGCGGAACCCCCUCGCGUCGCCACCCCAGGGUGACGCUACGGUGGCCCAAACCCUAGCGCCGCCAGCCCCUCCUCCCUGGCAGAUUCCUACCGCCAGCAUUGGCCGCGGUGGCGAUGGCGCCCGGUGCGAAAGGUGCUAGGGUGGGAAGGUUGCGGUGGUUCCCCCAUGAGGCGGCUAGGGCGGCUCGUGUGGGGUGGCCUUGAACGGCUGGCCUGAAAGGAGCUCUUGGCUGUGCGGCGGUAGCCGGUUACCAGAUGGUCGGCGGGAUGAUCCCGUGGGCUACCCUGUUGUGUGAUGGGUGGCGGCGGUGGUUGUGGAUCUGGCGUCCCGGCCAAAUCUAUCGCGGCGUGGCUUUGACCGGCCGGCGGCGCGUGGUGGGAUCUGUGUGGGUCACCUGGAGGCCCUCUAUUGCCAUUCAAGUGGUGUCGUACGCCCACAUGGCGAAGCUGCAUGCAGAUCCAGUCGGCGGCAAGAUAUGGGUGGCGCAACUUUCGAUGAAAAUCAUGCCGACUUCGGUCAUGACGGACGAUGACGGCAUCUGCAACAGCGUUUCCUUGUUGAGACAUCAUCGUCGCAGGUUGCGUCAUCACGCUCGGGAUGUUCCGGAGGAAAACCCUAGAUCUUGGUCUCCCGGGUCGGUCGAUGACGGCACCUUCCAUGUCGUUCUCCCUCUUGGGGGCAUCAUUUUGGAGCACGUGCUGGCUGGAGGGGACAAGAGGUGGAACGGUGUUGCAUCUUCAACAUUGACGACAGCGGGUCUCAGUGGCGUGGCGCAGUGGAGUGUCGAGGCUGGAUGCUUGUUGAUGGGCGCGCACAGGAGGGUGGCGAUCUCCGGCGUCGACGACAGAAUGGUCUGGCAAAGUCAACGCAUUGGCCACUUCUGAAGAUGGGACGGUGAAAUAUGAUGGCGACGGAUUAUAGAGUGUGCGCCGAGGGUCUGCUAGAAUGGUUGGCGCUCCCCGCAAUUGGCUUGGUGAGGCUACCAGAUUACUUGGUUCGUGAUGGUGCGAGGUCAUGGCACAUCAUUAUAGGUAGGGCGACAGUGUUCACUAGAAAGAUGGCUUUAGAUUGAUUCAUUCAUUUAUUUUCAUACGGCUUUGUUGAAUAAUAUACUCUACUCCCUCCGAUCCUAAAUUUUCAGAGAUUCCAUAAUAUGGACUACAUACGAAGUAAAAUGAGUGAAUCUAUAUUCUAAAUUAUGUCUAUCUACAUCCGUAUGUAGCUCAUGUUAAAAUCUUUAAAAAGACUUAUAUUUAGAAAUAGAUGGAGUAGUUGGUUUUGUUCAUCACUUGAUGCAGAGGUUGGGAGUUAUCCUUCUUUUUGAAGAAAAAAACAUAGAUGCCAUGCCAGCUGGGCCUGGGGCAAUGAUGACCUGGCUCAUGGCGCUGCACGUGCCAUGUCAACGAGAAAAUAAUCGGGACAAAUACAUAUCAGUGCCUUCGAGCGUACUCCUCCUAGACAUGAUCAUGAUCAUGUUCAAUCCAGAUUGAUACUUGUCGGGUCAUAAAAUGACAAAUAAGUUGAAAGAUCAGCAAAAACUUCGGCAUUAGUGAAUUGGGGCGUAUAUAAUCCUAUACGUGAUACAACUUGUGUAGGAUUAGCGGCAAGCCAUGCAUAGAAUCUUGGCGCCGCCAUAGUUCAUUUCCUGAAAAUUGUCGCAAAAAUGUUCAAAUCUUACAGAACUUGGUCUGGUGCGCUCGUACGUGCGUGCAUGGGCACCUUCCCCAUCGGAGCGUCGUCGGGCAAAAGAUCGCCGGUCGGGAGGAAACCCAAGCCAAGCCAUGGAGCAGAAGAGAAGCAAGCGCAAGUGCACACGCAACGGCCGCGUACGAAUCCAUCCAAGGGUCCGGUCAGUUGGACGUCACCACAGCAGCACGGUCCACGGACGCGCGCUGGUUUCCAUGCGCGUCUCCCGGGGGAACGACGGGCAGAGGAGAGCAGCGCGCGAGCCAGGCCAGCCGGCCGGGAUUCGCGGGGGCGCCCGCGAUCUGACGGAAUUUACCGCUGCAAGCUAGCAGCUCCACGGCUGGGAUUCAGAAACGUACUUCUCUACGUUUCCAGCGCCCUGCUGCACUGCUCGCAAGUACGUGCUCUGCUCUGGCCUCUGGGGCGCUGACAUGAAGAUUGGGGAAAGCUACUGCUGCCGAGAGUACAGAGGUGACGGUGGGCGAGCGUGGGAGGGGAGGGGAUGGAAGCGCGUCAACUAUGACACGCGGUGACGCCGCUUGAUUGGCAGCCGCGGUCGAGUCUGUCGGGGGCUCUGUGCGUGCUGCCAUCCCAUGUUUUUUUUAAACAAGGCAAAAGAUUUGCCAUUUUCAUUGAUUAAGAAGAAGAGAGUUGUCCGGUUAAUUAGAGGAAAACCGGACGAAAACCUAAAUUACAAACCCUACAAAGGGCACACACGGACGACCUGGCUACCAACAAAAUCACGACACAACCAACGACACAACCGUCGAGAGGUAGCACCGAACAACAAAGCAACACCAAAUAGUCGACCGCAACGUCGAGGACAUGGCAGCUCCGAUUUUGCCGACGAGCAUCACAGGAGAAAGCUACAAGCCUCGCACCGACCUAGUCCAGCGCAACACCCGAAGAGCACCGCUCGUUGAAAACCGCCCUCAUGGAGUCAUCGUUGCCGCGGUGGCCCCGCCGCCCGCAGCUCCGACUUCUCUGUCACAGCCAGAAGCCAACAUAGGCACACCCAUUGGCGCACCGAACCUUCGGCAUCAGAAGGACAAGUCGCGACCCGGCUCUCCUUGCCACCAUCGUCGUUGCCACACACGUCGCAACGCCACAUCACCUCAUCGCCGGUCGGGCACCUGCCGACCGCAAUGUAGUGCACAUCCAGCCUGCAGGAAUCACAAAUGGGACCAAGAUCUUCAAGACGGCGCCCCCAAGAGGGAAUACGACGUUGAAGACGACGCCGCCGCCUGAUCCAACCAGGAUCAUGACUUUCGCCCGAAGAUCUUGACCCGAGAGUGAAGGAUGCCCAAAACACCUAGACGGCGCCUCCAAGGAAGAAAGCGACGCCCACGGGCGCCGCCGCCGCCGGCCAGCAAGAACCGGCCAAGCUUUCGCUCGGAUCAUCGACACCACCACUCUCACGCAAGCAACUCCACUGACCCGCACACCCCUGCACAACCACAGCGCCAUGACCGUGCAGGACCACCACCACGCCUUGCUGUCGAGUCAACCACGACAAACCACCAGCACGAAGACUGACGCACGUCCUCCGGGCAGGGAAGGGCAGACUGCCACCCCGCAUCCUCCCGCCGGCCAGAUCUGGUGGUCCAAAGACCACGCAGCACGCAGACGCCACAGCCCGAGCCGCCGGAGCUGUGACCUGCCGAAGAACCGCCGUCGCCGAGCUGCCUAGACAGGCAGGACGAGCCUCCCACCACCAGCACACCGCGGCCGCUGCGUCGCCCGCGCGAACUCCACAGUCGCCGACACGUCAACCACCUUCCCGGGCCGCCGCCCCGGAUGACAGCCCUCGAUGCCCGCCAGCGCUCACAGCUCCACCAUGGAGCCGCCAAGCACCACGUCGUCGAUGCACGCCGCAGCCCUCGCCGGCGCCAACAACCCCUCCAUGGAGCCGCCGAGCACCGGCUCGCCGACGCGUCGCGCGCCACUCCGCCGCAGCCACCGAGGGCGGAGAAGCCAGAUCCGGCCAAGCCCGGCCAGGAUCCAGCCGCUCCCCGCGCGAACGCCGUCCCCGUAACCCCGCCAGCCGCCCGCGCCGCCGAGAAGAUGCAGCCGCCGCGCGCGCUACGCUGCGGAAGAGGAGAAAACGCCCCACCGCCACCCUCCCUGGGGCACGCGCGGGCUUCGCCGGCGGCCCCUCUGGCGGCGGCGAUGCGGAGGAGUGGGGGGAGGAGAGCAUUGUGGCGGCGGCGCUAGGUUCCCCCGUGUCGCCCGAGCUAGGCGACGCAGGGGUCUUUUCACCUGCACGUUCUGCUUGUGUUUGGUUGCAGUUGCCAUCCCAUGUGAAAAUGAACAAAACUGGCCCUAUCUGAAGUUUCAACAUAAAAUGACCCCAAUCUGAACAUACACGAAAUGGCCCUCUUUUGAAUGACGCCCGGGCUAGGGCGCCAUGCUAGAGAGCAUGACGUCCCCGGCUAGGGCGCCAUGGUAAUGACAUGUAGCAUGGUGUUGGAAAUAUGCCCUAGAGACAAUAAUAAAAUGGUUAUUAUUGUAUUUCCUUGUUCAUGAUAAUUGUCUAUUGUUCAUGCUAUAAUUGUAUUAACUGGAAACCGUAAUACAUGUGUGAAUACAUAGACCACAACAUGUCCCUAGUAAGCCUCUAGUUGACUAGCUCGUUGAUCAAUAGAUGGUUAUGGUUUCCUGACCAUGGACAUUGGAUGUCAUUGAUAACGGGAUCACAUCAUUAGGAGAAUGAUGUGAUGGACAAGACCCAAUCCUAAGCAUAGCACAAGAUCGUGUAGUUCGUUUGCUAAGAGCUUUUCUAAUGUCAAGUAUCAUUUCCUUAGACCAUGAGAUUGUGCAACUCCCGGAUACCGUAGGAAUGCUUUGGGUGUACCAAACGUCACAACGUAACUGGGUGGCUAUAAAGGUACACUACAGGUAUCUCCGAAAGUGUCUGUUGGGUUGGUACGAAUCGAGACUGGGAUUUGUCACUCCGUAUGACGGAGAGGUAUCUUUGGGCCCACUCGGUAAUGCAUCAUCAUAAUGAGCUCAAUGUGACUAAGUAGUUAGUCACGGGAUCAUGCAUUACGGAACGAGUAAAGUGACUUGCCGGUAACGAGAUUGAACGAGGUAUUGGGAUACCGGCGAUCGAAUCUCGGGCAAGUAACAUACCGAUUGACAAAGGGAAUUGUAUAUGGGAUUGAUUGAAUCCCCGACAUCGUGGUUCAUCCGAUGAGAUCAUCGUGGAACAUGUGGGAGCCAACAUGGGUAUCCAGAUCCCGCUGUUGGUUAUUGGCCGGAGAACGUCUCGGUCAUGUCUGCAUGGUUCCCGAACCCGUAGGGUCUACACACUUAAGGUUCGAUGACGCUAGGGUUAUAGGGAAUAGAUAUACGUGGUUACCAAAUGUUGUUCAGAGUCCCGGAUGAGAUCCCGGACGUCACGAGGAGUUCCGGAAUGGUCCGGAGGUAAAGAAUAAUAUAUAGGAAGUGAGGUUUUGGCCACCGGAAGAGUUUCGGGCGUCACCGGUAAUGUACCGGGACCACCGGAGGGUUCCGGGGGUCUACCGGGAGGGGCCACCAACCCCGGAGGCCUGCGUGGGCCAACUGUGGGAAGGGACCAGCCCCUAGGUGGGCUGGUGCGCCUCCCACAAGAGGUCCAAGGCGCGGGGAAGGGGGAAGGGGGAAAACCCUAGGCGCAGAUGGGCCUAAGGCCCACCCUAGGGCGCGCCCCCCUCUCUCCCCCUCUCGGCCGCCCCCUCCAUCCAACCUAGGGCUGGCCGCCACCCCUAGGGGGGAACCCUAGAUGGGGGCGCAGCCCCUCACCUUCCCCUAUAUAUAGUGGGGGUUUUGGGGCUGCCAUAGACACGAGUCUCCCUCUCUCUUGGCGCAGCCCUAUCCCUCUCCCUCCUCGUCUCUCGCAGUGCUUGGCGAAGCCCUGCUGGAGUGCCACGCUCCUCCAUCACCACCAUGCCGUUGUGCUGCUUCUGGACAGAGUCUUCCCCAACCUCUCCCUCUCUCCUUGCUGGAUCAAGGCACGGGAGACGUCACCGGACUGCAUGUGUGUUGAACGCGGAGGCACCGUUGUUCGGUGCUUAGAUCGGAUUCGGCCACGAUCUGAAUCGCUUCGUGUACGACUCCACCAACCGCGUUCUUGCAACGCUUCCGCAUCGCGAUCUUCAAGGGUAUGAAGAUACACUCCCCUCUCUCUCGUUGCUAGUUAAUCCAUAGAUUGAUCUUGGUGAUGCGUAGAAAAUUUUGAAUUUCUGCUACGUUCCCCAACAGUGGCAUCAUGAGCUAGGUCUAUGCGUAGAUUCUAUGCACGAGUAGAACACAAAGUAGUUGUGGGCGAUGAUUUGUUCAAUUUGCUUGCCGUUACUAGUCUUAUCUUGAUUCGGCGGCAUUGUGGGAUGAAGCGGCCCGGACCGACCUUACACGUACUCUUACGUGAGACAGGUUCCACCGACUGACAUGCACUUGAUGCAUAAGGUGGCUAGCGGGUGUCUGUCUCUCCCACUUUAGUCGGAUCGGAUUCGAUGAAGAGGGUCCUUAUGAAGGGUAAAUAGCAAUUGGCAUAUCACCGUUGUGGCUUUUGCGUAGGUAAGAAACGUUCUUGCUAGAAACCCAUAGCAGCCACGUAAAACAUGCAACAACAAUUAGAGGACGUCUAACUUGUUUUUGCAGGGUAUGCUAUGUGAUGUGAUAUGGCCAAAAGGAUGUGAUGAAUUAUAUAUAUGUGAUGUAUGAGAUUGAUCAUGUUCUUGUAAUAGGAAUCACGACUUGCAUGUCGAUGAGUAUGACAACCGGCAGGAGCCAUAGGAGUUGUCUUAAUUUAUUGUAUGACCUGCGUGUCAAUGAAAAACGCCAUGUAAUUACUUUACUUUAUUGCUAACCGUUAGCCAUAGUAGUAGAAGUAAUAGUUGGCGAGACAACUUCAUGAAGACACGAUGAUGGAGAUCAUGGUGUCAUGCCGGUGACGAAGGUGAUCAUGCCGCGCCUCGAAGAUGGAGAUCAAAAGGCACAAGAUGAUAUUGGCCAUAUCAUGUCACUUUAUGAUUUGCAUGUGAUGUUUGUCAUGUUUACAUCUUAUUUGCUCAGAACGACGGUAGCAUAAAUAAGAUGAUCCCUCACUAAAAUUUCAAGAGAUGUGUUCCCCCUAACUGUGCACCGUUGCGAAGGUUCGUUGUUUCGAAGCACCACCUGAUGAUCGGGUGUGAUAGAUUCUAACGUUCGCAUACAACGGGCGUAAGCCAGAUUUACACAUGCGAAACACUUAGGUUGACUUGACGAGCCUAGCAUGUACAGACAUGGCCUCGGAACACAAGAGACCGAAAGGUCGAACAUGAGUCGUAUAGUAGAUACGAUCAACAUGGAGAUGUUCACCGAUGAUGACUAGUCCGUCUCACGUGAUGAUCGGAAACGGCCUAGUCGACUCGGAUCAUGUAUCACUUAGAUGACUAGAGGGAUGUCUAUCUGAGUGGGAGUUCAUUAAAUAAUCAGAUGAACUUAAUUAUCAUGAACAUAGUCAAAAGGUCUUUGCAAAUUAUGUCGUAGCUUACGCUUUAGUUCUACUAAGAUAUGUUCCUAGAGAAAAUUUAAUUGAAAGUUGAUAGUAGCAAUUAUGCGGACUGGGUCCGUAAACUGAGGAUUGUCCUCAUUGCUGCACAGAAGGCUUAUGUACUUAAUGCACCGCUCGGUGUGCUGAACCUCGAGCGUGGUUUGUGGAUGUUGCGAACAUCUGACAUACACGUUUUGAUGACUACAUGAUAGUUCAGUGCGUAAUGCUAACGGUUUAGAAUUGAGGCGCCAAAGACGUUUUUGAAACGUCACAGAACAUAUGAGAUGUUCCAAAGACUGAAAUUGGGAUUUCAGACUAGUGCCCACGUCAAGAGGUAUGAGACCUCUAACAAGUUUCUUAAGCCUGCAAACUAAGGGAGAAAAGCUCAAUCGUUGAGCAUGUGCUCGGAUUGUCUGAGUACUAAAAUCGCUUGAAUCGAGUGGGAGUUGUCUUCCAGAUGAGAUAGUGAUGGUUCUCCAAAGUCACUGCCACCAAGCUACUAGAGCUUCGUGAUGAACUAUAACAUAUCAGGGAUAGACAUGAUGAUCCUUGAGCAACUCGCGAUGUUUGACACCGCGAAAGUAGAAAUCAAGUAGGAGCAUCAAUUGUUGAUGGUUAGUAAAACCACUAGUUUCAAGAAGGGCAAGGGAAAGAAGGGAUACUUCAUGAAACGGCAAAUCAGUUGCUGCUCUAGUAAAGAAACCCAAGGUUGAACCCAAACCCGAGACUAAGUGCUUCUGUAAUGAGGGGAACGGUCACUGAAGCAGAACUACCCUAGAUACUUGGUAGAUGAGAAGGCAGGCAAGGUCGACAGAAGUAUAUUGGAUAUACAUUAUAUUAAUGUGUACUUUAGUAGUACUCCUAGUAGCACCAGGGUAUUAGAUACCGGUUCGGUUGCUAAGUAUUAGUAACUCGAAAUAAAAGGCUACGGAAUAAACAGAGACUAGCUAAAGGUGAGAUGACGAUAUGUGUUGGAAGUGUUUCCAAGGUUGAUGUGAUCAAGCAUCGCAUGCUCCCUCUACCAUCGAGAUUGGUGUUAAACCUAAAUAAUUGUUAUUUGGUGUUUGCGUUGAGCGUAGACAUGAUUGGAUUAUGUUUAUCGCAAUACGAUAAUUCAUUUAAGGAGAAUAAUGGUUACUCUGUUUAUUUGAGUAAUACCUUCAAUGGUCUUGCACCUAAAAUGAAUGGUUUAUUGAAUCUCGAUCGUAGUGAUACACAUGUUCAUGCCAAAAGAUAUAAGAUAGUAAUGAUAAUACCACAUACUUGUGGCACUGCCAUUUGAGUCAUAUUGGUAUAAAACGCAUGAAGAAGCUCCAUGUUGAUGGAUCUUUGGACUCACUCGUUUUUGAAAAGAUUGAGACAUGCGAACCAUGUCUAUUGGUAGAUAUGCAUGAAGAAACUCCAUACAGAUGGAUCGUUUGAACUCACUUGAUUUUGAAUCACUUGAGACAUGCAAAUCAUACCACAUGGGCAAGAUGAUUGAAAGGCCUCGUUUUCAGUAAGAUGAAACAAGAGAGCAACUUGUUGGAAGUAAUACAUUUGAUGUGUGCAGUCCAAUGAGUGAUGAGGCACACAGUGGAUAUCAUUAUGUUCUUACUUCACAGAUGAUUUGAGUAGAUGCUGAGUAUAUUUACUUGAUGAAACACAAGUCUGAAUUAUUGAAACGUUCAAGUAAUUUCAGAGUGAAGUUGAAGAUCGUCGUGACAAGAGGAUAAAAUGUCUGUGAUAUGAUCAUAGAGAUGAAUAUCUGAGUUACGAGUUUGGCACAUAAUUAAGACAUUGUGGAAAUUGUUUCACAACUAAUACCGCCUGGAACACCAUAGUGUGAUGGUGUGUCCGAACAUCAUAACUGCACCCUAUUGGAUAUGGUGCAUACCAUGAUGUCUCUUAUCGAAUUACACUAUCGUUUAUGGGUUAGGCAUUAGAGACAACCGCAUUCACUUUAAUAGGGCACCACACAAUUCCGUUGAGACGACACCGUAUGAACUAUGGUUUAGAGAAACCUAAGCUGUCGUUUCUUAAAAGUUUGGGGCUGCGACGCUUAUGUGGAAAAGUUUCAGGCUGAUAAGCUCGAACCCAAAGCGGAUAAAUGCAUCUUCAUAGAAUACCCAAAACAGUUGGGUAUACCUCCUAUUUCAGAUCUGGAAGCAAAAGUGAUUGUUUCUAUAAACAGGUCCUUUCUCGAGGAAAAGUUUCUCUCGAAAGAAUUGAGUGGGAGGAUGGUGGAGACUUGAUGAGGUUAUUGAACCGUCACUUCAACUAGUGUGUAGCAGGGCACAAGAAGUUGUUCCUGUGGCACCUACACCAAUUGAAGUGGAAGCCUAUGAUAGUGAUCAUGAAACUUCGGAUCAAGUCACUACCAAACCUCGUAGGACGACAAGGAUGCGUACUACUUCAGAGUGGUACGUAAUCCUGUCUUGGAAGUCAUGUUGCUAGAAAACAAUGAACCUACGAGCUAUGGAGAAGCGAUGGUGGGCCCGGAUUCCGACGAAUGGCUCGAGGCCAUGAAAUCUGAGAGAGGAUCCAUGUAUAAAAACAAAGUAUAGACUUUGGAAGAACUACUUGAUGGUCGUAAGGCUGUUGGGUGCAGAUGGAUUUUAAAAGGAAGACAGACAAUGAUGGUAAGUGUCACCAUUAAGAAAGAUCGACCUGUCGUUAAGAUGUUUUCCGACAAGUUCAAGGAGUUGACUGCGAUGAGACUUUCUCACUCGUAGCGAUGCUAAGAGUCUGUUGGAAUUAUAUUAGCAGUUACUGCAUUAUUUAUGAAAUCUUGCAGAUAGGAUGUCAAAACAUUGUUUCCUCGACGAUUUUCUUGAGGAAAGGUUUUGUCAAUCCUGAAAGAUACUAACAAGUAUGCAAAGCUCCAGCAAUCCUUCUAAGGACUGGAGUAAGCAUCUCGGAGUUGGAAUGUAGGCUUUGAUGAGAUGAUCAAAGAUUUUGGGUUUAUACAAAGUUUAUGAGAAACUUGUACUUCCAAAGAAGUGAGUGGGAGCACUAUAGAAUUUUGAUGAGUAUAUGUUGUUAACAUAUUGUUGAUCAGAAAUGAUGUAGAAUUUUUGGAAAGCAUACAAGGUUAUUUGAAAAGUGUUUUUCAAUGGAAAACCUGGAUUAAGCUACUUGAACAUUGAGCAUCAAGAUCUAUAAGGAUAGAUCAAAAACGCUUAAUAGUACUUUCAAAUGAAUACAUACCGUGACAAGAUUUUGAAGGAGUUCAAAAUAGAUUAGCAAAGAAGGAGUUCUUGGCUGUGUUACAAGGUGUGAGUAUUGAGUAAGACUCAAGACCUGACCACGGCAGAAGAGAGAGAAAGGACGAAGGUCGUCCCCUAUGCUUUAGACGUAGGCUCUACAGUAUGCGAUGUUGUGUACCGCACCUGAAGUGUGCCUUGCCAUGAGUCAGUCAAGGGGUACAAGAGUGAUCCAGGAAUGGAUCACAUGACAGCGGUCGAACUUAUCCUUAGUAACUAGUGGACUAAGGAAUUUUCUCGAUUAUGGAGGUGGUAAAAGAGUUCGUCGUAAAGGGUUACGUCGAUGCAAACUUUGACACUAAUCCAGAUGACUCUGAGUAGUAAACCGGAUUCGUAUAGUAGAGCAGUUAUUUGGAAUAGCUCCAAGUAGCGCGUGGUAGCUGCAUCUACAAGAUGGCAUAGAGAUUUGUAAAGCACACACGGAUCUGGAAGGUUCAGACCCGUUGACUAAAAACCUCUCUCACAAGCGAGAUAUGAACAAAUCCCAUGGGUGUUGGAUUCAUUACAAUCACAUAGUGAUGUGAACUAGAUUAUUGACUCUAGUGCAAGUGGGAUACUGUUGGAAAUAUGCCCUAGAGGCAAUAAUAAAAUGGUUAUUAUUUUAUUUCCUUGUUCAUGAUAAUUGUCUAUUGUUCAUGCUAUAAUUGUAUUAACUGGAAACCGUAAUACAUGUGUGAAUACAUAGACCACAACAUGUCCCUAGUAAGCCUCUAGUUGACUAGCUCGUUGAUCAAUAGAUGGUUAUGGUUUCCUGACCAUGGACAUUGGAUGUCAUUGAUAACGGGAUCACAUCAUUAGGAGAAUGAUGUGAUGGACAAGACCCAAUCCUAAGCAUAGCACAAGAUCGUGUAGUUCGUUUGCUAAGAGCUUUUCUAAUGUCAAGUAUCAUUUCCUUAGACCAUGAGAUUGUGCAACUCCCGGAUACCGUAGGAAUGCUUUGGGUGUACCAAACGUCACAAUGUAACUGGGUGGCUAUAAAGAUACACUACAGGUAUCUCCGAAAGUGUCUGUUGGGUUGGUACGAAUCGAGACUGGGAUUUGUCACUCCGUAUGACGGAGAGGUAUCUCUGGGCCCACUCGGUAAUGCAUCAUCAUAAUGAGCUCAAUGUGACUAAGUAGUUAGUCACGGAAUCAUGCAUUAUGGAACGAGUAAAGUGACUUGCCGGUAACGAGAUUGAACGAGGUAUUGGGAUACCGGCGAUCGAAUCUCGGGCAAGUAACAUACCGAUUGACAAAGGGAAUUGUAUACAUGAUUGAUUGAAUCCCCGACAUCGUGGUUCAUCCGAUGAGAUCAUCGUGGAACAUGUGGGAGCCAACAUGGGUAUCCAGAUCCCGCUGUUGGUUAUUGGCCGGAGAACGUCUCGGUCAUGUCUACAUGGUUCCCGAACCCGUAGGGUCUACACACUUAAGGUUCGAUGACGCUAGGGUUAUAGGGAAUAGAUAUACGUGGUUACCGUAUGUUGUUCGGAGUCCCAGAUGAGAUCCCGGACGUCACGAGGAGUUCCGGAAUGGUCCGGAGGUAAAGAAUAAUAUAUAGGAAGUGGGGUUUUGGCCACCGGAAGAGUUUCGGGCGUCACCGGUAAUGUACCGGGACCACCGGAGGGUUCCGGGGGUCUACCGGGAGGGGCCACCAACCCCGGAGGCCUGCGUGGGCCAAGUGUGGGAAGGGACCAGCCCCUAGGUGGGCUGGUGCGCCUCCCACAAGAGGCCCAAGGCGCAGGGAAGGGGGGAAGGGGAAAACCCUAGGCGCAGAUGGGCCUAAGGCCCACCCUAGGGCGCGUCCCCCUCUCUCCCCCUCUUGGCCGCCCCCUCCAUCCAAUCUAGGGCUGGCCGCCACCCCUAGGGGGGGAACCCUAGAUGGGGGCGCAGCCCCUCACCUUCCCCUAUAUAUAGUGGGGGUUUUGGGGCUUCCAUAGACACGAGUCUCCCUCUCUCUUGGCGCAGCCCUAUCCCUCUCCCUCCUCGUCUCUCGCAGUGCUUGGCGAAGCCAUGCUAGAGUGCCACGCUCCUCCAUCACCACCAUGCCGUUGUGCUGCUGCUGGACGGAGUCUUCCCCAACCUCUCCCUCUCUCCUUGCUGGAUCAAGGCACGGGAGAUGCCACCGGGCUGCAUGUGUGUUGAACGCGGAGGCACCGUUGUUCGGUGCUUAGAUCGGAUUCGGCCGCGAUCUGAAUCGCUUCGUGUACGACUCCACCAACCGCGUUCUUGCAACGCUUCCGCAUCGCGAUCUUCAAGGGUAUGAAGAUGCACUCCCCUCUCUCUCGUUGCUAGUUAAUCCAUAGAUUGAUCUUGGUGAUGCGUAGAAAAUUUUGAAUUUCUGCUACGUUCCCCAACACAUGGCGCCCUAGCCUAGGGCGCCAUACCAAAUAGCAUGACGCCCUAGCCCGGGUGUCAUGCUAGCAUGGCUCCCUAGCCCGGGGUGUCAUGCUAGCAUGGCGCCCUAGCCCCGGGCGUCAUGCAAAAUGGACAUUUGGUGAAAUAUUUUUCAAAUUGGAGUCAUUUUGUGUUGAAGUUUCAGAUAAGGGUCAGUUUUGUCCAUUUUCACCAUCCUAAUAUCCCAUGCCCAUGCGGCGAGGGGGCUAAAUUUCAUGUUUUGACCCUUUUUUGAUAGUUAAUUGAGAUCUGACCCUAGUUUGUAAAAAAUUUGAGAUCUGGCCUUUUUGCUACCGUCAGGGUCCAUGGCGGUAGGGUAUAACAGCCUACCGCCAAGGUCCCUGGCGGUAGGGUUGCAUACCCUAUCGAAAAAAUUUCAUAAGUAUGGGACACAGUGCAUGCUCGUACCUACCGCCGGGCACCUUGGCGGUAGGGUUGUACAGGCUACUGCCAGCCUGUUUGGCGGUAGGGUUCUUUCCUACCGCCAAAGUCCUUGGCGGUAGGCUGGUACACCCUAUCGUCAUGGACCCUGGCGGUAGCAAAAGGGCCAGGUCCCGACAUUUUUAUAAACUAGAGUCAUAUCUCGAUUAAGUAUCAGAAAAGGGUCAAAACACGAAAUUUUGCCCAACGAGGGUAGUGCCACUGCGUCGGAUUUUGCAAAAGGGGAAAGGCACGGCUAGCUCGAGUUGAGUGUCAUGCAAUGCAGUAGUAGAACUUGCGGCAGGGCAAUGGCUGGCCUACCGCCUACGGCGUACUACUUCCGUCCUGGUUUCCUAGUGUUCAUCGUAUUUCGAGUUGAAUUUUAAUCACAUAUUUUACUUGCAAAAUGUAAAUCGUCACCACCAGUUUCCGAGCUGGUUUCGAGAUUGGGUCUCCGCCCUCCUAUCCACGGCCUCAUCUAAAGUUUUGCUAAAUGGUGUUGCUUGUGAUCCAAUUAAGCAUGGGUGUGGUCUUUUGCAGGGGGGUCCUCUCUCCCCUCUGCUUUUUGUCCUCGCUAUUGACCCACUCCAUCACAUCCUUGCCAAGGCUACCGAUCAAGGCCUGCUGCAUCCUCUUCGUGGUCGGCCCAUCUGUGCAUCCUUGUAUGCGGAUGAUACUGCUAUCUUUGUUGCGCCGAUCAAGGAAGAUAUCCACUUCUUGGCUUCGACUCUGAGCUCCUUUGGGGAGGUUACCGGCUUGGUCACCAACUGCGCCAAAAGCCUUGUGGCGCCCAUUUGUUGUGGCAACAUCGACCUUGACGACAUUUUGCAGGCCUUCUCGACGGUCCGGACUACCUUCCCCAUGCGGUAUCUUGGUCUUCCGCUGUCGGUCACAAGACUAAAGCGUAUCCACUUUCAGUAUUUGGAGGACAAGGUGGCUGGAAAGCUUCCACCUUGGUCGGCUAUGCAUGUGGCUACGCCCGGGCGCAUUGUUUUGGUCAAGGCUGUGCUCACUGCCAUUGCCAUUUACCACCUAACGCCUCUUGACCUUCCGGUUGAAGUGAUGAAGAAGAUCGAUAGCCUCCGGCGUGCCUACCUUUGGGCGGGUUGUGAUAAGGUGACCGGCGGAAAGUGCAAGGUUAAUUGGGACCUCGUCUGCAAGCCCAAGAUUUAUGGUGGACUAGGAGUGCUCAACCUCCAGAAGUUUGCGACUGUGCUACGCUUGCGUUGGCUCUGGCACGAAUGGGAUGAUCCACCUAGGACUUGGUCUGGCUCUGGAACACCUUUUACUAGCAACGACAAAGAUCUCUUCGUCGCUGCCACACGGGUGUGCAUCGAAGAUGGAAACAAAGCUAAGUUCUGGGAAUCUCCAUGGAUGUACGGCCUCCGGCCUAAAGACAUUGCACCAAAGAUUUUUGAGUUGUCAAAAAAGAAAAUGUGCCUGGUCAGGAAAGCUCUUGACAAUAACCUUUGGAUCCGCCAUAUUGGCACUCAGCAGGGGCUAACCUUGGCCCAUAUUCAGGAAUUUGCAACCCUGUGGGGGAUGCUUGCUGAUAUAACCCUCAACCAGGGAAGCCAAGACACCAUAACUUGUGAAAGAUCGUGGAUGUCGCCUAGAGGGGGGUGAAUAGGCGCUUUAAAAUAAUUACGGUUUAGGCUUGAACAAAUGCGGAAUAAACCUAGCACAAAACCUACAACAACUAGGCUCACCUAUGUGCACCAACGACUUAUGCUAAGAAAGAUAAACAACUAAGUGAUAGCAAGAUAUAUGACAAGAAACAAUAUGGCUAUCACAAAGUAAAGUGCAUAAGUAAAGGGCUCGGGUAAGAGAUAACCGAGGCACGCGGAGACGAUGAUGUAUCCCGAAGUUCACACCCUUGCGGAUGCUAAUCUUCGUUUGGAGCGGUGUGGAGGCACAAUGCUCCCCAAGAAGCCACUAGGGCCACCGUAAUCUCCUCACGCCCGCGCACAAUGCAAGGUGACGUGAUUCCACUAAGGGACCCUUGAGGGCGGUCACCGAACCCGUACAAAUGGCAACCCUUGGGGGCGGUCACCGAACCCGUACACUUUGGCAACCCUUGGGGGCGGUCACCGGAACCCGUCAAAUUGCUCGGGGCGAUCUCCACAACCUAAUUGGAGACCCCGAUGCUUGCCCGGAGCUUUACACCACAAUGAUUGAGCUCCGAACACCACCAACCGUCUAGGGCGCCCAAGCACCCAAGAGGAACAAGCUCAAGGGCACCAAGCACCCAAGAGUAAUAAGCUUCUCAACUUGUAACUUCCACGUAUCACCGUGGAGAACUCAAACCGAUGCACCAAAUGCAAUGGCAAGGGCACACGGAGUGCCCAAGUCCUUCUCUCUCAAAUCCCACCGAAGCAACUAAUGCUAGGGAGGAAAAGGAGAGGAAGAACAAGAAGGAGAACACCAAGAACUCCAAGAUCUAGAUCCAAGGGGUUCCCCUCACAUAGAGGAGAAAGUGAUUGGUGGAAAUGUGGAUCUAGAUCUCCUCUCUCUUUUCCCUCAAAAGCUAGCAAGAAUCCAUGGAGGGAUUGAGAGUUAGCAAGCUCGAAGAAGGUCAACAAUGGGGAAAGAACACGAGCUCAAAGGAUGAAGUAGAAUGGGGAAGAAGACCCCCUUAUAUAGUGGGGGGAACAAUCCAACCGUUACCCCCACUUCAGCCCCGCAGAGAGCGGUACUACCGCUUGCCCCUAUAAGCGGUACUACCGCUCCCCCUCGCGGUACUGCCGCUGGGUCCAGAGUGGUACUACCGCGGUGGCAGGGCGGUACUACCGCAUACGAGCGGUACAACGGCCCCCACUGCCGUGGCUAGUACCGUAAAACCCGACACGAGAAAAGACCCCUCGAAUCGAGGCGGUACUAGCACGAGACCGCAGCGGUACUAUGGCUGGGGGCUACCAGCGGUACUACCGCUCAGGAGCGGUACUACCGCUCUAGAGCGGUACUACCGCUUGUAGCACCCAAGCGGUACUACCGCUCCGGCCCGCGGUACUACCGCUAGGAAACCAAAACUGCCAUAACUUCUGCAUAUGAGCUCCGAAUUGAGCAAACUCAAGCUUGUUGGAUAGAGGAAGACGAGUAGCAUCAAAACAGCGACUGGUUAUAGUAAGAAGAGGCAGGGGAGGUAUGCCAACAAAUAGAGGAGUGAAACCUCCAACCGAGAAGAACCGGCAUAACCUCCAACAUCGAAAACAUCAUAGAAGAUGUGAGUGAACUCCGUUUUCGAUGAACUCGAGCUCGUCAUCAAGAUGACCAUAAGCUCCAAAACUCACAAAGAGAAGAACCAAACAAGAACCAAUAAAGAUGAUGCAAGGAUGCAAUGGUUUGAGCUCUCUACGAAUGAUACGAUCAAGCUACUCAUCGAGAGCCCCCCUUGAUAGUACGGUAAUCGAUCCGAUAACCCGUUCUCCCAACUAGCAUCAUGAGACCGGUAAAAUAGAAAACCUAUCAAGGGCAAACCUUUGCCUUGCACAUGGUCCACUUGAGCUAGAUGAUGACGAUCUUGACUCCCUCAAGUUGGACCACCUUUCUUGGUUGCGUUGGCUCGAUGAAGACUAGUUGAUUGCUCCCCCAUACUCCACUAUGGGUGAGCCACUCUUCCGCACAUCUUCACAAGUCCAUUGUCACCACAAUGGACGGCAAGCUUCAAGCAUUUGAUCUCUUCAUGAUGCUUCACUUGAACUUGCACACCGCAACAUCUUCACAAGUCCAUUGUCACCACAAUGGACGGCAAGCUUCAAGCAUUUGAUCUCUUCAUGAUGCUUCAUGAUGCUUCACUUGAACUUGCACACCGCAACCUAACCCCACAAAGAACUCUCACGAAGAUCAUGGGUUAGUACACAAAGCGUAAUUGACAAUGCUUACCACACCAUGGGAUCGCUUGAUCCCUCUCGGUACAUCUUCUACGCUUUGUGAGUUGAGCAAGUUGAUUCACUCUUGACUUAGUCUUGAUCAACCUUGAACCUUUUCAACUCUCUUCAUUUGGAUGAUGUCUUGAAGAUAUACAUGAAUGAUCACACAAUCUUCUUCUCCAAGACAUGCUUGCAAUAAGCUCAACUCUCACAUGACCAAUCUUUGGAUAAUUCCUUAAUAACACCUUGGUCACCACAUAAACUCCUUGAAACCAACACAUGAACUUCAAGAAAUGCCUAUGGACAAAUCCUUCAAAUAUAACUCAAGGCAACCAUUAGUCCAUAGAGAUUCUCAUCAAUUACCAAAACCAAACAUGGGGGCACCGCAUGUUCUUUCAACGUGGAAGUUCACAAACAGUGGCGAGUAUCCGCCUCCUGGGCUUACAUGGCGCAAUUUGCUGGUCUCUCCUUUUGUCUAAUGAAUGCUACAAUCUGGAAGAUGUGGGCUCCACCGAAGUGCAAAUUUUUUGCUUGGUUGAUCUUCCAAAAUCGUGUUUGGACAGCCGAUCGUUUACUCCGGCGAGGCUGGCCAAGCUGCAAUGUGUGCCCUCUCUGCAAGCAAGUGCAAGAAUCUGCUGCUCACCUCCUAUUUCAAUGUAGGUUCACUGUCCGGAUUUGGACCGAAAUUUUCACUUGGCUUGGCAUCCUUGACUCCUCACCAAUGAUUUGGUGUCAUGAAGACUCAGUUAGAGAUUGGUGGCUCAAGGCGGUUAAUGGUGGAGGUGGCUGCAGGAAGGCCAUCGCCUCCUUGAUGAUGCUUGUCUCGUGGGAAAUUUGGAAGGAGCGCAACGCAAGAAUUUUUCAAAAUGUCUCUCCCCCGACCUCCAUUGUUAUCGCAAAAAUCAAAGAGGAGGCCCAUCUCUGGUCUUUGGCAGGAGCCAAACAGCUCAGUACUGUUAUGUCGCGAGAGUAGACCUUUUUCUUUUUAUCUCCUCGCGGCUUAUGUCUAAACCUUCUUCUUAAUCAAGAAAAAUGGCAAGUCUUUUGCCUUGUUUCAAAAAAAAAAAUCAUGUCAUCAAAAAUUAUAUCAUUGGAUUUAUAUCUGAACGCAGUUUUCAGUGAUAUUAUUUUUACUAGUUAAAAUCAUGAUCUAAAUGUGACCCAGAAUACAAGGGGACUAGUGGUUGGCACUGGCCAGACGCAAUCACGCAAACAGUGGUACGAGUACAAUGUCAUGCCGCACACCGUCUUUUUUUUUCUUUUGAGGAAAACACCGCACACCGUCUUUUUUUUUCUUUUGAGGAAAACACCGCACACCGUCUUUGUGGCGCCAGCUCCUGUUCGGCGCUCGUAGCGCCACUUAUAGCGUUUUUCGUACGCGCGCGCGCCCACCGCUUCGAUCGAAUUUAUGUGGGCCGGCCCAUUAAUAGGUAAUUUCGGUAGCUGGUUUUGCAAAGCUUCCAGACCGCUUUCAGAAGCUUCCGGCCAGUUUUUUCCUUUUUGGUUUUCUGGUGGUUUUUAUUCGAUCUUUAUUUUAUUUUUAUAUUUUAUUUUAUUUCAAAAAUGAAAUCAUACUCUAAAUUCGUGAAAAAAUUCAACUUUAUGAAUAUAUUUAAAUCCACAAGCGUUUUCCAUUUUUUUCUUCAAAGUCCAUUUUUUUUACAAAUUUGGGAACUUUUUAUUCAAAAUUGAUUAACUUUUUCCAAAUACAUGUGUUUUUUUUCAAAAUCUAUGAUUUUUUUUCGAAUUCGUGAACUGUUUUGAAUCCCCAAUCAUUUUUUUCUAAUUUGUGUACGUUGUUACCGGAUUUUCUAAAAAAUCACAAAAUAUUUUUCAUAAAAAGUCAACGGUCAAUGAUCUAUGGACAAUAGUCUGCGGUCGAAGGUCAAGCUGUCAGCGGUCAGCGGGUCGAACGAGUUAGCGAAUCAACACGGAAUCCCCUCUCGCGUGAGCACCGGUUGCGUUACCGGGCGUAACGAGCGCUAACGAGCCUCUGUGGGAUCGAUGCUGACACAAGUUCAAUGUUUUUGAACUCAGAGAUAUUGGGCCAGAUUGAAUCUGCACGAUUUGUGCUGUGCAGAUUUUUUUUCAACAUAUGCAUGAUUUUUUUUCACCUUUUUCAAACUUAGAGAUACAUAUUUUCACUGAGCACCAUAUUUUCCAUUCCAAAAUGCGAGGCAUGCACACAACCCGAUAUUUGGGUUACUUUAAAUAUUUAAAUGUGAGCUAUGGGGCACAAAAAGAUUUAAUGUGGCCACUCUUGUGUCUUAUAUAACAUUUUAUGAAUCUAAAUAUUAGGUAAACUCAAAUCUUGCGAUGUGUGUAUGGCUUACAUUUUUGGUUCGAGGAAGUAUAUUGCAGUAUCCUAAUUCAAUAUAGGCCGCCCAUUUUGUUCAAUCCAAUGGUAAUUAAUUUAUACUAAUAACUUUUAACAUGAAUACUCCCUCCAUUCUGAAAUAAUUGAAGUUUUAUGUUUGUUAUAAAUUAAAAUUGUUUAAAUUUGUCCAAGUUUACGGGAAAAUAUGGUAAGAUCUACAAAAUUAAUUAUACCUAGUAUGAAAGUAUAUCUUCUGAAGAUUCUAAUGUAUUUAAUUUUGUGUUUUAUAUUGAUAUAUUUUUCUACAAACACAGUCAAACCUGAAGAAGUUUGGUUUAGAAAAACCUAAAACUUCAAUUAUUUUGAAACCAAGGGAGUAGUAUGAUGUACGCAAUCCAAACUUGAUGAAUAGUAUGACGUAGUAGUAUGAGCGUCCAGGGCUAAAAAUGAAAAUGAAUAAUGGCACACAAAAAAAUGGAAAUGAAUAAUGGCACACAAAUCGCACAGAUUCAACCUGGGUCAAUAUAUCUGAAUUCAAAAACAUUGAACUUGUAUCAGCGUCGAUCCCACAUAGGCUCGUUAGAGAUGAAAGCACCACAACCACCCCAAAAAUAUUUCCUCCGCCUCGCCGUCGCCACCAUCGAUCUAAUCAUGGCGGCGUGGAUCAAAGGUCCAUCUCGUCCAUAUGUGGUCAUCGACAUGUAGGACGACGGCCAUGGUUUCCAUUCUCUCUCCCAUGAAAGUUCAAAUAUGUCAAAAACCAUCUGCUUUUAUGUAAAAUUAUUCAAGUAUGAAUGGAUAUUGCCCGGAUUGUUUAAAUAUGCAUCAAAUUUGUUCAAUUUUAUUAAAUUUCAAUCAAAAUGCAACCGGACAUAUGCGGUUAUCUUCAAACGGCGCCUCCGCAUAAGUGUCUUCUGACUGGUCUCCUCGGUCCAGGGACCGAUGCGGUGUCCGGUUUACGGGUCGGUGUUGGAGAUGCCCUAAGUGUAACAGUAAAAGUAGUAGAUGAUCACAACAAAAUAAGGAAAAAAAGGCAGCAAUCUGAAUUGAACUGCCACCCAGUCAGUUAGUUACCCGCUAAGUUCACGCCGGCACCGAUACGAUGCUCGUCGGCGGGAACCUGCCCGCGGCAGAUCGCAGAAACUAGAGCGAGCGUGCGACGGCGUCGUGUACCCUCUCGACCGUGCACCUCCUUUCGCGCCCGCCAUGAUGGCGACGGCAGCGCAGCCCGAGCAGCCGGACCUGGGCGGACUGGUGGACGCGCUCUGCGCGUCCGGCCGCUCCGCCGAGGCGCACCACCGCGUCGCGCUCCUCCUCUCCUCCGCAUCCGCGUCGCGCCGCCUCGACGCGCCCACCGCCAACGGCCUCCUCGCCCGCCUCCUCCGCGCGCGCACGCCCCUCCUCACGCUCCGCCUCGUCCAGGCCGCCCCGUUCGUGCCCUCCCUCCGCAACUACAACCGCCUCCUCGCCCUGCUCUCCUCCGCCGCCGCUCCCUGGCUCCUCCUCGCCCACCGCCUCCUCCUCCGCAUGCGCGUGCCUCCGAGCGCCGUCUCCUACGCCGCGCUGCUGGACGGCUACGCGUGCGCCGCGGACCCUCGCGCCGCCCAGAAGCUGCUCGACGAAAUGCCCCGCUGGGGGCUGGCUCCCAGCUCCCUCGCGCGCACCUUCCUCGUCAAGGCCUUCCUCCGCAGCCGCGACGUCGGCGCGGCCAUGGACCUCGUCGACAACCAGCUCUGGCCCAGCAUGGAGCGCUGCCACGACGAGGACCAGGGGCUCAAGAACGCGGCGUUUGCCAACCUUGUGCAGUGCCUGUGCGGCGAGGGCUUCUUCCACAUUGUCUUCCGCGUCGCCGAGGAGAUGCCGCAGCGGCGCUGCUUCGUCCCAGACGAGUUUGCCUAUGCCCAGAUGAUUGACUCUCUCUGCCGGGCUGGACAGCACCAUGGCGCCUCCAGAAUAGUGUACAUCAUGGGGAAGAGGGGCCUGUGCCCAAGCACCCUGUCCUACAACUGCAUUGUUCACGGGCUAUGCACCAGCCAGAAGCCCGGGGGACGCCUGAGGGCGUACCAGCUGGUGAUGGAAGGUGUGCGCUCCGGGUACCGACCGAGAGAGGUAACAUACAAGGUACUCGUCGAAGAGCUCUGCCGGGAGAAAGAGGUUGCUAAGGCCAAGGAUGUCCUGGAGCUGAUGCUGCAGCCCCAAUGUGGGCAUGACAAACCUGACGAGGAGACCAGGACUAGGCUAUACAAUAUGUUCCUUGGGGCACUGCGUGCUGUGGACAACCCAAGCGAGCAGCUCGGUGUGCUUGUGUCCAUGUUGCAGGGGGACUGCAAACCGGAUGUGAUCACUAUGAACACUGUCAUUCAUGGCUUCUGCAAAGUUGGGCGUACCCAGGAGGCUAGAAAGAUUUUGGACGACAUGAUUAAUGGGAAAUUCUGUGCUCCUGAUGUUGUCACCUUCACCACACUCAUCUCUGGAUACCUGGAUGUAGGUGAGCAUGCAGAAGCCCUCCAUGUGCUGCACACUUUGAUGCCCAGGCGCCGGUGCGCCCCUAAUGUUGUCACUUACAAUUCGGUCCUCAAGGGAUUGUUCUGCCUUGGGCUAGUUGACAGAGCAAUGCAGGUCCUCGACGAAAUGAAAUCAAGUAGCAUCACUGCCGACUCUGUGAGUCACACUGUGGUGAUCAAAGGGUUGUGCGACGCGGGGCAGCUUGAGAAGGCAAAGGCAUUCUGGGAUAAUGUGGUCUGGCCAUCAGGGAUACAUGAUGGUUAUGUGUACAGUGCAAUCUUGAGAGGCCUCUGCAAACUGGGGAAACUGGAGCAGGCAUGCGAUUUCCUGUAUGAGUUGGCAGACUCUGGGGUUUGUCCCAGUGUUGUCUGCUACAACAUACUCAUUGACACUGCCUGCAAGCAGGGAUUGAAGAAGUUGGCCUAUCAAUUGGUGAAGGAGAUGAGAAGGAAUGGCCUUUCACCGGAUGCUGUGACUUGGAGGAUUCUUGAGAAAUUGCACCUUUAUGGCAAUGAAGAUCAAGAGGAGGAGCAUCAGGUCCCCAGUUUUCAUGCCGAUCAAAGUUCUGCAGAUGACAGAGUAGAGCCUAUCGUCUCGACAAAAAAUGAGAUGCCUUCGUUAUCAUCGUCAUCAUCGUCAGAAUAUUUGGAUGAAGUGUACAAGAAUAACAACGAAGCUAAGGUUGAAGAAGCUGGAAGGUCACCAGAAAUGACUGAGAACCCAUCAGAUCUUACUGAUCCAGCAAAAGAGCAGAACUAUCUGAUAGACAAUUCAGUGGUUGGACCAUCAAUGGACAAGGAUCAUACAAUCAGUGAGGAUGGCUUCAACAAGCAGGAUGAGCAACCUCUAAGAGAACCACUUUCUGGAGUAGCCAGAAGGGUUUUUGGCUUGCUCUAGAACAAGAACAAGUGUUGCUGUUCAGAAGGGGCACAUACUUUUCAAAAAAAAAGGGCACAUAUUAGAACAUUGUGCAAUGAAGGCUAAUUUUUUAUUGUUAUUUUGGACCUGUCAAAGAAGGCCGAGUUAGUGACAAAGACAAAGCUGGUAACCUGUCCACCUAUUGGAGAAUAAGGCUUGAGCUUAACUGACACGACUGAUUUUUGGCUGCACUUGACAUAAGCUUGUCGAUAACAAAUCUGGCAUGUUUUAUUAGUGCAUCUCUACUCGGUACUCACCCAACAACUGAAAUCCAUACUUUUGCAGAAACCGAUGGAGAGUAAAGAACACUGCAUGUAGUGUCUUCAGGUCGCUCCAGUUCUGCAAUUGCUCGCCACUGUCAGGUCUUGUUGUAUUUGUGAUGCAUAUGAAGAUACUUGGGAGCAUGCUCUACUUUAUUCUACAAUGCCUAAGUGCACCUGAGCUCUUUUGGAUGAAGAUCUCAUGGAAAUGCUUGCAAGCCUGUGAAUGACUGAUCCAAGACAUUGGGGUUUCCUUAUAUGUAACAGCAUGUCACAGGGUGAGACGGCCAAGGUACUUAUCAUUUCAUGGGUGGUAUUGUUGGUGCGUCGCAAUGCUGCUAGCCUGGAGUUCAUCUAUGAAGAACGGUUCGCUUCUGGUGAUGGCGGAGCUCUAAACACAGGAUUAGGGGAUGGAUCUUGCUGGGUCCAGGGGAGGUGAUACUGAACGCUGACACUGCUCUUCUCUGAGGCGAUUACAUGGCAGCGGACAGCUGUCUGCUGCGACCAAAAGAGCCUGAUAUAAUGGAAACUAUGGUGAGCUCCGAUGUUUUGAUUGUAUUAGGGUGGCUUCAGAUUGCUAAUUCCAUCAACAACUUUGUAGGAGACGAACAGGUGCUCUUACAUGAUGGUGAUCCAAGACAUGAAGAACCGUGCACAGGUUGGACACGGUAGGUAGGGAUACAGAGGUAGCAGCUCACAGCUUAGCAUUGCUCGCUUGUACUCUGGGUGUUGAUCGCCAUAUAUGGAAGGUAAUAAGCUGCGCUUUAAUGCUGGAUGAAGUAACUUUUUAGUAAGUAUUAGAAAUGGAAAAUAUAUAUAGGCACCGAAUUGCUCCAUGCUGAUGGAGGGUUUAGCUGCCGCUACCCGUCAUCCAGCAUCAGUCGGAAAUGAGGAUGCAGAUCUGGGGGUCAGGUCGCAUGAGCAAGCGAAACCAUCGUAACCUUGCUGGUUCCUUGCGAUAUUGUGGCGGAGAUCAUCCUUUGCGUAAACGCGGCCACGACGAGGAAUGGUCAGUUCAAAAUUCCCCGUCCUCUAUCCUAGUUUCUCCUGUUUUUCUAUUUCUGACGAUUAUCCUUGUGCCGGCAGGCGAGAUUGACCGAACCUGCCGACGGUGCUCCUUGACGAUAUCGCUGGUCGGCUUCUCCUCUACGACGUGGCCGAGUACAUCCGCCUCCGUGCUGCGUGCAAGGAGUGGAGGAACUGCACCGAUGAUCCACGCGCGGGAGGCGGCCUGGACUGCCGCUUCCGCCCCCGACGCUGGAUCAUGCUGUCCAACCGCACCGAGGGCGACGGCCGUCGCUUUCUCAACGACUCCACCGGUGCCAGCGCAUGUGUCGAUCUCCCGGAGCUCUCCCGCCACCACCUUGAGACCAGCACCGAGGGCCUUCUGCUCCUGCGCGGCAAGGCGAGCCACGCUGUGCGCCUCUUCAACCUGCUCACCAGGGCCUUCACCAACCUCCCGCCCAUCACCCCCGACCUCGGCAGAGCGUACAUUGUCUGGACGGGGCUGUUGGAGUCCUCGGAGCGCCUCAUCUACACUGGCAUCUCUGAAGAGACCUCCCCAGCGUCGGUUGUGCUCCUGAUGAUUGACCGUGGGCGUGCCAUAGUCUACGCCAAGCCUGGCGACCAGCGGUGGGCUGUGAUUGAGCAUGACGAGAUCGGGAGACCCAAUCGCUACGCAUCAUAUCGGCUAUCGUCGGCGUCAACCCUACAGGGGCGCUUCUACUUUGCGACUCUUGAGGGGAAUAUAAUGCAUGUGAGGCUCUGCCCUGAGCCUCAGUUGGUGCCGAUAGUCGUGAACCAGCCCAAAACCAGGGGAGAAGUGUCCUCCUACCUUGUCCCUCCCGACGACCACCGCUGCGGCGGCAUGCUCAUGGUGCGCUACUACCUCGACCUUGAUCACCUCAGCGCUGACGAGCGGAGAAUCAUGGCGCGCAGGAGGAAGCGCAUGGAUGCAAUCAGGGUGGAGAACAGGUUGAAGGAGUGCCGGUGGAACCUGAUCCAGGUGUUCGAGGUGAAUGUGGCGGAAAGAGGCUCGUCCCGGUGGAGGACAUUGGCCGCCACCGUGCGGUGUUUGUCGGGGAGGCGGCAUGCUUCUCCCUCUCUGCCAGGACGUUUCCGUGCGUGGCUGGGAAUGCGGUGCACCUGGGGGCGACCGGUGCCCGCUACCCUCCCGUCGGCGUGCGGUAUCUGGCGGACAAGAGUGCGGAUCCACCGUUUGAGUUCACCACUGACGGGCCAGCUUCUCCAGAUGAACCACUGAAAUGGUACCACCGACAUAACAGGCCAGAGCUGAAUCUUUUUCUUGACACUGGACCAGAGCUGAAUCUAGUGCCUCUUGCUCGCCCCUGUACCCUGCAAGAGUACCUCGUCUGGCUGAAUCUAGUGCCUCUUGCUCGCCCCUGUACCCUGCAAGAGUACCUCGUCUGGCUGAAUCUAGUGCCUCUUGCUCGCCCCUGUACCCUGCAAGAGUACCUCGUCUGUUGCGCAGGCCUCCCUGGCGGCCUCAAGGACUAAUCAAAUCCUCAGCAAGUUCGGUAUGUCGUCUGUCCGUUCUUGGAUUGUGUGUUCUUGAGAAGUUUAUUUAAACAUCAAUUAUGUUCAAUGCUAUAGCUCCUCGGUUCAUUUCUCCCUUGUGUUGGCCCAAAAAAUUAUGAAAGAUGGGCAAUGACGUCUAGAAUUAUGCAAUAUCAGUUGUUACCUCUAAAGUUCAAGCUGAUGUAUUCUUCAAAUACUUGCCUCGGUUAAUUUCUCUCGUGUGUUGCUGCAGGAAAUUCUGAAAGAUGAGAAUACAAUCCAGUGUAGGAUUAUUUAUGCAAGAUCGCUUGUUUUCUUCCCUCCAAAUUUUAAAUGAUGUGUUACUGGAAUACUAUAUGGUUCUGAGGAUAUAUAUAGAAAUUGCAUAAGAACCUAUGGUACUAAUCCAUACAGCAGGAACCAAAACCUACAUCAGGAUAUAACUUUUAGCUUUUGUGUGAAUUCCAUGCCCAUCUUUGUCUGUAAGCACCAAUUGUGCAAUGACUAAAGAGCGAUAUGCGUGCAAUCUUUUUAGCCCCUCGGGGGCAACUGUUGAGUGAGGCAUGAACAUGUAGGAACAUACUCACAAAACUUAAGAAACCUAAGAGCAUCUCCAACAGGCGCGGCAAAAGGCGCGCCCGCGUGGUAAAGUUUGGUUUUAGCGCGCGCCGACUGGUUCCGCGCGCUCCAGCGGUGGCGGGAACUUACCGCGCGCGGGAGAAAGCGGCACGCGGCGCGAUAGAUUUGGCGCGCCGCUUCGCGGGCGCCUAUAAAAUCCCGCGCUCGCCACGCGCACAGAACACAGCCACGCGCCCUUCCCUCGCAACCUCGCCGCUUUCCGCGCCACCACCGCGCCACCAUGCUGCCGCGCCGCCGGGGUUCUUCGGGCUACUGCGGCGUCCGCGAGCGCCCCAACGGCUGGUACUCCGCCGAGAUCCGGACCGGCUCGGCCUCGGGUCGUUCCGGAGCGCGCACGGGGCGGCCCGCGCGUACAACGCGGCGGCGUGGCGCUUGGAGAGGCCCCGGUCGCAGAUGAACUUCCGGGACGUCUUCACGCGCGAGCAGGCGCAGCGCGUCGCCCCUCCGCCGCGUCUCAUCACCGACAUGGACCGUGCCGACCACGCUCGGCGGCAGGGGCCUCCUCAUCGCCGAGGAGGACGAGCGAGCCAUGGCGGAGUGGCGCCGUCGCCACCCGGAGGACCUCACCGACGAGCGUGCCUACUGGGCAGAGAGGACGGCAAGGCGCCGCACGGAGCGGGCGGACCGGCGUCGGUGGAAGGCAUUGGCGAAUGCGCAGUGCGAUAUCGUUGAAACAGGUGGGAGGUCGAUCUUCACGUCAGACGAUGAACGUUGGGACGACAUAUGGCUCGAUACCUCGGACAACACCGACAAGGAUGAUGAUGGUGAUGAUGGUAGCGACUUGGAGUAGUUUCUAUCUAUGUAUGCCAUAGUAGUUUCUAUCUAGUUGCACCGUAGUUCUAUCUAUCUAUGCUUUCGAACUAUCUAUCUAGUUGCACCGAUGUAAAAUACCUUUGUAUCGUUUUUUAUCUAUGCAAAAUUAUAAUUUAAAAAAUGUUGUAGAAUGAGCACGCGCUGCAUUUUUAGCGCGCCUGCUGGAGCUGUGCGCGCGCGCUGCUUUUUAGCGCGGCUGCUGGAGCCAGCGCUGCGCGCCGCGCCAAACCAGGCGAUGGGCGCGCGGCAAAGCAGUUUUUAGCGCGCGGCGUGUUCGGCGCUGGUUGGAGAUGCUCUAACACCAAUACACAGAGGAACAAAAAUGGAUAAAAAAACAAGCAGGAAUUUGACGGCCACAAAACCAUGCAUAGCUUCCUACCAUCAGUCUAAGGAGAAGUCUGAUACGGUCACUAAUAGAGUGAAAGAAGCAUCACCUCACAAAGAAGAAACAGUCCAGGAGAAAAGGAGUACAAUCCACAAUCCUAAGAUAGCAUGUAAAAGAACAUAUUAAAUCACAUAGAUCUGAUGUAAGUGCAAAGGAUCUGAUGGAAGUGAUAGUGAUAAUGUAGAUUCUGGUGAAGAUUUCUAUGACAGUCAGUGACAAUGAAACACACAGAAGGUGAUGUUGAUAUGUAUGCUACCAAUGCAGAUGAGAAUGUUGAAGAUGUUCUACUUCCUAGCAAGGGCAAGAAAGUGGAAGAAGGAUGCAAAGAACCCUAUAGAAGAUCAACUUGAUCUACCAUCUUCAGAUGAAGAGAAAGAGAAAGAAGUGAAGUUCAGAUUCAAAUCUUUCCCAGAGGCUGACAUGGCUGCACCUCAUUCCAAAUCAGACAUGAUAUUCUCCACAUUUAAGAAGCCGGGAGAUGCCAUUGAUGAAUAUAGUACUCCCUCUGGUCCAUAUAACUUGUCGUAGCUUUAGUACUGCGACAAGUAAUAUGGAUCAGAGUGAGUAUUAGAAAUAGGGUAGUCAUGAGCAGGACCCCGAGAUCAAGGGUGGAGGUGCACCGUGCUCAUGGAUGUCUUUUGGUAUUUUUAUGCAACUUAAGUAGUUCAAGAAGCUUACUUGUGGAGAGGUAUGUUUCUGAAUAUACUUUUGCCAAACAAUGACAUAUCAAUGCUAUGAAAGCUCCUUAUCUUCCUAGAACUACGUUGAAUCAUUUAGAGAUUAUGAGAAAGAUGACCAUAAGCUCAUUUCAAGGACAACAAAAGAGCACACCCCCUGUGGCUCCCUCGUUUUCUUGUUUCUUCUUUUGGCCCCUUGUGGCCUUUUUUCUCUCUUUCGGCUAACACAGACACUCUGUUAAGCUGCUGAUGUAACUUUUCUCCCUCUGAAAUGCAUCGCCAGCACCACUGUCUUUUGCCUCAAAAAGGAAAAAAGAGUACAAUGCGAAGCCUAGUAGAAUCAAGCUAAUGAAGGAUGAGAGGGAGCUCUGAAGGUUGUCUAUGGAGAUGAGUUGAAGCGAUAUCGUGUGCUUUUGGACUAUGGUAGGGAGCGAAGACACACCAAUCAUGCAAUAGCUUGUACAUAAACCUAAACAAUGGUGCCUUGAGUACAUUGUACUCCCUCCGUCCGGAAAUACUUGUUGCAAAAAUGGAUACAAAUGAAUGCAUCUAAAACUAAAAUACGUCUAGAUACAUUCAUUCCUCCGACAAGUAUUUCCGGACGGAGGGAGUACUUCUUUCUAGAGGUUGGAAGGGUGUAAACUAUCAUUUACUUUCAUAGAUGUCACAGUCAAAAUAACAAGGGACAGGUCUUAACUGCAUCCAAAUGAUUGUAUGUUUCCAGUUUGCUAUGGUAGUGAUUGAAGUGCGGCGCAAGUGUAGCUGGAAAUGGUUCUUCAACACCUUAAAGCAAGACCGUCGGAUAUGCAUGCCCAUCUUUGUCUAGAAAAAUGUAAGCACCAAUUGUGCAAUGACCAAAGAGCAAUAUGCAUGUACUCCCUCUGUAAGUGAUCUAAACGCUCUUAUAUUUCUUUACGGAGGGAGUAAUGACUAAAGGGAACUGUUGAGUGAGGCAGGAACAUGUAGGAACAUUCAAAACUUAAGAAACUAACACCAAUGCACAGUGGAACAGAAAUGGAUAAAAAUCAAGCAGAAUUUGGCAACCACCAAACCAUGCAGACCUUCCAGCCAUCGGCCUAAAGAGAAGUCUGAUACGCCCACUAAUAAAUAGAUGGAAAGAAACAUCACCCCACAAAGAAGAAACAGCCCAGGAGAAAAUGAGUACAAUCCACAAACUGACAAACCUAAGAUAAGGAACUCAUUGCCAUUCUCUUGGGUCCUCCCCACCCACUCAUGGCCUUCGCCCCCGCCACCACGCGUGUGUGCAACAUCAAUAAAUCCUGCCCUGAAUUCAAUUGAUGGGGUCGGGCGUCUCCUUCCAUAUUUGAUCUCCCUACCUUGAAUUCAGCUAGUGGGGUCCGGGUGUCUCCUCUUUUUUUCUCUCACCCUGACCACCACUUUCUCUGUUGUGGCUCGACCACUUUUUCUAUCGUGUCGUCGGUCUUCUUCAUCUGCUCAACCUCUGUUGUGGCAAUGCGUGCAAUUAUCUUGUGAUGAAUGCAUAACCAACUCGUUACAUACGAAUUCAACUGGUGGGGCCAGGCGUGUCCUUCCAUAUUUGAUCUCCCCACCUUGAAUUCAAAUGGUGAGGUUCGGGUGUCUUCUCUUUUUUUCUUACACCCUGGCCGCCACUUCCUCUGUUGUGGCUCAACCACUUUUUCCUGUCGUGUCGUCGGUUUCCUUCAUCCGCUCAACCCCUGUUGUGGUAAUGCGUGCAAUUAUCUUGUGAUGAAUGCAUAACCAACUCGUCACGUACAUGGACAUGAGAGGUGGAUGCAACAACAAAAAGCAAGGUCACAAUUUCUACGAAUAAAUGCCCACCGAAUAUGUGAUGUGACAUAUAUCACUUCUAGACGAGGAUUAGACAUACCCUCAAAAACGUGGCCACCGUGGUGUCGUCCAGUACAAAAACUCACAAUUUAAACCCUGGUGGGCUGCGCACUGGCGGAGCGUAGUGUAGAUGAAACUGGGCUACGAUUUCCAUAGUGAUUUUUUUCCCUUUCUUUUACUACUAGUAGGUAUACUUACGACUCUGGUCCAGCGCCUCCUCUUGUCUUGACUGUGAGUCAACGCGUCCGCUUCAGCUCUCGUUCCCCAGUCCCCACCCUCCAUGCCUCCCUGGCUGCACGUCCAGCGUCGACGGCCUCGACCUGAUCUCUCAACGACGGCGGCGGCCGCCGCAGCUGACGGGCCGACCUUUAUCCCCUUCUUCUUGGCCGGCUGAUCCUCAGCUUCUCGAUGGUUUGAGGCUUGGAGCAGACCGCUUGCAGGCCUGCACACGGCACUGCACCACGCCAAAGUCGGCCGCCUGGCAUGCGCUCUACGCCAGACGCCAUCGCCGUGGACACCGACGUGUUUUCUUGUAAGAUGUCCAUUAGCUCUUAAUGCUCUAGCACUGCUGCCAUAUAUGAAUGAAUGAUUAUCAGCUGAGCGUGCUUUCCCAAACUGAGCGUGCUUUCUUGAGCUUGAAGAUUAUCAAGUCAAGGCUGCGCAACACAAUAAUAAAAGAUGAUUUUCUUGCAUACAGUUUGCUUCUAAAAAAAGAAUGAGAAAUUGCAUCAAAAAUUGGUUGUGAAGAUAUAAUUGCUGAUUCCAAAAGUAGGAAGAGUAGAAAGAGCAUAUCUAUAGCUAUUAGUUUUGUUUAGUUGUCGUUUGAUCAUUACGCGUGAUCUAUUUUUUGGAGCACCAAAAUUUACUUAUCCACAAUGCGCAGGUAUAUGUGAACCAGUUAUAUCUGUUGUAUUUGUGUGAAUUUUUAUUAUUAUGACAUGGUCUUCUAAUUACCCUUACAUAUGUUCCACUGCUUGUUUUUAGGGGAUAUGUAGUGUGGGUUUUCAUGCAUAUUGUGUGUGUUUUAUAUGAAGUUGGCCCCUCUUAUAUUUUGGUCACGCUCCGCCACUGGGGCUGGGGAUACCGCUGUUCACCUAACCAUCCAACCACGGGUUGGUUCACAUCUUCUUCUAUUUGAUUUUAGAUAUUGUAGUUCAGGUAGAUGUCUAGGUGCACUGGGCAACCACUUUGGAUGGAGCCAAGAACCAAAAAAGUGGAUGGGGGUUAAAUUAAAUUUUAACCAUUUUUAUAUGGAAAUUUCAAGGGUAUGUAUAGAUUUUUUUUUUCUCGAUCUUGGAGGUGGGAGGGGGGCAUUAGUCCCCCUAGGUCCAUCAUUGUGUGUAUGUUCUACGUUACAUCGUACAAAUUCUCAUCACAUUACAACCCCCUAGCUAAGAAUUCUAUGUUGUCUGUAUGUUCGCUUCAAAGGUCUGUUCAAAACACGGUUCGACAAUCUGGCUAACUGCAUCACAUGCCUGGUAUUCAAACGGUUUCCUUGAAUGGGGACGGAGACAGUAGCUUAGGCUAUAUUUACACCACUAAUUCACAUGCUCUGCUCAGUAGCAUCAGCAAGAUUCACCGUCCACCACCACAUAUUGCAACGAUCAUGAUAUGAGAUCAUGAUACGAUUCUCAACCAUCUCUUUCUUCGUUUAGUUUUAUGCCACAUCGUCAAAAUUGCCUAGUUUACAUGCACGAUACUUGCUACGAUACUCCCACUACAUGUGGCAGGGGCAGAGUUGGAGAAAAAUAACCCUGGUGCACAACUUUGUCAUCAACGCCCUGGGCCACCUUUGUUGGGAGGUUUACGUAUGAUGAAAACUACAUACGCGGUUUCAAAGCUUGACACACCUCCCUCACAUGCACGGUUGGUGGCCUUUCAUUACUGAGUGACACGUCCAUGCGACUAAACCAAAAAAUCUCCCAAUCAGUUUUCUGUUUACGUCUCGUCGAAGGAGUUGUUCCGAUCUCGCUGAAAUUUGGGUGUGUCCACCGAGGAAAUAUAACAAGCUUCCCAGUGACGGAGCUAGGGGGUUCCCAUCCCCACCACCAGGUUUGAGAAAAUUCUAUACAUCCAUCCCCACCACCAGGUUUAAGAAAAUUCUAUACAUACCCAUGAAAUCUCCAUAUAAAAUGGUUAAAAUUAUAUUUAACUCCAUCCACUUUAUUGAUUCUUGGCUCCAUUCAUGGAGGUUGCCAAGUGCAAUCAGAUAUUUACCUGAACUACAAUAUCUAAGACCCCUCUUACAAUCAAAUACAAGGGGAGAUACCUGUCCGGAUUUGGAGAAACAUAACCUUCUUAAACCGGUCGCACAACCUCUUCGCCCUUUGCAUUAAGCCAUCAAGGAUAUUGUUAUGAAACUACCCGUGCGUUGCAACGGCUCAUAAAUAUUCUAGUAGAAGUAUGGCACAAAAGUAGUUGGAGACAGUUCUUCAACACCUUAAAGCAAAACCUUCGGAUAAACAACACGGCAGCAUGUACUAUCAUGUCAUAUAAGCCGAUACAGCAACACAAAAGGAGUUCCUAGAUUCAAAGCGCCAUGUUUUGUGUUAGGCACUCGUACUAGAACUUUCACUCAGCUCACAAGAGGGUUGUUCUAAAGAAUUGUUUGCUGGCUUAUGCAAGGACCGGUUACCUACCACAAUUUCGACGAGACAUGGAUAGGUUAAACGUGACGAUUAAGAGGGCGAUCCGAAACUAGGUCUUGGAAUUUGGGAGAGAAGAUGGGGUGGUGGAUGCUGAGUGAGUAGACAACUCCUGCCAUGAUGCCAGCAAAGGAAAUUGCUUCUGCUUCUCUCAGAAAGAAAAUUAGGACCAAUUCACAGUUUUCAUGUUGUUUUGUACAGAAUAUUAGUCUCCUGUAAAUGUUGUCGCGCAUGAUGAACAAUGAAACGUUGCAAAUUAGCACCAAUUCACAGUUUUCAUGCUGUUUCGAUAAAAGCUUAGCCUAAUGAUAUCUUCCCUAUCAAUACUGCAAAUUUGGUAUGUCAAUUUGAUAGCAGCAAACAUCAGGCUCAAAUUCUUGGAAGGUCAAUGUUAUCAAACAUGCUAUCAGGAUCUUGAGAAUGGGAGAGAACUCAGGCCAGCACUUGAGUGGCAACUGCAGACCAUCACGAAAGGGUCUCUAAAUCAGAAUGGAGAAAACUUAAGAUGAACUCAGGCCAGCACUUGAGGCGACAAAAUAUAUGGAUUCUUCAAAUUAAACCAUCCAUACUCAAUAGAGCCCAACAUAAGAUAGGUGAUGACUAGGAGGUACUCAGAUCGAGUAUCAAAAUUCAACAAGCUCCUAUACCACAUAGCAAAGAAGCAAGCCAUGGCGACGGCGGAAGAGGAUGCGAAAGGGUGGUUGGACAACGGCUCGAACGAUGGGAGAAGGGUCUCAGGGGCAGGGUUUUGGGAUGUGGUCGGCCGGCUUAAAUAGCCAGGGCAGGCGGAGCAGCCGAUCGAAAGCAAAGCGCCGGAGUUCUAGGCGGCCGGUCACGCCUGCUCUGAAUCUGCUAACGUUCUCAAGACGACGUGGAAAGGUUAGGGUUUUGGUUGGUUCCGGGGUGUUGGGAGUCCAACAUUGCCGGCGUCCAGAUUGUUUUCAAACUGUUUGUACGAGGAUCGAUUCACAGUUUUCAUACUGUUUGUACAGAGAAGGGGGAGAAUUCGAGCCAGCAAUGUAAGCGGCACCUGUAGACAUAGCUCAGCACUAAUGGAGUAAGAGGCUCAAAAUCAGAUUGACCAAACCUUCAGGAGUGAAAAGCACCACCGUUUUACACAGCAGUUCACAUGAAAACAAGAACAAAUCUCCAUAUUACUUGUCUAGGUUCAGAGACAUAUGGAUCCAUAGUCGGGGAGACAAAAUAUAAGGAUUCUUCAAAUUAAACCAUCCAGGUUCAACGGGGCACAACAUAAGAUAGGUGGAUAACUAGGAGGUACUCAGAUCAAGUAUCAAAACUCAACAAGCACUACAAUAUAACAAUGCACUCUAAUCCUCCUCCUCGCCCUCAUUCUCAGCGAUGUUGAAGUACCGGAGCUCGUACACGUUGCGCUCCUUGUUGGCUGCGAUCACACGAAGCCAGUCCCGCACGUUGUGCUUCUUCAAGUACUUCUUGGUCAAGUACUUGAGGUACCUGAUAAGGCAGAAGAAUGAUGUGAUUAGACUAAACGGCAACAAAAGAUGGUAACUGCUAAUAGCACGCAAAUUGUAGUACAGACAGAAAGAUCUUUCUUCCACUUCAACCAAUGUUGGAUAACGAAUAGUAUAACUGGCCUGAAUGUUCAGUGUUUAGGCAAGGUAAAGAUAAGCUCCACCGCCAAGGCAAUGAUAAGUUAGAACAUUCAGACAAUGCAAGUUAUCUAGCGUUUGAUGUUCCAAUGGUGUAUCUACAAAUACUCAAGCUGCACAAACAAAAUAAAGUGCAAACAAUACAAUUAAAAGGGUCAUGAUAUAUAUUGUGGCAUUUAAGUUCUGAAUAGUUUUGACAAUCGAAAUAUAAUCAGCUAAUUGAGUUAGACAUUUGCAUUUAGGAAAAGCUAGAACGCUCUGUACAAAGGUGAAACUAUGGGAGCCGAAUAAGUACUUCUUGCUGCAGCUACUAACAACUUGGGCAUGCAUCUUAUACAGUUGAGAACAAUAUACAUCAGUGUGUAUGGGGCAUACAGCUACAAUCGAAAGAACAGAGAUAUUGGCCAAUCGCAACUACGCCACCGCAAAAUGAACCAAUCCAAGCUCAUACUUAGUUCUCAGAUCUACUAUUACGCAAAGACAGUCAUGAAUUCAGGAACUGCAGGUGGGGACACAGGAAGGAAGGCAUGAUGGAGCGUGGAAGGCGCGCGGGGUAUACCUCUUGGAGAAGGCGCCGUCGGAGGUGACGGUGACCUUGCUCUUGUCGCGCGUGACGGUGACGGAGUCGCCGAGGUUCCCGGCCUUGCCGCCGGCGACCUUGAUGCGCUCCUGGAGGAACUUCUCCAGCGACGCGAUCUCCAUGAUCUUGUCCUCCACGGGCUUGGUGCAGUCGAUCACGAAGGAGACGGACCCCUUCUUCUUGCCCUUCGCGGCCGCUGCCGCCGCCGCCGCGCCGCGAGCCAUCUCACCUUCUCUUCCUCCUCGGCCGGCGCUCGCUCGGGUUGGGUGGGGGUUCGUGUGGCGGCGCGCAGGCGGCUAGGGUUAGAAGAUGGGCGAGAGAGGGGUCGCGCGCUAUAUAUAGGCCUUGUGGGCUGCCAUUCUCAUGGGGCAAGUCACUGGGCUGGCUCGUUGGGUCUCGAUCAUAUUGGAUCUUGGAAGGCACCUAAGGCCCAUAAAACAUUUGAGCAUUCGAUGUGAGGAGGUGCCAAUUAUCAUUUCAUAUUUUGUCUCAAUUUUUUUAAACAUUUCCUAUUGCGGGUCUGGCCGCCAUGUUUGGUUAGGUCAGUCGGAUAGUAUUUUUUUCGUCCCAGUAAACAUUGUGAAGUUUGAAUAUUGCGAGGUUGUCUCAAAUAAAUAAAUCCUAUUGGGUGCCCUCAGAGCCGAUUACACGCACUUCUACAAACCAGUGCACACCCUCCUCCUUCCUGGGCUCGGCCCAUUUACUCGUUUUUUUGUUUCUUCGAACUUCAAAAAAUGCUCACACAUGAGAUUCAAAAUCAGAACCCCAUGGUUCAGUAGUAACCGUGAUAACCAAUUGGACACCACACCUUACGUGCCUACUUAGUCUUUUUUCCAUUCUUUUGUUGUGCAUCAAAUUGUAACGCUAAGAAAGGACUCUGCCUUUUCUUUUUCUUCUGAUUUAGUUUGGGCAUUUGUUCUUUGGUUUUUUUUCUUGUUUUUUUUUUCUCCCGUUCCUAUUUUAAAAUGCGUGCACUUUUUUCAAAUUUCAAGAUUUUUUCCCAUUUUUUUGCUUUUUUCGUUUUUUGUUACAUUCCAUGUGAACAUUUUUCAACAUCGUGAACUUUUACAAUUUUUGAAACCUUUUUUUUCAGAAAUUGACAAACUGUUUUUCAAAAUCAAUAUGAGUAAUUUUUCAAAAUCAUUUCCAAAACUGAUGACUUUUUUCAAACUCAUGAACUUUUUUCCAAGUUGAUGAACUUUAUCAAAUCUAUAAUUUGUUUUUUAAGUCAAUGAACUUUUUAAAAAUUCAUGAACUUAUUUUCAUAAUAAGUGAACUUUUUUCAAUUUUUGAAAAGUCAAUGUGGUCUACUACAAGCGGUAAAAGGUUCAAUGGUCAAUUGAUGCCGGAGUUUUUUUCUUGUUUGAGAAUCAACUGAUGCCCGAGCUAGCAGUGAGAAUCCAAUGAGCAUGCGAGUUUUGUUUGGUCAAGCAAUCGAGAGAAGUGAUCGGUUGUGCUAUAUGGGCCGGCCCAGAUGACCUUGCACGUGACCGUCGCCUGCUAAAUUAGCGCACAAGGCACCAACAAGGAGACUAAAAAAGGAACCAGCAAGGAGCUCUCGUGCAAUUGUUGGUUCCUAUUUCGCGCCUUAAGUGUCGGUUAUCACGGAGUUCACUAGCCGGUGCACACCCUCCAACCGAGCGGGACGGCCUAUUUACGAUUGUAGUUGUAGUGCAUUUUCUUAUGCAGAUUUUUUUGUUUUUUAUGUGUGUUUUUUGGGUCCGGUUUUGUUCAUUUGCUUUUCUUUUUUCUUUCCUUUUUAAUUUUAAUUUUGGACUUUUUCCUAUUAAAAUUCAUGAACUUUUCAAAUUAUCGAACUUUCAUCGUGUCAGCUUUUUGAAUCAACUGAAUUUUUUCAAAUUUGACAAAAAAAUUCUAAAAUUCAUGAACUUUUUUCAAAUCUAUAUUUUUUCAAUAUUGAUGAACUUUUUCCAAACUGACAAUUUUUUCGAAAAUCCAGGAUUUUAAUUUUCAAAAUUGAUGAUUUUUUCUAAAUUCGUGAUUUUUUCAAAUCCAUGAACUUUUUUCCUAUUCAUGAGGUUUUUCAAAGUUUUCAGCUUUUCCAUAUACCUGAACUUUUUUGCAAAUCUAUGAACUUUUUAGAAUCCACGUUCUUCCAAAUUUUUUAUUUUUAUUUCAUUUUUUCGAAUUUAUCAGAUUCAUUUUUUUCAUAAGUCAAAAGUUGAGCGAACUUAGGAGUACUGAGCGACCAACCAUUCUUGGGCUUGGCCCAGGGAGCCUUCAUGUGAGCGCCAUAGAGAAGAUCCGACGCUAAAGGCACCAUAGGACUUAUCGCGGCCAAUCCUACUAGUCCCCGCGUCGUAACGCCGGGAAUACCACGCAAAUGUCCACCCUCCAAGGGUAGAACUGUUACAUGAACUGGACCAUUUUGCAUCUCUCCUGUGUGUUUACCAUUGGAUCAAAUUUUAUUCAUUGUUCCUUUCUCUGAUUUACUUCGGUUUUCUUUUGGUAUUUUUCGUUUUUACUUUUCAUUUUUAUUUAUUCCUUUUUAGUUUAUGAAUAUUUUAAUAUAUUUUUAAUUCAUGGGUAUUACUUAGAAAUCACCCAAACAUUAUCAAAUUGAUGAACAUUUUUAUUAAUGAAUAAUUUUUAAUUCAUUAUUUAUAUUAAUUGGUGAACAUUUUUUGAAAUAAGGAGGAUUUCUGUUCUUUCAUGUAAUAUGUCUUUAAUGCACAUAUAUUUUUCAUAUUCGACAAAACAUUAUUGGUCCACAACAAUUGUUAAAUUUGUGAAAAAAAAUUGAAUUCAUGAAAAAUAUUUGAGUUCGUGAACAAUUUUUAAAUUUGCAAACAUGUUUCAGUUCAGGAAUUAUUUUUUAAUUCUUGAAUAUUAUUUCAAUUAGCAACUACUUUUAAAAAUUAGGAACAUUAUUGUAACUCAUGAACAUUUUUUCUAUUUGUAAAUCUUUUUAAAACUUCUUUUCAAAUUUGCAAAAUUUUAAAUUCACUACUAUUUUCUUUUUUGUGAGCAUUUUUUGAAUUUGCAGACAUUUUCUUAAAUUCACGAACAAUUUUGAAAUCAUGAACAUUUCUUUCAAAUUUGCAACAUUUUAAGGUCCCUAAGCUAGUUUUAAAAUUAGAAAUUGUUUUAAUUGAAAACUAACUGAAAUAAAUAGCAGAUAAAAAUCAUUUAAAAGAAGGAACCGAAAAAAAUGAACAAAACAAACAUUAGCUAACUUAUGGGUCGGCCCAUAUUGGUGUUUUGCUAGCUGCGGGGUGCGUGUCGGAGCUAAAUCCGAGAGAUCCCUAAGUAGGGGAUCCUAACUAGGCGACUUGGCGAGAUGGUAACAGAGAUAAAGGCUUUAGCGCGGGUUCGAGCUCUCACGGUGGAGAUAAUGCCCUACGCCCUGCUCUUUGCGUUAUUGCGCCGGGGUGUAUACAAAGUACAAAGUACCGAGAGAUUCCCUGUGUUCCAUGAUGAGCCCGACCCCCAGCUUAUAUAGGGGAGACUAGUAUAGGAGCUCACAUUAGGUGAGAUCAAUGAGAUCUACCACAAAAAUUUAUAUUUAGACAUUUCAAAAAAAAUUAUGAAAUUAUUCGAGAACAAACCCGAGGGGUGUGUCUACAACUCGAAAAAACAGCUCAAAACUCGAUGUACAGUUAGAGAUACAAAAAAGACAAAUUGUAUGACAUAUCUGGGUGAAUGGUAUUUUAAAACUAUUCACAUCCGAUUUGUCUUUUUAGUGCAUGCCAAAUUAGGGGUUGAGACUUUUGAGGGUUGUACAUCAAACAUUGAUGUGUGUGUAUAAAUGUUUUGAGAAUGUUUGAACUUGUUUUCUGUUUUCAAAAGAAAUGAUCUCAUUGAUCUCACCUAAAUUGAGAUCUUAUAAUAGCCUCCCCUCCUUAUAUAGCAUAUCGGGGGUCCUAGGGUUUACACUCAUGGGUCGUCCAAAGUGGCCUAGGACGAAACCGGCGAAGGGGUCCUUAGUCUAGCACAUCAAGCUGGGUAUCGUCAUAAUGAGCGGCCCCUCCGCGCGGACAUUGCCAGUGCACGUUUGUCCAUUAGCAAGCAUUCCACGCUUUCGGCGCCGCCUGGCACUAUGGUGCGCACGCGCGCUUACAUGGGCUGGCGCAAUAGUGGUGCCCACUCGCCAACUCACCCAUGCUCUAGCAUUUUAAUUUUUCUCUCGCCAUUUUACUGUUGUUUUGUGAUCUAAAAACCGUAUACUUUUCUUAAUUUUGAAAAACUGGAGAAAUAAAAUUUUGGCCAUGGAUUUAGUCCAUGAAUUUGAAAAAUGACUUGCGGAUCCUGAAAAGUUUGCAAAUUUUGGAAAUAGUUCAGGAAUUUAAAAAGCAUCCAUGAUUUUGAAAAUUGUACAUGAAUUUGGAAAAUGGUUAAGAAAUUGGAAAAUAAAUGUUCAUGUAUUUGAAAAGUUCACAAAUUGAAAAAUAUUCAUGAAUCCAUAAAAAGUUCAUGAAUUUUAAAAACAUUUGCGAAUUUGAAAAAAGAUGUGAAUUUUGAAAUAUAUUUGCGGAUUUUUAAAAGUUCACGAGUUUGAAAUUAUUUUUCAAAUUUGGAAAUAGUCAUACAUUGGAAAAAAGACACAAAUAUGGAAAAAUAAUCAUGAAUUUGAAAAGGGAUCAUCAAUUUUCAUACCUAUUUUUAUAAAAAACAUGACAUUUAGAUAGAAGGCAGAGAAAAAAGAACAAAAUAGGGAAGAAAAACAAAGCUUCCCCAGAACAGGAACAAUUCAAAGAGUUAUGGUCCAACCUAGUUACUAAGAGGCCGAAGGAAUCCUUGGUGUGUUGUCUCUCGGAUGAGACCGUUGACGAUGCCAACCACCUCCAAUGACUCCACGAUGGCGCUGGAGGAACCGCUGACACAACAUGGAUAGAAAGGAUGAAAGAAGACCUCGGCAAGACCUUUUCUGCCGUCUUCAAGGUUUUACUUAGACACAAAUCCAUGACUCAUUAUAGAAUUGCACCGAGGUGGUGCCCCUAUGUCGGGGUUUUCGUGUGACAUAUGCCAAGGGAUGGCUUAUCAUGGUGGGGGAGAGUAAUAUGUCGCCGGUGCCUAGAAAUGGGAUAGGGCGUAAACACGAACGCCGACGCACUUUACCCAGAUUCAGGGCUCUCCUAGGAGAUAACACCCCUAGUCCUGCUCUGCGAGGUCUCCGGAUGAUCACUAUCUCAACAAGUAGCUACAAGGUGCUCCUUGAGCUGUUUGGCUAGAGGAGGAAGAAGGGCUAGGCUAGCUCAACUCCUCUCUAUGGUCUGUGUGUUAUCUAAGAAGCUGAACCCUUUGCAUGGGUGCCCUGGGGGGUUAUAUAGGCCUACCCCCCAGGGGUACAACGGUAAUCUGGCUGGGUGUAGGACCCGUCUGUCAGUGUCUCUGAUGGCCGGCUUCUCCGCCGGCAGCUGGGGCCCGCCGCCUGGUGGGUCCCGCCAGCUGUCUUGUACUCGGCCGACAGGCCGCGCCCGCCGCUUGCGGUCUUGCUGGCUGCUUAGUACUGUGGCAGCGCCUCUGAUGAUGUGUGCUUUGUCGGGGAGAGCGUGGCUACAGUCCUGCCGCAUGGUGGGCGUUCACUGUAGCCACUCCCCGUCUCUUCUGGUUAAUGGCGCACAAACUCCAAGGAAGGGGAGGGCUGCCAGGUCAGGAGCCGGCCUCCCACUGAGCCGACUGGUCAGGCUCGCCGCCUUCUGGCUUCUCACUGAUAGGUAGGGCCCGCCGCCUGUGGGUCGUACCGACAGUCCGUCGUGGGAGCAUGGCCUUCUCUGCCAUGGAUGAUGUCAGGAGCCGCGUGGCAACAGUGCCGCGCCGGGCGAGGGAUGUCCGCCUAGUACGCUGCACUGUGGCCACGCCCCGCCCUGGAUUCGGGGGGUGACAUGCUGCACUGUAGCCACGCCCCGUCUCGUCGUGUUUAUGUGGGUGCAAACUUUGAGGGCAUGGGGAGCCGCCGGCUGGGAGCCGGCUCUCUGGAGGCCGCCUGCCAGGAGUCGGCCCACUUCAAGGCCGCCUUCUGGAUUCCGCCGCCUUCCGGCAGCCGGCCGCUUGGACCAGCCGGCCCUAAGAAGGCGGUCCUUUGUCUUUGAUGCUUGAGGGGCGCAGCCGCCCCUGAUGUAUUGAAAUACCAAGGGAGCCUGAUGAGGCUAUCUGUGGUCAUUUACUCCGACAAUAGUCCCUAAAGCUAGUGGGGCGCCGCAGCUGAAAAGGCGAGGAGCCUCGGCAGCUUCCUACUCUGAGUGGUCUGGUUGCUUUGGUUCGUCCAUCUUCCGCAGUGUCGACUGCUGGGAGUCGGCCACGACUAGGCAGGCCGCCUAAUGAUUUCGAAACGUCGUGGCGGGAGCCAGGUGGCACGCCAGCCGGGCGCCAGGCUUGCUGCCCGCUGUCCGCACGCCACGCGGUGCGAGCCGGCUGGGCCAGCCUGCCAGCCCAAGCGCAUGAUGGGACGUCGCCGCAGGCUGGGGCCCGCCACUACCAGGCCUCAGCACGCGCGCGGAUCCGUUGCGGCCAAGGCGGACGGUUGAGAUUCCGGGGCGCAGUAAAUGCACGCCGUUACUGCGCGGUAAACUGGGAAUCGUGGGGUUGUGGGCGCAGUUAAUCCCACGACCCCCCACGUUCCGCCCCCUCGUCUCCGUCUCCAGGGGCUAUAAGUAGGGGGAGGAGGGGGGCGGCAGACGCACGCGCGCCCUCCUCUCCCUUUGCUUUGGCCAUCGUCAUUCUUCUCUUCCUCUUCUCCGCUGCUGCAACACCUCUUCGUCUCGCCGAGGCGUUGCCGCAGCACAGCGUCGCCGGGCUUCUUCUCGCCGCGGCCUUCUCGCUCCGCCGCGGUUCCGCCCGCUCGCCACCGCACCGUGCUUCCGACGAGCUCUUCGUCCAUGGCGCGCUUACGGGCCAACGACUGGGACGGCUCGAAUGUCCAUGAGGACCACCUCUCCUUCCUUCAUCAAACACGGAGGCUGCCCCGGGAGACGAACGUGAAGGUGCGUGUCCCCCCCCCAGGCAGAAAUCUCGCCGGUGCCAGAGGACGACGAACGCAUCGUCUUUCGCUCCCACUUCCUUCGUGGCUUCGGCCUUCCGGCGAGUGGCUUCUUGCGCUCCUUCCUCAACUUCUACCAUGUCCAGCCGCACCACCUCACGCCAAACACGGUGGUGCUGCUGUCCGCCUUCGUCACCAUGUGCGAAGGUUACCUCGGCACUCUGCCCACCCUCGAGCUCUGGGCAGAGUGCUUCUACCUCAAACUCGGCACCGCCACCAAGGGCACGGCGGCUCAGUGCGGAGCCUGCGUGGCGGUGCGGCGUCCGGGUGCCCGGAACUGCUUCCCGCCCAUCUCCUUGCUGCAGUCGGGCAAGCUGUGGCAGAAGUCCUACUUCUACAUCAAGAACAUACACCCGACGAUGGACUACAUCAACCUGUCGGCCUACAUGGCCAGCCCGCUUGCCGAGCCGCGCGCCAACUGGCAGUACAAGCCGAGCACUCUGUCGGCCACCUCCUCCGCCGCCCUCGCCCGACUUCAGGUGAUGACGGAGUCGGAGGGUCUCAAGGGCUCGGACCUGCUGGCCGCCUACGUGGCAUGCCGGGUGCUGCCCCUUCAAGCCCGGCUGCACAUCAUCAACAGCAUGAGCGGGCACUGGGACCCGUGCCGGAUGAGCACGGGGGAGAUGCCGGACGUGGAGGUGGCCCGACUGGUUAACUACUUCUUCAAUUGCAAGUUGUCGGAGAAGGAUUGGUAGUUCGGCAAGCUUUGCCGUCUGAUCAGUCGGCAAUGGAACAGUCGGCAAUGGAACAGUCGGCAAUGGAACAGGUCUUGUUAUUCUUUUCCUCUUUGCUUGUUCGAGUUCUUGCUUUGCCGUCUGAUCAGUCGGCAAUGGAACAGGUCUUCUCGACCCAGUCGGCCGUCGACGCUCUGGAGCCGGGCUAUGUGUUCAUGCCGGACCGGAUGAAGAGCGAUGUGGACGACCCCGACUUGGGGAUGGACGCCAUGGAGGAGGAUGACGCCAUGGGUGGCGUUAGUGGAGCAGGCGGCUCCGGAGGGGGAGGCGGCCUCGAAGAUUGGCCGGAUGAUGAUGAUGAGGAGAACGUGUCGCGUCACGCGCACGGCACCGACAAGGCGGGUGAGAGCUCCUCAGUCGCGCCGACUGCACCAGGCGGCGCGCCGAAGCGUCGAGCCGGCUCGUUGCUGUUCGGCAGCGGCCGAAGCCCAGGAGCACGACUGCUGCGACCAAGCGGCAUGAGGCCGCCUCGAAGGCGGUCCAGUUCCAGAAGCCCCCGAAACAGCCCUCGAUGGUGUCCGCGUAAGUGCUCGAUUUUUCUUUUGCAUUUUCUUUUCUUUUCGCAAAUUCUUUCCGAGUUUCUUCUUAUCUUGUUUGAACAGGGCCCCGCUCUCUCUUGAGCGGUCUGCCUCUGCUUCCGUGAUCGGGGCGGCGGAAGGUUCCGCCAACACCCGCCGCAUAGACUCGCUCGCCGACCUCCAGGAGGCGACAGAAAAGAACGCGCGGGAGGCGCGCGAGGAGCGGGAGGAGGCGGAACGGCAGAGGGCGGAGGCGGCCAAGGUGGUGCAGGAGGAGGCGGACGCGGCGGCCAUGGCCCAAGCCUAUGCCGCGGCCAAGGCCUAGGCGGACGCGGUCGCCAAGGCGCAGGCGGAAGAGGCCGCACGCAGCCAGACUCCGCAACUCAUUAUCCCCCUGCGCUCCGCGCCACCGGCGCCCGAGAUCCCAGCGCCGACUGGAGGAGCCGGCGAUGACCAGCCGGCCAUGGAGAGGGACGGGGGCGACGCCGUCAUCUUGAGGGCAGAGGUGCCCCCGCAAGCGCCGACUGCCGAGGCCCAAGGUAGUCAUCUUGACGUGCCGCUGGUGCCGCCACUCAACGACGAGCUGGUGGUGGGGGCGACCCCCGUGGUCCGCACUCCAGGGCGCCGGCGUGCGGCGAAAGCGGCUUCAGCGCCACCGCAAUAGGAGAUCAGGGCCGCGAGCUCGUCAGCCCCUAAGGCGGAGGCCUCCAGUGCCGCCUCGCCAGACUAGACGCCUAGGGGCGGGGACGGGUGUCCUGAACAAGGCUGCGCACGAGGUUCAGACCCAGUUUCAGGCCCAAGGCACCGCCCUCCAGAACUACACGAAGGCAUUUCUGGCUACGCGAGGGGCCGUCCGGGUGUGCCCCUUGUGCUUUGCUUCUUUAAUUCUUGUAAUCUUCCGUGGCGGCGCGCCAGCGCACCCACUGGGUGUAGCCCCCGAGUUCCGGGCUGGUUGCUGAGUAGGCGGCUCGGAACUUAAAGGUAAGUUUCGAGUGCCGACCCUUUCUUUCCUUCUGUUGUCUUCGUUGCAGGAUUACCACAACAUCUGCGCAGCCGCCUACAACUCCCAGGUCCAAGAGCUGGCCAAGCGGAUCGCUGACUUGUCCGAGAGCCGGAGUAAGCACUCCGUUCUUUCUCUCUCGCGCGGGGGCGCGUCAGCACACCCGCUGGGUGUAGACCCCAAGAUUCGGGCCGACUGCUGAGCAGUCGGACCGGAUCUCCCGGCAACCACUUCUCUUUUUUUUGAUUGUUGAUUGUGUUUUCUUUCUCGUCUUUGCAGGGGCCAACGCCACAUUGUAGCAGCGCCUGGGCGAAGCCCAAACCGCGCAGCGCGCCAAGGAGGAGGAGUGCAGUAAGGCGGCCCAGGAGUGCGACUGCCUGGUCAAGGAGCUGGCGGACCAGGCGGAUCGUCACAAGGCGGCCCUCCAGGCGGCAAAGGAUAGCGAGCCCAACCUUCAGGCCGAGUUCGAGACUGAACGCUCGGCCUGGGCCGAGAAGGAGAAGGCUCUUUCCGCCGCCUACGGCGAGAUCGAGGACAUGAUUGAUGGUGAGUUAUCUUUUCCUUUCUUUCGUCUGCCGACUGUUAGAUGAGCCGGCUUCCGACUUCACAUUUCUUUUUUCCUUUUUGCGCAGAAUACUUCCCUGGUCACUCCGUUGCCGCCAACCAGGCCAUCGAGACCCGUCGCAAUGAAAGAAGGCAGGCUGGAGCAGAAAUCGCGCCCAACGCCCCUCAAUCCCUUGGCGAGCAGCUUCUCGCCAUUCAGGCUCGUCUCCAGCCAGCUCAUCGGAUGCUCUGCCGCCUGCAGCGUGUCGGGGCCCAGGUGAUCUUCGCCCUCUGGCUAGGCAUCCAAACUCUGCGCACCCCCAGUCGGACCGCCGACUGGUUGGAGGUGGUUGUUGGCCGCUUCGAGGCGUGGAAAGGCUCCUCAGCCCGGGCAGGCGCACGGCGGGCCUUGGAGUUCAUCAAGGCGUGGUAUCCUGGGCUGAACCUAGCCCAGGUUGCCACGUUCCGACAGGAGGCCCGCGAGGAGUUGGUGGCAGUGGGGCCUGAUCUCACUUGACGUGCGGCGGCGAUCGCUGAGUACACCGAAACUGGCGUCUUCCUCCACGAGCUGGAUGAGGAGGGUGUCGAGGUGCCGCCGAACUGGUUCAGGCUAAACCCGGAUGACGGCGAAGACUUGAUGGAGGAGAUUGCCUCCAGCGACGAGGGCAAGGAUGAUGAGGGUGAGGAUGGUGAAGACGACGCGCCAGAUGAUGGAGCGGACAGUCAGCCUCGGCUCGAUCGAGCCUCGAGCAACGAGCCGCGCGUGACCACGCCGACUGCCACCGAUGCUGACCAGGCCGAGACUCGCCAGACGGCCACUCCACCAGCCGCGCCGCCGACUUCACCAGACUUCCGGACCCGCCUGUUGCUCCUUUGGCCUAGGCGGCCAGUUUUAUCUUAUCUUUUCCUGCUUUGUAAUCUUUUGAACAAGAUUGUUAAAUUUGCGCAGUUCCACCCGCUGGGGGUGUAUUCAAACUUGUUGAAUGCUGGCCACGGGCCUUUUGAUAUGUAAAUUAAUUCUCGUACGGGUUGUGCUUUUGCCGAGUUCCGACUUGUCUUGCUUUCUGUUCUUUUGGAUUUUUCCUUUGCCGUCUUCCCUUGGCUGCUACCUUGCCAGCCAGACAGCCGCUCUGCGGACUGUGGCUGGGUCAAUUACUUAGCCAUUCGGGAGGACAAGUACUUUGGCCGACUAGAACGUAGCAAGUUAAGUAAGAAGCCGGCCGGCCGGCUACUCAGCAGCCGGUCGGUGAGGCGAGGAGCCGGCUUGGCCUAUGUGAAUGCUUUUGUCCUUAGCCACUUUUCAUGUGGGCACCAUUCCCUGCCUUUAGCUCUUGCCAACCGAACAAUCGCUCUACAAGCUGUGGCUUGUGGCAAGAGAGAGCUCAGGUGCCGGCACACUACUUGUUCGACUGCAGGUAGCACCAACAUAGUACAAGGCGGCAAGCCCCCGGGCCGACUGGUCGAACCCGGUGCCAGGCGGAAGAAUGAAAUAACACAUUCAUAGGCAUAAAACUUAUCAUAUAGAUAAAAAGGGUAGCCCCCGAGUGCUCCUCGAGGGACCCGAUGUCUUUGCGCUUAAUACAAAAGGUAGCGUGAUACAUACUGCAUCAACUAUAAAAUCUUCGAAGGAGAUUUGCAUUCCAAGGGCGCUUUGUUUCCUUGCCGGAGUCGUCCCUCUUGCGUGCCCUGGGCUUCUAUGUAUCGAUCCGAUAGUAGGAGUCAUUGCCCAAGGCUUUGCUGAUGAUGAAGGGGCCUUCCCAAGGCGCAGAGAGCUUGUGGUGGACGGCUGUUCGCUGGAUCAGCUGGAGCACAAGGUCCCCCUCUUGGAAGGAUCUUGGCUUGACCUUCCGACUGUGGUAGCGGCACAGACUCUACUGGUAGAUGGUGGACCAGCUGAGUGCCAACAGCCAACCCUUUUCUAGCAGAUCGACGUCGUCUUCUCGUGCUUCCUUCGCCUCUGCCUUCGUGUACAUGGUGACGCGAGGUGAAUCGAACUUGAUGUCAGUUGGGAUGACAACCUCGGCCCCGUGCACGAGGAAGAAGGGCGUGAAGCCGGUUGACUUGUUCGGAGUGGUGCGGAGACUCUAGAGGACAGCCGGCAGCUCGUCGAUCCAACAGUCGGCCGAACGCUCUAGAGGCUCGACCAGUCGGGGCUUGAUGCCGGACAAGAUGAGGCCGUUUGCUCGCUCAACUUGGCCGUUUGACUGCGGAUGGGCAACGGACGUUAAGUCCAGUCGGAUGCCCAGCAUAGUGCAGAAACGGGCCAAGGCGCCUUUGGCAAAGUUUGUGCAUUGUCGGUGAUGAUGCUGUGUGGUACACCGUACCGGACGGUGAUAUCUGCGAUACCAGUCGGACCGUUUAGUUUCUUGAUUGGCUUCGCUUCAAUCCACUUGGUGAAUUUGUCCACGGCGACAAGCAGAUGGGUCAUGUCGCCGCGUGCUGUCUUGAAUGGGCCCACCAUGCCCAGCCCCCAGACGGCAAAAGGCCAGGUAAGGGGGGUGGUCUUGAGUGCAGAAGCUGGCAGAUGUUGCUUGGAGCUGAACUUCUGACACCCUUUGCAUUUUUUGACCAAAUCUUUGGCAUCUUCUAGAGCAGUCGGCCAGAAGAAACCGUGGUGGAAAGCUUUGGCGACAAGGGAUCUUGAGGCCGCGUGGUGGCCGCACUCGCCUUGGUGGAUGUCUUUGAGGAUUGCUUGGCCCUUCUCUGGCUCUAUGCAGCGCUGGAACACGCCAGUGAUGCUGCGCCUCACGAGUUCUUUGUUGACUAUGGUGUAUGCUGCUGCCCGAUGUUGCACCUGUCGGGCCAAGAUCUCGUCGGCUGGUAGCUCUCUGCUCACCAGAAAGUUGAGGAUGGGCUGCGCCCAUGAUGGUGCUUCGAUUUCAUCAACUGUCACCACGGCUACUGAUACUAGGGCGGUUGGGUUGGGAGGCGGCGGGGUGGAGUCAGCCGCCGCUAGCUGUGUUGUUGAAGUCCCCGGGCCGACUGCUGCAGCCCCCGGGCCGGGCUCUGGAGUCCCUGGGCUGGGUGCGACAGCUGCAGUCCCCGAGCCGCCUGCCGAAGUCUCCGGGCCGACUGCUGCAGCCUCCGGGCCGGGCUCUGAAGUCCCCGGGCCGGGUACGACUGCUGCAACCCCCGAGCCGCAUGCCGAAGUUCCGGGCCAGCUGUUGCAGCCCCCGAGUCGGAUCCGACUGUUCCGGGAUCAGCCGGCACGAAGAUAGACUCUGAUUCCGGCGAAGGCUUGAUAGACAGCUUGAGGAGGCGCUGAAGGGAGACGCCGACUGGUAUGGCUUGCCAGGUGGAGCCGAUCCGUGCCAGGGUAUCUGCUUGCUCGUUGUCGUUCCGUGGCACGUGAAGGAACUCGCACCCUUCAAGAUAUCCGCUGAGUUGUUGGACAAGGAAGCGGUAGCUCGCCAUAUUUGCAUCCUUGGCGUCCCAGUCGCCAGACGACUGUUGGACUACCAAGUCUGAGUCGGCGUAGCGCUGGAUCCGGCGGAUGCCGAGCUCUUUAGCCAGCCGGAGUCCAUGUACGAGUGCCUCAUACUCGACCACAUUGUUGGAGGCUGCAAAGUGGAUUUGCAAUAUGUAUCUGAGCUUGUCGCCUUUGGGAGAGGUGAGGACGAUGCCAGCUCCCAAACCGGUGCGCAUCUUUGAGCCAUCGAAGUGCAUCCGCCAAUGGGUGGAGUCCGACGCUGGCGGCAGGUACUGGGUCUCGGCCCAGUCAACGAGGAAGUCAACCAGCGCUUGGGACUUGAUGGCGGUGCGAGGCUGGUAGAAGAUGGUAUAGGGGGCCAGCUCGAUGGCCCAUUUGGCCACCCGGCCCGAUGCAUCUCAGCUGCCUAUGAUUUCGGCAAGCAGGGCAGGGCAGACAACCAUGAUGGGGUGCUCUUGAAAGUAUGGCUUGAGCUUCUUGGCGGCAAAGUGCACGCCGUAGCACAUCUUCUGGUAGUGGGGGUAGUUCUGCUUGGAGGCUGACAGCACCUCGCUUAAGUAAUACACAUGCCUCUGGACCGGCAGUGCUUUGCCGUCUUCUUGGCGCUCUACCACCACGACUGUGGUGACCACUCGGCUGGUGGCGGCAAUGUAGAGAAGCAUGGCCUCCUUAGCAGCCGGAGCGGCCAGAACAGGCGGCAUGGUCAACAUCUUCUUGAGCUGGAGGAAGGCCUCGUCCGCCUUGUCGUUCCACUCAAAGUGAGUGGUUUUCUUCAUGAGCUGGUACAGGGGAAGAGCCUUCUCGCCCAGCCGACUGUUAAAGGGGCUGAUGGAUGCCAAGCAGCCGGUAAACUUCUGGACGUCUCGCAGUCGGGUGGGUCUCUCCAUCCUCUCGAUGGGUUUGAUAUUUACGGGGUUGCACUUAAUGCCGCGCUCUGAGACUAGGAAACCAAGGAGCUGGCCGGCUGGCACUCCAAAGACACACUUCUCUGGGUUGAGCUUGAUCUGAAAAUGGCGCGGAUUUUCAAAAGUUUCCUUGAGAUCUUCCAAGAGAGUGCCACGCUUCUCUGUCUUCACCACAAUAUCGUCUACAUAGACAUGGGCAUUUCUGCUGAGUUGCUUGAGGAGGCACUUCUGCAUGCAAUGCUGAGAGGUGGCACCAGCAUUUCUCAAGCCGAAUGUCAUAGUCAGGUAGCAGAAGGCUCCGAAUGGUGUGAUGAAGGUGGUCUUCAGCCUGUCGGCCGGGUUCAGCUUGAUCUGGUGGUACCCUGAGUAGGCAUCCAAAAACGCAGCAGCUCGCAUCCGGCUGUGGAGUCUAUCACUUGGUCAAUCUGAGGCAAAGCGAACGGAUCUUUGGGGCAAGCUUUGUUGCGGCUGGUAUAGUCAAUACACAUGCACCAUUUGUUGUUCUUCUUCAGUACAAGGACUGGAUUGGCAAGCCACUAUGGAAGGAACACUUCCAUAAUGAAGUCGGCUGCUAGAAGCCGGGCUAUCUCUUCACCAACAAUUCUUCUCUUCUCCUCUGACAGGCGACGGAGGGGUUGUUUGACUAGUUUUGCAUCUGCUCUGACGUGUAGCUUGUGCUCGGCGAAAUCCGUCGGAACACCCGGCAUGUCCUUGGGAGACCAUGCAAAGAUGUCCCGAUUCUCACGGAGGAAAUCGACGAGCUUGCUUUCCUAUUUGCUGUCAAGGUGAGCACCUACGACAGCAAACCUCUCCGGGUGGUCCGGGUCCAAGGGAAUCUUCUUGGUUUCUUUGGCCGGCUAGAAGGAGCCCUAAGUCUCCAACUCCUUGGGGUCUGGUGACAGGUCCGGCUGCUUGCCGGCCAUGGCCACAACCCGGUCAAGGAGCUUCCUCUCGGCAGCAAUCACAAGGGACUCGGCCAGCCGGCUGCUGGCAGCGGCACAGGAGGCCGACUUCUUGUAAUCACCAGACACGGUGAUAAUGCCCUUGGUUUCUAGCAUCUUCAUCUUGAGGUAGGCAUAGUGUGGUACCGCCAUGAACUUGGCCAGGGCAGGUCUGCCAAGCAGUGCAUGGUAAGGGCUCUCUAGAUCCACCACCUCAAACCAAAUUGCUUCGCGGCGGAAGUGAUCUUUGUCUCCGAAGAGGACAUCUAUCUUGAUCUUGCCGAUUGGUGAGCAGGAAAGGUCAGGUACAAUGACAUGGAAGACAGUCCGACUGGGCUGGAGCUCCUUCUCUUUGAUGCACAGCUUCUCCAUAGUGUCACGGUAGAGGAUGUUGAUGCUGCUACCGCCGUCUAUCAGAAUCCGGGAGAAGCGAGCAGCUCGCCUCUCUGUUGCAAAGGUUGCAUCCAACACCAGGGCAUAGGAACCUGGAGAAGGCAUCACCUCCGGGUGGUCGGCUCGGCUCCAACUGAUUGGCUUCUCGGACCAGUGCAUAAACUCUGGGGCUUCGGAAGCGACAACAUUCACCUCUCUGUGCUGCUAACGUCGGCUGUGCUUGUCGUCGGCCAGGCUGGUUGAAAGAUCAUGGAUGUCGCCUAGACGGGGGGGGGGGGGGUGAAUAGGCGCUUUAAAAUAAUUACAGUUUAGGCUUGAACAAAUGCGGAAUAAACCUAGCGGUUAAUUUGUCAAGCACAAAACCUACAGCAACUAGGCUCACCUAUGAGAUAAACUACAAGGUGAUAGCAAGAUAUAUGACAAGAAACAAUAUGGCUAUCACAAAGUAAAGUGCAUAAGUAAAGGGCUCGGGUAAGAGAUAACCGAGGCACGCGGAGACAACGAUGUAUCCCGAAGUUCACACCCUUGCGGAUGCUAAUCUCCGUUUGGAGCGGUGUGGAGGCACAAUGCUCCCCCCAAGAAGCCACUAGGGAUACCGUAAUCUCCUCACGCCCUCGCACAAUGCAAGAUGCCAUGAUUCCACUAAGGGACCCUUGAGGGUGGUCACCGAACCCGUUGGCAGCCCUUGGGGGCGGUCACCGGAACCCGUCAAAUUGCUCGGGGCGAUCUCCACGACCUAAUUGGAGACCCCGACGCUUUCCCGGAGCUUUACACCACAAUGAUUGAGCUCCUAACACCACCAACCGUCUAGGGAGCCCAAGCACCCAAGAGGAACAAGCUCAAGGGUACCAAGCACCCAAGAGUAAUAAGCUUCUCAACUUGUAACUUCCACGUAUCACCAUGGAGAACUCAAACCGAUGCACCAAAUGCAAUGGCAAGGGCACACGGAGUGCCCAAGUCCUUCUCUCCCAAAUCCCACGAAAGCAACUAAUGCUAGGGAGGAAAAUGAGAGGAAGAACAAAUAAGGAGAACACCAAGAACUCCAAGAUCUAGAUCCAAGGGGUUCCCCUCACAUAGAGGAGAAAGUGAUUGGUGGAAAUGUGGAUCUAGAUCUCCUCUCUCUUUUCCCUCAAAAACUAGCAAGAAUCCAUGGAGGGAUUGAGAGAUAGCAAGCUCUAAGAAGGUCAACAAUGGGGGAAGAACACGAGCUCAAAGGAUAAGGUUCAUUGGGGAAGAAGACCCCCUUUUAUAGGUGGGGAAAAAUCCAACCGUUAUGCUCACAGCCCGCACAGAGCGGUACUACCACUCGUCCUCACGAUACUACCGCUAGGGGUAGCGGUACUACCUCAAAGGGUAGCGGUACUACUGCUUGCGAGCGGUACUAAAAAAAUACAUCCGUGCCUACCACCGCUGAACUUGAGACGAGUUUUUGGUCUGGAGCGGAAGUAGCCACGGAAGUAGUCGCGGUAGUACCGCUCCCAAGAGCGGUAGUAAAAAAUUACAUCCGCGGCAGCCCCUUUUAAGGACACCCAAACUGGCACAACUUCUGCAAACGGACUCCGAAUUCGACGAAACCAAGUUUGUUGGAAAGCUAGCGACAAGGGCUAACACAAUCUUGAUAGAAAUACUAAUAAGAAGGAAAUUAGAAAAGGCCCAUAAGAAAAUGGUGAGAACGCUUCCUCGAAUAAGACCGGUAAAACCUCCAACAUCGAAAACGCAAUAGAAGAAGCAUGUGAACUCCGUUUUUGAUGAACUCGAGCUUGUCAAGAAGAUGACCAUAAGCUCCAAAUCUCACAAGGAGAACAACAAACAAGAACCAAGAAAGAUGAUGCAAGCAUGCAAUGGUUUGAGCUCUCUACGAACGAUACGAUCAAGCUACUCACUUGAGAGCCCCCUUGAUAGUACGGUAAUCGAUCCUAUAACCCGGUCUCCAAACUAUCACCAUGAGACCGGUAAAAUUGAAAACCUAUCAAGGGAAAACCUUUGCCUUGCAUGAAGUCCACUUGAGCUAGAUGAUGAUGAUCUUGACUUCCUCAAGUUGGACCACCUUUCGUGAUUGCGUUGGCUCGAUGAAGGCUAGUUGAUUGCUCCCCCAUACUCCACUAUGGGUGAGUCACUCUUCGGUACACCUUCACAAGUGAUUGCGUUGGCUCGAUGAAGGCUAGUUGAUUGCUCCCCCAUACUCCACUAUGGGUGAGUCACUCUUCGGUACACCUUCACAAGUCCAUUGUCACCACAAUGGACGGCAAGCUACAAGCAUGAUUUCUUCGUGAUGCUCCACUUGAACUUGCACAACACAACCUUGAUUUGAUGUCAUCCUCCAUGGGUUGUAUGUGAUCUUCCUCUUGACACAAGCCCAUGGAAGCAAACCUAACCCCACAUAGAACUCUCACAAAGACCAUGGAUUAGUACACAAAGCUCAAUGGACAAUGCUUACACUACAAAAAAAUACACUUCCGUGAUGAUACGUGUUUGUCACAGUAGGUCACGUUUUCUGUCAUGCAUGUACAUCCAUGACAAAUUUAUGACAGAAUCAAGAUAGUCAUACCUGUGCUGUCGUAGAAGUGUUCCAUGACAUUACCAAAAUUAUCAUCAUGGAAGUGUCCACUUCCAUGACGAUAAAUCGCGCGUCACAGAAGUGCUUUCGUCAAGGGUGACCGACACGUGGCAUCCACCGUAAUGGAACGUCGUUAAGCUAUCGGGUCCGGUUUUGGAUCCGAUAACCCGUUAACAGCCCCGACAAAUGGGGAUUUUCCACGUGUAAAAUCAUCAUUGGCUGGGGGAAACACGUGUCGGCUCACCAUUGGACAAAUGUCAUCCACUCAUUGGACCCAAAGCGCCUAUGAUACGUCGACACGUGGCAUGGCCCAACAGAGGCCCAUAUAGGUUAAAAAGGCCGGCGCAGUCAAAGGCCCGUAGUACUUACUCAGGUACUAGUGGGCCAGCCUAACAACGGCCUGCUUAAUAAAGGCCCAUUUACGGCCCGAAGCCAGAUCUGGCCCGUUAAUUGUUCGCCGAAUAUUUGGGCCCAUUUACGGCCCGAAGCCAGAUCUGGCCCGUUAAUUGUUCGUCGAAUAUUUGGGCCCAAUUACAACCCAGUGACUUUUGGCCUGUUAGAGGCCGAUGUGACAUGGGCCCAUUUCAGCCCGAUGUGACUUUCAGCCUGGGAAUGGCCCGUGCUGCCCAUGGGCCAUAUAUGGGCCGACGGGACAUCGGGCCCACUAACGGCCUGUGAUAAAGGUGGCAACAGUUAAGCCCAACGUGACUUUGGGCCUGUUAAAGGCCUGUCGCAUAAUUCGGCCCGUUGAUGUCUGUACUAAGCUUUCGGCCUCUUAAAGGCCCAUGAUAUCAGUGGGAAAACUAAGGCCCGAGAUAUGCUUCGGCCUGGUAACUGCCCGUGAUAUAACUGGGCCCAAAAAGGCCCGGUCUACAUUUCAGCCUGCUGAAGGCCCGUCGACGACUAGUGAAAAUUGAGGCCCAAUAUGCAUUUCGGCCUGCUAAAGGCCCAUGGUUUCAUCUGGGCCGUAACAGGCCAGUACAAUAUUCAGCCUGUUAGUGGCCCAACGCUACCUGGGCCAAACUAAGCGCUGGGUCCACAAAAGGCCCAACUAAAAUAUAGGCCGGUGUAAGUUGUGGGCCUCGCGCACAGUGUGAAGGCCCCAAUGAUUCGGGCCCAAGAAAGAUGCAGACCGGCCCAAUUGUGGCCCGCUAAACACCAGGCCCGUUAGAGGUGAAUGUUUCGGCCCGGUCGACUACAUCUGAUUUUUUUUUCAGAUAGCGAAUGAUGGCAGUAACUAGUAGGAAUUAAGAACAAACCUACUCUAUACAAUAAAGAAAUUACGGCAUAGUAACUAAGAAUAAACCUACACUAUACAAUAAAGGAUUUAUGGUAUAUUACAUCCAGUUGGCAUCGAAGUUCGCCACCAGUGAUCAUAACGCGCAACGAAGAAGCAGAUUACAAAAACUGGGCACCAUUGCAGCGUAACAAAAUAAUACUGAACCGAGACCACUUCCAAGACAGUUCAAGAAAGGUUAGCCUUGAGCGGGAACUGCUGCGCAAGCUGCUGAGCAAGGUUGUGAGACCGGCCUAGCAUGUCGGUCAUAGCUUCCAGGUGUAGCUGUUUAGCGAUGAGGUUCUCAUUGGUGUUCUCCGCAAUCUUUCUUAGAGAUAGGACUUCAAGUCGAAGUUGAGUUGCAGAAUGCCUUUCUACUAGAACUUGGGACUGAAGAAGUCAAACUGAUUCAGACAACGAAUUCUAUGAGCUUGUCUGACUGCUAGUCUCAAGUAACUUGAACACUGCAUCAAGACAAGACUUUGGGGUUGUCUCGCUAUCUUCAAGAUGUUUUGCCUUCUUUGCUGCAAUAUAUGUUGGGUUUGUCUCACAGCCUUCAGCAGACUUGUGCAUGCCAUCAGGCAUAUCACCCUGAAACAAAGCAGAGAGAAGACAGGUUUUGCACGUGUAUAAACAAAGAUGAUAACUGUGCUGUCAAUUCCAUCCAAUUUCAAAUUAGAAAAUAAAGAGUAAGUUCAAAAUAUCAAUAGCAUAAUUUGGUAUUGUUCAUAAUGCGGGGAGCUUCACCACACUACUGGAUUACCAUGUCAACAUAACAAGCAUAGAUGAAGGGCAAAGAAAAUCAUUGUAUCUAUUUGGUUAAUGUGCAUGGCAUGUUGUUCAUAUCAUCAGCCACAUCAGUAAGAUAAAACAGGAGAUGACAAGGUGCAAACAUGGGCUGCUUCACCACACACUGGAUUAUAGAUCCACAAAAACAAGCAUACAUAUAGGGAGUAUUGAGUAAUGUGCAUGGUAUGAAUAAGGAAUUUGGUUUUACAAGUAAAACUUAGAACUUACUGUUCUUGCGAACAUGCAUUUUGGUAGAAACAGCAAACUAAACAGCAGUAAACGAUAGGGAGUAUGAGCAAAUUAAACAGCAGUUGAGGAUAAAGGCUUUAGAAGGACUGACUUACAUUAACAGUUAACACAAGCUUUAUAAUGCCCUUCUCCAUGUCAAGGGAAGGAUAACUCAAGAAUUUCAGCACAGAAUCUUCUUCAUAAGCAUUGCCUGUACUCUACAUUUUGUAGAGAGUAAUUAUAUAUAUGAUAAUACUGGAAGGGAUAGAGGAUAAUGAAGAUAAGAUGCAGAUUGAUGCUACAUAAUCAACUACCAAUCCCUGGAAGUACAAGCAUUACAUGACAAAAUGUACUGACAAGAGCAAUGGGCUACACUUCUGCAUUGGCAUUGUCUGUGUAUUCUACUUUUUGGUAAGAUUAAAUAUAGAUCUGAUCUUUUUUAGUAAAUGGUGGGCGAGGGAGAUAAGAUGCAGAAUGCUACACAAUGAACCAAUCCCUCUUCCCAUAAUACAAGAGUGUUUUGAACACUGGUGUACUGUACAAAACGUUCUUAUAUUAUGGGACGGAGGGAGUAGUUGUUAAUGUAAGUACAGUGAUAGACGACGUUCAGUCCUUACAAGAGGACUGCAGAGCUAAACCUCUUCAAAAGCAUUGGGUUGAUUCUAAAUUUAUGUAAGAGUCCAUACGGAUCUUAUAAUGUCCACCAAAUGGACGAUAACGAGGCUGACAUGUGCAGUGAUGCUACAUAAUCAAACAGUUAUGAAAGUAAAUGUGGUCAUACAGGGCAAGAGGUACUCACAAGAGCAAUGCAGUGUGCAGUAUAGUUGCGAGAUUCUGUGGUCCCUUGAGAAUGAAUGUUCUUCUGCUAACAGUUUUCGUACAAGUGAGACGUUAAGGCAAAUGCAGAAAUGUAGUUCAAAUUGUGAUGUGAUAUCAUAGAUAGUACCUUACGCUACAGCCGAGACCAAUGUGUAACAAGAUUAUUCCAGUCACCGUCGGAUAAAUGUAGCACCGAAGACUUUACAGAAAUUUCGUUUAGAGGCUUGCCAUCGAAGUGCGCUUGCCUCAGGUAGGAACGAUACUUCAUCAAUGAGUGCUUGAAAAGCGCAACCAACCCUUGUGCAUCUUCAUAAUCCAGUUUGGUCCUCGCCUAUUUAAAAGAAUGAAAUCUUGUGUCUUCUGUCAGUAGAAACAUAUGCAGUAAUGACCAUGAAUAACAUUAGUACAUUACUUACGCGUAAGUUGCGGAGGAAGAUUGGAAAUUAUUCUGUGCCUGCGGUAUAAUCUUUCCAUGAAGGAAAGAUGCGCACAAAGUUCCUGACAACAAUAUAAGCUUUGUCUUCUAAACUGGGAAGAAAUGGAACAGGGGUCCUAUUUGCUGAAAUUGGGGCUCUCUCUGGUUCGAAAAGAGAUUUGGCAACUGGAUUUGGUGUACUCUUUGCUGGAAUGGGGGUUUUGCGUCGUAGAGCUGGUGCUAUGUCAACUGGCAUAAUUAUAAUGUUUGCUGCAGUUGGGGUCUGCUGAGUUGGGGCAUCAGAAAUGACCAGUGUAGUAGGGCUAGAGUCUGCUAGAGUUGGGGUGUUUUGUGGGUCAGGUGAUAUUGCAACUACACAUAACGGGCUAUUUGAUUUAUCAGGUGCCACUACCUUUUCCAGAUACUUUGCUUGUGCUCCUCCAUGAUCAGCAAUCGCCCUCUUCCUUUUGAACGUCUGAUACACAAGAACAACAUUUGAAUGGAUAAAUAUGGUAUGAUGACAGAUGGAAUAUGUACUAAAAAUGGAUAGGCAGGGUGUAUUCACAUACACGAUGUGUAAACUAAGCUAAUGGCAUUUCAACAAAGUAGAAGCAAUGCAAAGCAUCAGUUGCAAGAUAUGUGCGACAAAUAUAACCUUGGAAAGUUAGAUCAAGCACCUUGAUGGGUGAAUAAGAUAGGGCAUCUUCCUCUGACUCCUCCAUUAGGGAGCUACAUUGACUUAGGUCUCCCUCUAGCUCAGAAUCACUAUUAGGAUCAUAUUCUGAGCAUGAAUCUGUAGGUGGAGAGCGUUUGCAUUGCAUUGCAUCCAGACUUGAUUUCAGUCCCUUAAUGCCAAGUUUGACAGCCAUGGCAUUGUUCUGCUUUAUUCUUUUCAUGCUCGCAAGCUCAUAAUCAUUAUGAUGCUGUUCAGAAUCUGAGAUUCAUGAAAACAUAAAAAAUAGUCAGAUUAUCUAUGGAAUGCAUUGCGGAUUCAACUCGAAGAGUGUCUCCCUAUAAACCCCUGCAUAUGCAAAGUUCACCCCCAACCGUGCUGACCAGACCACACACAGAAAUACAAACCCCUUAUGUCUCUAUAACAGGCAGACACACAUUUCAAAACUGAAGUAGGAACAUUAGAAUCAUAUGAAAUUUGUAUUUGAACAAAUAAACUAAGGAAUUAUGAGUGGCAUAAUGUUUAGCUUCAAGGAUGGAGUGUCGGUAGUGCGACACAAAGCAAGUAGGCAGAUUGUAUUCCAUGUAAAAGAUCGAAGCCUAUGUAAAAGCUGGAAAUGACACUUUCUUUCUAUACAAUGCAGUGUUCGUUGCCCACACAUGAUGGAAGAGAUCACAUAGAGAAAUACUAUUCACUCAUGUCUAUGGUUGCAAUAUUUAGAAACAGGGCGGUCCACCCUAAAAGAAUAUUGACAACAAAUAUGACAAGGCAAGCAUAGAUGUAGUGAAUCAAUCAUUUACUUGUGAGCUUACUAGGACAAGUAUGCAGAAUUGUAACUGGAGUAAGAGACCGUCCAAAAUCUGAAUCAAGAAGUUUGUUUAGCACUUAUUGUUUGCAACUAAUCGACGUGAAUAAUUGGAUAUUAUAUCGAAUGAGUAAGAAAGACAAGUAAAAUUGUCAACAAACCUGGCUUGCAGUAGUAAUCUGGGUCAAUGUCACUACGACCAACAAUCUAAAAUGACUAGUGUCUGUUCCUAGGGCCGGAAUUUUGAAAACCCUGUGAACUUUACAGGUACUAAAGAUUACCGAAAUACAUCUGAACCAUUAAGUGUAGGUAGCACUGAGCACACAACAAACCCUAAUAACAGUCCUACCUAAUGAGUAAUGAAUCAAUUAGAAAAUGGGUGAUGAGGAGUGGCUGCUGAGUGUUGAGGACUUAUCUCAGGAUAAAUCGGGUUAGCUUAGUAGGUGCUGCACGCCUGAGCCCUGAACGGACUGGGAAGGUAGGCACGGCGGCGCGCCCGGGCAGCGGUGACGCUGUUGGGUGAGCGGCUCCUGACCUCCUGUUAGUCCGGCGUCUCCUCCUAGAGUCAUGCCGUCCGGGGACGGCAAGUCGCCGACGAGGCAGGCGGCUGGGGGCGAGUAGAGAUCGGAAGCGCGCAGCAGAACAGAGGGGAAUCGGGGCCUGGGACGACCCAAAAUCCCAGGGUGGGCCGGCCCACCAUGGGCACCCUGUAGAGAUACACACCCGAGCGGCGAACAUGCAUUUUCGAAACUAAUUUAGGAACAUUUAGCUGACCAAUUAAACGAAUCUGUUUUAAUAAUAUCAGAUUCGUAUUUGAACAACUAAGCUUGUUUAGCUUGAUGGGUCGAGCAGUGCUAUUAUGACACGAAGCACGUAUUCUGAUCGUAUAGUGAUCAUAAAAGGGGAAAACCAGAGAAAUGAUAUUUAGCAUCCAUUGUUUGCUUCGAACUAAGAACUAAAUUCUAAGAGCUGAAAAGAAAGUAGAGUAACCAAGUUAAGAUCUAUUUUCUGGUUGGGAUCAUAAAGUUGAGGAGAUAUGAAGUACCACCUCUCUUGCGGCGCUGUGUAGGCAUCGGGGGUGCGAUGGCUGUCGGUGGCAUUGAAGCAGAUCUGCGAUGGUAGAUGGGUGCAUCGGGGGAUAAGUCCCGUUGCGGUGGAAGAGAAGGUCAUGUGAGCGGCCCCGGUAAAGAGGACGACGACGCCGAUGAAGCGAGAGGACGUGAUGCAAGGCUCUUGGUCCGUCGUCGUGGAUGAGAAACGUCCAUCUCUAGCAGUGGACGACGCGGUCUUGGUAGGCGCUCCGGCAUGGUGGAGGACGGUGGCGAUGGAUGUGGUGGAGGACGACGGUGAUGGAUGUGGUGGAGGACGGCGGCGAUGGAUGGGGUGGCAGACGGAGGCUGGUGUGGGGAUGGUGUUCUAGCGCGGACGGUGUAUGAAUGGGAAAAUGGAGGGAGAGGUACGGGGAACCAUGUUUUUGGGACCACCUGUCUGAAAUAUGGGAAAGUUACGAACUUAGCCCCCGUUUAAAAUUUGGACGUCUCGUCGGUUGGGGAUACGACGAUAAUCUUGCAUCUCGCCAAUAUUUGCCAAGAGCGAUUUCGGGCGAGGAGAGGGUGGCUGGCACCCAUGGUUGGCGCCCACGGUGUAUGAACAUGGCUGACAGGUAGGGCGGUUGUGUCACGUCUGAGUGAAGUUACAAACAUGCCCCUAUUGAAAAUAUUUGCCUACAUCGAUUUCGGCCGAGUCGAGUUUGUUUUGCCGCCCACCGUGUAUGAAUGGGGAAAUGGAGGGAGAAACAGAGGUCUUUCGGACAAGCUUGAAUCAAAUGUGUUUUGCUGCCCAUGUUUGGCGCCCACCGUGUCGGAAUGGGCUCAGAGGCGGUCGUGUCACGUCUAAUUGAAGUUACUAUCCUACCCCCUAUUUAGAGCAGUGGAAAUCGGGCCGAUGGAUUGUCCUUGUAAUGGGUAGACAGUAAUUUCCAUCUCCCAAAUGUAGGGUAACGUAGCAGAAAACAAAAAAUUUCUGACCUACGCACCAGCCCAGGACCACUAUGGAGACUGCAUACAAGGUUUGAUCUUUUUCGUUACCGACUCGUAGCGCAGCGGGAAGUAGAGUCGAUGACGAUCGGCGGUGCAGAUCCCCGCAGCUAGGAUUUACAACCUCCCAACCGCGAGGAUGAAUACCCUCAUCCGCCAUACGGACAGCCCUCCGGGAGGCGGUCGAACAGUCCCCCGGACGGUGUCGCGGACAGCCCUUCGGGAGGACCUUCGAAACUCGAACGGUCACUCGGACAGCCCUCCGGGAGGACCCACAGAACUCGGACCGUCACUUGGACAGCCCUUCGGGAGGCACUCUCGAACAGCCCCUCAGGGCACUAAGAUCGAAACUACGACCUCUCUACAGAGUUGCACACAUACGGUGUCAGCUAUCCGGCAGGGCUUCGCCGUCCAGAACUAGUUCCUGCCGGAACCCAGACAGCCUUUCGGCUCUACGAAACUAUUUCGCUGGGAGGGAGAGAAGAAGCCAGAUCAUUGCAAUGGCAUGUAUGUGAGAAGGGAUGAUCCUUUAGGCAGCCCCCUCCACCCCUAUUUAUAGGCCAAGCCCAAGGGUGGCUUCUCCAAGAAGCCAAGGGGGGGAAAUACCAAAAAGGCCCUCAAGGUGGCUUCUCCAAGAAGCCAAGCAAAAAGCACUUUCACUAUUCAUGACGACAUUUUUCAGCGUCCGUUCGAAUUGAAAAUAUUUAUGUGGGCUCAGAACAUUUCCAGUACCCACUAAAAUAAUUUUCAACGCGUUCCGAAACAAUUUCGGUUUAGUGAUUUUCAUCUGCGAAAAGCAAACAAGAAUGCGUUUUCACUAUUCAUGAAGACAAUUUUUCGCGUCCACUAAAUCCGAAAAUAUUUCUGUGGGUCUUAGAAUAAUUCCAGUACCCACUAAAAUGAUUUUGGAUUCGUUCUGAAACAAUUUCAGAUUAGUGAAUUUCAUCUGCGAAAAACAGCCAAAGCGGUACCGGCAGCUCCGAAACAUUUUCGGUUUUUAUUUCUGAAAAUUCCAAAAAGUUUCCAGAAUGAUUCUGGCACCCUCCAAGAAUUAUGAGGCAUGUGCCGAAACCAUUUUGACUUAAUGGCAUACCCCGAAACAACUUUUUCGGUUUCACCGAAACUUAUCCGGUGACCUCUCUCUGCGGUACGAUUCCGCUGUCCGAAACUUUUCGGUGUCCGAAACUUUUUCGGUGAUUUUCUCUCAGACUCCCUGUCUAGUAUUCAGCAGAUAGAUGACCCUUAAGCGUGUGACCCUAUAGGUUCGGUGAAGUAUAGACAUGACCUGGAACCCCUUCCGAUCAAUGAUCAACAUCGGAGCCGUGGACACCCAUAUUGACCCCUAUACCCACACGAAUGAAUAUUCGAGUGAACCUCCAGUUGAGGUGAGCUAUUCCUGUUGCUUCACGAUAUAUCACAAACACCUGAGGUGAGAUUUAUUGCAUCCCCGUGGGCCAACACUUUGUCCACUAUGCAAGUUACCUCGUUACCGGUUUUGUUCUCUUUUCUCGUUUCGUGUUCCGGCAUCCCCGUGAUCAAAUCACAAAGUGUCUGGCCAGACGAUGAUGGACACCGUAACACCGAGAGGGCCCGAGUAUAUCUCUCCAUCGUCGGAGGAGCAAAUCCCAAUCUCGAGCUAUCAAGUUACUUAACAUACUUUCCCAUGAACCCGUAAGCCGCUGUAAUAGCCAUCCAGUUACGGAUGACGUUUAACAAACCCCAAAGUUCAUGAAGCAAGCAUGAAGAAACUCGAUACUCUCAUGGUCUAAGGAAUUAUGCAAACAUUAACUAUCUCUGUGUUAUAAACCAUUAACUUGUGACGAAUGUAUCUCAUAGCAUAACAUCAAUUCGGGUCGAUUCAACACAAAUGUCCUUCCUGACAUUGUGCCCUCAAAGUUGCUUGGCAUAGACAUGCCCAUGAUUGGGAAAACAUAAUCAUCAUGCAACACUUGAGCUAGUCUUAGAGGCACGACUAGGAAUACAUUUUACCGUUUAUUAUUCCACACGUGCAUAUGGGUUCUCCCCAGAGCCUUUAUGGAUAUACGGGCUCGGGAACCACAGCAGUUAUAGCAUGGAACAUAAACAUAAUUAUGAACAAGGAGAUAAUCAAUAACAUUUAUUAUUGCCUCUAGGGCAUAUCUCCUACACCAAACACUUGGCUUCGGGCAGCUGACGUGGGAGUGGACAUUUUGUCGCUUCUUUUGAAUUUUGGGACAAUAAGCAUCCACGUUUACCCUGGCAACUAAAUUCGAAUCCAUUUUGUAUUCCUAUACGAAUCUUUAUAAAUCAUUCUAUGUGUUUUUAUAUAUGUUCAAAAGGAUGACAAAGAUGUAUUCCACUGUCAUAUAUGAAUAUGGUUUACAAAUGCCGAUACUCAAAUUCAGAAGCUAGAAUCCAGUUUAAGGUGAAUUCGAAUAUUUGGAACACUUCAUGUCCAACUCAAAUGUCACACGCAGCAUAAUGUGUACUCCCAUUUAGAUAUGUACACAAGCGAUGUAUCAAGAUUCAAAUACCAAGUCAAUCAACCAAGAAUGUAUAGAACUAACAGACAUAUAAACACUUAUAGAGUAUAUGGAUCAAUAAUAUCAACUAACAUACAUAAGCCAGGCCGCUUACUUUUCUUUGCUACAAUAGCAUCCUUUUUUUAGCCAAGCUACUACAACAUCUUGGCCCUUUCUGAUGCGUGCCACUUAUGGUCCAUCUAUACUACUAUUAUUGCUGAAUGCACAUUCAGCCCGAUUGGCAUGUUUGUAGGUCUGGCACAGCAAUCAAAAUGAAAUGUCUCCGAGUCUUAUCAAUUAAUACAGACUUGUGCUCAAAUGAAAUUACAAACCAAAAAACAAAAAAACAAUUAUUACAUGAUCUCUAAAACAAAUGGUUUGAUUGAUUACAUGAACAAACAACACAAAGGUUAUUCAAUGAUGGAAAGAACAUUUCACCUAUGAUUUACCAAGUGGGAAUUUAAUUACCUUUUUUCCUUCAGGACCUUAACAAUGUGGUCAGUCUCAGCUUGCUUCGUUUUGAAAUCCACCAAGUAUUUAAUGGUUGUCUUGAGUACUUCUACUGAUUGUGCUAUUUGCUUCCUCAACAUGUCAACUUCAUCUCUAAGUGCAGAAGCAGAAUCUCUUUCUACCACUAGUUUAACCUCUAGAGCAUCAGCAGUUGGCAAUUCAUAAUGCACGAUUGGGCCGGUGCCACUGCUGUGGGAUGAUACAACGUCCAUGGGGACCUUGCUCUUUGAUCUUGGGCUAACCUUUUUUGCCAUUAAAGUUCCGAUUGGAUUCAGAAAAGUUGAAGUUUGCAAGACAUCUCAACUGGGAGUUAUAACAGCAAACCAGUUAAACAAACAAGGAAUUAAAGAGUUUCAAUUCGAUGCUGAAAAGUAGUUACUAACAUCAUUGUAACCCGUUGUUGCAGCAGCAAAGCAGUUAAACAAACAAGUAGCUAUUUAAGUUCAGGCAAACAGGUAAUUCUUAACAGUAAGUAUCAAACACAUAGAUAGGCGCAAUCUAUAAUAGGAUUAACAGGCUGUGGCAUUAUGUAAUCAGUAACAAACUAAAUUAAGCCAAGCAACGUAAUUGAACAAUUUUGCAAUAAGUGGCUAACUAAAAUUCCGAGAAGCAGGUAACUGAACUUAUGGUAGUUCUUUGUACAGGCACACUACAACUUCUUUUUCGCUUACAAGGUUGUACGAAGGAGUCCAUGGCAUCAAUUGCUUGGAUACGCAGUCCCAAUACUUCUUUCUUCCCACACUGCAUUGGUAAGUCGAAUGGUUAAUCUGGUUAGAUGGUGCGUCCUUGAUAUGUUAUAUGAGGACGUGUAGUCAGACUAGUUGUAGCCACACACAUCACACUGGCUUUUACUGUAUAUUUCAUGCGAUUACUUUUGGCAUAUCGAGAUCUAAGCAAUCUACAAUAGGAUGAAAAGACUGGCAUCCUUCACAUUAUUGGCAAACUCAGUUCAUAGAAACAAGAAAUUCAACCAUUAUGUGGGUCAAUCAAAAGUGCCACUGGAAUAUUUUUCACUACCCCUAUCAUACACGCAAAAAGGGGCGACGCCACCAUAGGGGCUGGUAUGGGCGGCUGCCUCGGGUGGCUCGAAAGUUUGCACCUAGUUUGAGUCGUCCAGGUUGGCCCAGGCUAGUUUUGUUCGUCCCAACGCACGAGCAGGUAAUGUAAAAAAUGAAGAAAAAUGUUUCAAUUUGGACAUGCCAAUAACAUAAGUGCAAGGUAGGCCCUAUAGCAGGCUCGCGGCCCAAACGAACGCCUCCCAUAUCGAUCGACAGCAGGAAAAAUCCCAAUUCAUCCACUCCAGCCUCCAGUCUAGUUCGCUCCUAACCUAGCCGCCGAUGGACAGACCGACACAGCACUUCCUCGCACCCUCGUUGGAGGGCGGUCGUCGGGCUUCAAGCGAAUGGAAGGACAAGAAGAUGAAGAUCGAACCCUGGGUGUAGCCUGCGUGGGAGGCAGCGGCGACAGCACGGGCAUGGCAUCGAGCUUGCGCAAACGGACAGUCGCAGCUUGCAAGAGUAGCAUGCGCAACGAGCAGGUACAUCACAUCCCUGAUUAUAUCUAAUUCAACUCUUCAAUUUCUGGCCAAUAGUUAAACCUGACGGUGUUGUAAAACUGCUUGUAUGUAGGGAAUCUAUGAGAAAAUGAAACCAAUUUCUACUUAUUUUAUAACUCCCCCAAUCAAUAUUGAACUGACUGAAUCUGAUGUAUCUAAUCAAGUUUCCGGUGCAAACAUCCAAUCUCAUGUUGUUCUUGAGCCUGAAGUGUCUAAUGAACAGACUGCUAAUGAAGGAUUUGAUGCAAACAUUUUACAUGCUCCUGGUGAUGAACAUAUAGUGUCUAAUGAGGCAUCUAAUGCAAGCAUUUUGCAAGCUCCCAUUGAAGGAUUUAGUGUCUAAUGAUGAUCUACUAUGUUGAGAGAGACAUAGAGAUUUGCAGGCAUUGAUGACAAGCAAAUUAUAGUGCAUUUUCAUGGCUUGAGGAAACGUCGAGGCCAUCUACCAGAAAGUCCCCGUAUCAUGACAACGUAGCAUAAAUACUUUUCUAAUCUGUUGUUUGAAACUAUUGGCAUACUUGUGCAGGAUAGAUAUAUUGAUAUGCAGUUUGCGCACUGGUUAUAGGUGCAAUUACACUUCGAUAUUUUCAGCCAGAGAACGAAUAAUUCAAGCAGGUACAGACCAUGUUUGUAGUCCUUGUACACCAUGUUUCAUUUUGUGUUUUUUGGUGCUUGCAUCAUUUAGUGUUUAUAAUCUGAACUACUUUGGAUCAUUAGCUGGUUUUCAAAGUGCAUGUAGCUUCACAUUUCUCAAGUUAAGUUGAUUUCCGGAGUGCAAGUGCCUUCGUAUUUUUAAGUAAAAUGUUCGCCCCUGGUAACUUGAAUUCGUGGAUCCGCCACUGCACACAAAUCAUACACGAAUGCCAGUACGAAUUAAAUGAAAUGCAGGCACUUACGCUAGCUCGUUGUACAGGCUCACUGCAGCUCUGCUUGCGCUUGGGAUGUUCCAUGUACAAGUCCAUGUUACCACUUGCUUGGAUGUGCAGGCCUUGUGCUCCUUGCAUCCCCCUCUGCAUUUUUGACACGGCGAAUGGCUGAUCAAAUAAGAGGAAUCGACCUUGCUGUUGUACCGGAGGACAGAUACUUACAAGGUAAUACGGGUGUGCAGGAUGUGUACCAGAUCCCGUAGCGCCGUCAUGUGAUACGUCUCUGUCGUAUCUACUUUUCCAAACACUUUUGCCCUUGUUUUGGACUCUAACUUGCAUGAUUUGAAUGGAACUAACCCGGACUGACGCUGUUUUCAGCAGACUUUCCAUGGUGUUAUUUAUGUGCAGAACCAAAAGUUCUCGGAAUGACCUGUAACUCCACGGAACAUCUAUUUGGAAAAUAAGAAAAAUACCAGAAGAAAAAUCCACUUCAGGGGGCCCACACCCUGCCCACGAGGGUGGGGGGCGCGCCCCCUACCUCGUGGGCCCCCUGACGCUCCACCGACCUCAACUCCAACUCCAUAUAUUCACUUUCGGGGAGAAAAAAUCAGAGAGAAGGAUUCAUCGCGUUUUACGAUAUGGAGCCACCGCCAAGCCCUAAAACCUCUCGGGAGGGCUGAUCUGGAGUCCGUUCGGGGCUCCAGAGAGGGGGAUUCGUCGCCACCGUCGUCAUCAACCAUCCUCCAUCACCAAUUUCAUGAUGCUCACUGCCGUGCGUGAGUAAUUCCAUCGUAGGCUUGCUGGACGGUGAUGGGUUGGAUGAGAUCUAUCAUGUAAUCGAGUUAGUUUUUUUAGGGUUUGAUCCCUAGUAUCCACUAUGUUCUGAGAUUGAUGUUGCUAUGACUUUGCUAUGCUUAAUGCUUGUCACUAGGGCCCGAGUGCCAUGAUUUCAGAUCUGAACCUAUUAUGUUUUCAUGAAUAUAUGUGAGUUCUUGAUCCUAUCUUGCAAGUCUAUAGUCACCUACUAUGUGUUAUGAUCCGACAACCCCGAAGUGACAAUAAUCGGGACCACUCCCGGUGAUGACCAUAGUUUGAGGAGUUCAUGUAUUCACUAUGUGCUAAUGCUUUGUUCCGGUUCUCUAUUAAAAGGAUGCCUUAAUAUCCCUUAGUUUCCAUUAGGACCCCACUGCCACGGGAGGGUAGGACAAAAGAUGUCAUGCAAGUUCUUUUCCAUAAGCACGUAUGACUAUAUUCGGAAUACAUGCCUACAUUACAUUGAUGAAUUGGAGCUAGUUCCGUGUCACCCUAUGUUAUGAUUGUUACAUGAUGAACCGCAUCCGGCAUACUUCUCCAUCACCGAUCCAAUGCCUACGAGUUUUUCACAUAUUGUUCUUCGCUUAUUUACUUUUUCGUUGCUACUGUUACAAUCACUACAAAACACCAAAAAUAUUACUUUUGCUUCAAUUACUUUUGUUACCGUUACCACUACUAUCAUAUUACUUUGCUACUAAAUACUUUGCUGCAGAUAUUAAGUUAUCCAGGUGUGGUUGAAUUGACAACUCAACUGCUAAUACUUGAGAAUAUUCUUUGGCUCCCCUUGUGUCGAAUCAAUAAAUUUGGGUUGAAUACUCUACCCUCAAAAACUGUUGCGAUCCCCUAUACUUGUGGGUUAUCAAGACUAUUUUCUGGCGCCGUUGCCGGGGAGCAUAGCUCUAUUCUUUGAGUCACUUGGGAUUUAUAUCUGCUGGUCACUAUGAAGAACUUGAAAGACGCCAAGACAACAAUUUAUCCCUCAACUACGAGGGGAGGUAAGGAACUGCCAUCUAGCUCUGCACUUGAUUCACCUUCUGUUUUGAGUAAGCUUGCGACACCUAAACCAGCUUAUGCUAUUCGUUCUGAUAUGUCGCAUGUUAUUGAUGAUGCCACUUCUGCUAUGCAUGAUACUUAUGAUGAAACUACUUCUAUGCUUGAUACUACUGUGCCACUUAGUGAAUUUCUUGAUGAACAAAUUGCUAGGGUUAGAGAGAAAGAAAUUAUUGAAACUGAUUAUAUUGAUGAAAGUGAUGAUGAAGACUUGCCUGUUAUUCCCGAGGGUUAUAUUUUUGAAAAAGAAGCUGCUUUAGCUAUUUUAGCUUGCAAAGAUAGAUAUGAGCUCAAGAGGUUAUUAGCUAAAUGGAGGCAGCAAUCUCUUAAUGCUAGAAUGAAACCUGACCCUGCUUUUGCUACUUCACCUAUCUGUGUUACUGAUAAGGAUUAUGAAUUCUCUAUUGAUCCUGAUAUAAUUACUUUGGUUGAAUCUGAUCCUUUUCAUGGCUAUGAAUCUGAAACUGUUGUGGCACAUCUUACUAAAUUAAAUGAUAUAGCCACCCUAUUCACUAUGUUGGGGAACGUAGUAAUUUCAAAAAAUUUCCUACGCACACGCAAGAUCAUGGUGAUGCAUAACAACGAGAGGGGAGAGUGUUGUCCACGUACCCUCGUAGACCGACAGCGGAAGCGUUAUCACAACGCGGUUGAUGUAGUCGUACGUCUUCACGAUCCGACCGAUCAAGUACCGAACGCACGGCACCUCCGAAGUUCUACACACGUUCAGCUCGAUGACGUCCCUCGAACUCCGAUCCAGCCGAGUGUUGAGGGAGAGUUUCGUCAGCACGAUGGCGUGGUGACGAUGAUGAUGUUCCACCGACGCAGGGCAUCGCCUGAGCUCCGCGACGGUAUUAUCGAGGUGUAAUCUGGUGGAGGGGGGCACCGCACACGGCUAAAAUAUCGUAUAUCAAGUGUGUUCUUAGGUGCCCCCCUGCCCCCGUAUAUAAAGGAGCAAGGGGGAGGCCGGCUGCCCUAGGCGCGCCAAGGAGAGAGGGGGAGUCCUCCUCCUAGUAGGAGUAGGACUCCCCUUUCCUAGUCCUACUAGGAAAGAAGGGGGGGAAGGAAAGAGAGGGAGAGGGAGAGGGAAAGGGGGCUGCACCCCCUUCUCCUAGUCCAACUAGGAUUCCCCUUGGGAGGGGGCGCGCCACCUCAUGGCUGCUGCCCUCUCUCUCCCCUCAAGGCCCACCAAGGCCCAAUACUUCCCCGGGGGGUUCCGGUAACCCUCCGGCACUCCGAUUUAAUCCGAAACUUCUCCGGAACACUUCCGGUGUCCGAAUAUAGUCGUCCAAUAUAUCAAUCUUUACGUCUCGACCAUUUCGAGACUCCUCGUCAUGUCCGUGAUCACAUCCGGGACUCCGAACAACCUUCGGUACAUCAAAUCACAUAAACUCAUAAUAUAACUGUCAUCGUAACUUUAAGCGUGCGGACCCUUUGGGUUCGAGAACUAUGUAGACAUGACCGAGACACCUCUCCGGUCAAUAACCAAUAGCGGGACCUGGAUGCCCAUAUUGGCUCCCACAUAUUCUACGAAGAUCUUUAUCGGUCAGACCGCAUAACAACAUACGUUGUUCCCUUUGUCAUCGGUAUGUUACUUGCCCGAGAUUCGAUCGUCGGUAUCUCGAUACCUAGUUCAAUCUCGUUACCGGCAAGUCUCUUUACUCGUUCCAUAAUACAUCAUCUCGCAACUAACUCAUUAGUCACAAUGCUUGCAAGGCUUAUAGCGAUGUGCAUUACCGAGUGGGCCUAGAGAUACCUCUCCGACAAUCAGAGUGACAAAUCCUAAUCUCGAAAUACGCCAACCCAACAAGUACCUUUGGAGACACCUAUAGAGCACCUUUAUAAUCACCCAGUUACGUUGUGACGUUUGGUAGCACACAAAGUGUUCCUCCGGUAAACGGGAGUUGCAUAAUCUCAUAGUCAUAGGAACAUGUAUAAGUCAUGAAGAAAGCAAUAACAACAUACUAAACGACCGGGUGCUAAGCUAACGUAAUGGGUCAUGUCAAUCACGUCAUUCUCCUAAUGAGGUGAUCCCGUUUAAUCAAAUGACAACUCAUGUCUAUGGCUAGGAAACAUAACCAUCUUUGAUUAACGAGCUAGUCAAGUAGAGGCAUACUAGUGACACUCUGUUUGUCUAUGUAUUCACACAUGUAUUAUGUUUCCGGUUAAUACAAUUCUAGCAUUAAUAAUAAACAUUUAUCAUGAUAUAAGGAAAUAUAUAAUACUUUAUUAUUGCCUCUAGGGCAUAUUUCCUUCAGUCUCCCACUUGCACUAGAGUCAAUAAUCUAGAUUACAUAGUAAUGAUUCUUACACCCAUGGAGUCUUGGUGCUGAUCAUGUUUUGCUCGUGGAAGAGGCUUAGUCAACGGUCUGCAACAUUCAGAUCCGUAUGUAUCUUGCAAACUUCUAUGUCUCCCACCUGGACUAAAUCCCGGAUGGAAUUGAAGCGUCUUCUGAUGUGCUUGGUUCUCUUGUGAUAUCUGGAUUCCUUUGCUAAGGUAAUUGCACCAGUAUUAUCACAAAAGAUUUUCAUUGGUCCCGAUGUACUAGGUAUGACACCUAGAUCGGAUAUGAACUCCUUCAUCCAGACUCCUUCAUUUGCUGCUUCCGAAGCAGCUAUGUAUUCUGCUUCACACGUAGAUCCCGCCACGACACUUUGCUUGGAACUGCACCAACUGACAGCUCCACCGUUCAAUGUAAAUACGUAUCCGGUUUGCGAUUUUAGUGUCAAAGCUUGCAUCAACGUAACCCCUUACGAUGAGCUCUUUGUCACCUCCAUAAACGAGAAACAUAUCCUUAGUCCUUUUCAGGUAUUUCAGGAUGUUCUUGACCGCUGUCCAGUGAUCCACUCCUGGAUUACUUUGGUACCUCCCUGCUAAACUUAUAGCAAGGGACACAUCAGGUCUGGUACACAGCAUUGCAUACAUGAUAGAGCCUAUGGCUGAAGCAUAGGGAACAUCUUUCAUUUUCUCUCUAUCUUCUGCAGUGGUCGGGCAUUGAGUCUUACUCAAUCUCACACCUUGUAGUACAGGCAAGAACCCUUUCUUUGCUUGAUCCAUUUUGAACUUCUUCAAAACUUUGUCAAGGUAUGUGCUUUGUGAAAGUCCAAUUAAGCGUCUUGAUCUGUCUCUAUAGAUCUUAAUGCCUAAUAUAUAUGCAGCUUCACCGAGGUCUUUCAUUGAAAAACUCUUAUUCAAGUAUCCCUUUAUGCUAUCCAGAAAUUCUAUAUCAUUUCCGAUCAGUAAUAUGUCAUCCACAUAUAAUAUCAGAAAUGCUAUCGAGCUCCCACUCACUUUCUUGUAAAUACAGGCUUCUCCAAAAGUCUGUAUAAAACCAAAUGCUUUGAUCACACUAUCAAAGCGUUUAUUCCAACUCCGAGAGGCUUGCACCAGUCCAUACAUGGAUCGCUGGAGCUUGCACACUUUGUUAGCUCCCUUUGGAUCGACAAAACCUUCCGGUUGCAUCAUAUACAACUCUUCUUCCAGAAAUCCAUUCAGGAAUGCAGUUUUGACAUCCAUUUGCCAAAUUUCAUAAUCAUAAAAUGCGGCAACUGCUAACAUAAUUCGGACAGACUUAAGCAUCGCUACGGGUGAAAAGGUCUCAUCGUAGUCAAUCCCGUGAACUUGUCGAAAACCUUUCGCAACAAGUCGAGCUUUAUAGACAGUAAUAUUACCAUCAGCGUCAGUCUUCUUCUUGAAGAUCCAUUUGUUUUGAAUGGCUUGCCGACCAUCGGGCAAGUCAACCAAAGUCCAUACUUUGUUUUCAUACAUGGAUCCCAUCUCGGAUUUCAUGGCUUCAAGCCAUUUUGCGGAAUCUGGGCUCACCAUCGCUUCUUCAUAGUUCGUAGGUUCGCCAUGGUCUAGUAACAUGACCUCCAGAACAGGAUUACCGUACCACUCUGGUGCGGAUCUUGAUCUAGUUGAUCUACGAAGUUCAGUAAUAACUUGAUCUGAAGUUUCAUGAUCAUUAUCAUUAACUUCCUCACUAUUUGGUGUAGGUGUCGCAGAAACUGAUUUCUGUGAUGAUCUACUUUCCAAUAAGGGAGCAGGUACGGUUACCUCAUCAAGUUCUACUUUCCUCCCACUCACAUCUUUCAAGAGAAACUCGUUCUCUAGAAAGGAUCCAUUCUUAGCAACGAAUAUCUUGCCUUCGGAUCUGUGAUAGAAGGUGUACCCAACAGUCUCCUUUGGGUAUCCUAUGAAGACACAUUUCUCCGAUUUAGGUUCGAGCUUAUCAGGUUGAAGUUUCUUCACAUAAGCAUCGCAACCCCAAACUUUAAGAUACGACAACUUUGGUUUCUUGCCAAACCAUAGUUCAAAAGGCGUCGUCUCAACGGAUUUCGAUGGUGUCCUAUUUAGAGUGAAUGCAGCCGUCUCUAAAGCAUAACCCCAAAACGAUAGCGGUAAAUCAGUAAGAGACAUCAUAGAUCACACCAUAUCUAAUAAAGUACGAUUACAACGUUCGGACACACCAUUACGCUGUGGUGUUCCGGGUGGCGUGAGUUGCGAAACUAUUCCGCAUUGUUUCAAAUGUAGACCAAACUCGUAACUCAAAUAUUCUCCUCCACGAUCAGAUCGUAGGAAUUUAAUUUUCUUGUUACGAUGAUUUUCAACUUCACUCUGAAAUUCUUUGAACUUUCAAAUGUUUCAGACUUAUGUUUCAUUAAGUAGAUAUACCCAUAUCUGCUCAAAUCAUCUGUGAAGGUGAGAAAAUAACGAUAUCCGCCACGAGCCUCAAUAUUCAUCGGACCACAUACAUCUGUAUGUAUGCUUUCCAACAAAUCUGUUGCUCUCUUCAUAGUACCGGAGAACGGUGUUUUGGUCAUCUUGCCCAUAAGGCACGGUUCGCAAGUACCAAGUGAUUCAAAAUCAAGUGAUUCCAAAAUUCCAUCAGUAUGGAGUUUCUUCAUGCGCUUUACACCGAUAUGACCCAAACGGCAGUGCCACAAAUAAGUUGCACUGUCAUUAUUAACUCUGCAUCUUUUGGCUUCAACAUUAUGAAUAUGUGUAUCACUACUAUCGAGAUUCAUUAAAAAUAGACCACUCUUCAAGGGUGCAUGACCAUAAAAGAUAUUAUUCAUAUAAAUAGAACAACCAUUAUUCUCUGAUUUAAAUGAAUAACCGUCUCGCAUUAAACAAGAUCCAGAUAUAAUGUUCAUGCUCAACGCUGUCACCAAAUAACAAUUAUUUAGGUCUAAUAUUAAUCCUGAAGGUAGAUGUAGAGGUAGCGUGCCGACGGCGAUCACAUCGACUUUGGAACCAUUUCCCACGCGCAUCGUCACCUCGUCCUUAGCCAAUCUUCGCUCAAUCCGUAGCCCCUGUUUCGAGUUGCAAAUAUUAGCAACAGAACCAGUAUCAAAUACCCAGGUGCUACUACGAGCAUUGGUAAGGUACACCUCAAUAACAUGUAUAUCACAUAUACCUUUGUUAACCUUGCCAUCCUUCUUUUCCGCCAAAUACUUGGGGCAGUUCCGCUUCCAGUGACCAGUUUGCUUGCAGUAGAAGCACUCAGUUUCAGGCUUAGGUCCAGACUUGGGUUUCUUCUCCUGAACAACAACUUGCUUGCUAUUCUUCUUGAAGUUCCCUUUCUUCUUCCCUUUGCCCUUUUUCUUAAAACUAGUGGUUUUACUGACCAUCAACACUUGAUGCUCCUUUUUGAUUUCUACCUCCGCUGCCUUUAGCAUUGCGAAGAGCUCGGGAAUAGUCUUAUUCAUCCCUUGCAUGUUAUAGUUCAUCACGAAGCUCUUGUAGCUUGGUGGCAGUGAUUGAAGAAUUCUGUCAAUGACGCAAUCAUCCGGAAGUUGAACUCCCAGUUGAAUCAAGUGAUUAUUAUACCCAGACAUUCUGAGUAUAUGCUCACUGACAGAACUAUUCUCUUCCAUCUUACAGCUAUAGAACUUAUUGGAGACUUCAUAUCUCACAAUCCGGGCAUUUGCUUGAAAUAUUAACUUCAACUCCUGGAACAUCUCAUAUGCUCCAUGACAUUCAAAACGUCGUUGAAGUCCCGGUUCUAAGCCGUAAAGCAUGGCACACUGAACUAUCGAGUAGUCAUCAGCUUUGCAUUGCCAGACGUUCAUAACUUCUGGCGUAGCUCUUGCAGGAGGCCUGGCACCUAGCGGUGCUUCCAGGACGUAAUUCUUCUGUGCAGCAAUGAGGAUAAUCCUCAAGUUACGGACCCAGUCCGUGUAAUUGCUACCAUCAUCUUUCAACUUAGCUUUCUCAAGGAACGCAUUAAAAUUGAACGGAACAACAGCACGGGCCAUUUAUCUACAAUUAACAUAGACAAGCAAGAUACUAUCAGGUACUAAGUUCAUGAUAAAUUUAAGUUCAAUUAAUCAUAUUACUUAAGAACUCCCACUUAGAUAGACAUCUCUCUAAUCAUCUAAGUGAUUACGUGAUCCAAAGCAACUAAACCAUGUCCGAUCAUCACGUGAGAUGGAGUAGUUUCAAUGGUGAACAUCACUAUGUUGAUCAUAUCUACUAUAUGAUUCACGCUCGACCUUUCGGUCUCUGUGUUCCGAGGCCAUAUCUGUACAUAUGCUAGGCUCAUCAAGUUUAACCUGAGUAUUCUGCGUGUGCAACUGUUUUGCACCCAUUGUAUUUGAACGUAGAGCUUAUCACACCCGAUCAUCACGUGGUGUCUCAGCACGAAGAACUUUUGCAACGGUGCAUACUCAGGGAGAACACUUUUAUCUUGAAAUUUUAGUGAGAGAUGAUCUUAUAAUGCUACCGUCAAUCAAAGCAAGAUAAGAUGCAUAAAGGAUUAACAUCACAUGCAAUCAAUAUAAGUGAUAUGAUAUGGCCAUCAUCAUCUUGUGCUUGUGAUCUCCAUCCCCGAAGCACCGUGCUUGUGAUCUCCAUCUCCAAAGCACCGUCAUGAUCACCAUCGUCACCGGCGCGACUCCUUGAUCUCCAUCGUAGUAUCGUUGUCGUCUCGCCAAAUAAUUGCUUUUACGACUAUCGCUACCGCUUAGUGAUAAAGUAAAACUAUUACAUGGUGAUAGCAUCUCAUACAAUAAAGCGACAACCAUAUGGUUCCUGCCAGUUGCCGAUAACUCGGUUACAAAACAUGAUCAUCUCAUACAACAAAUUAUAUCACAUCAUGUCUUGACCAUAUCACAUCACAACAUGCCCUACAAAAACAAGUUAGACGUCCUCUACUUUGUUGUUGCAAGUUUUACGUGGCUGCUACGGGCUUAGCAAGAACCGUUCUUACCUACGCAUCAAAACCACAACGAUAGUUUGUCAAGUUGGUGCUGUUUUAACCUUCGCAAGGACCGGGCGUAGCCACACUCGGUUCAACUAAAGUGAGAGAGACAGACACCCGCCAGUCACCUUUAAGCAACGAGUGCUCCGAACGGUGAAACCAGUCUCGCGUAAGCGUACGCGUAAUGUCGGUCUGGGCCGCUUCAUCUCACAAUACCGCUGAACCAAAGUAUGACAUGCUGGUAAGCAGUAUGGCUUAUAUCGCCCACAACUCACUUGUGUUCUACUCGUGCAUAGCAUCAACGCAUAAAACCAGGCUCGGAUGCCACUGUUGGGGAACGUAGUAAUUUCAAGAAUUUUCCUAUGCACACACAAGAUCAUGGUGAUGCAUAGCAACGAGAGGGGAGAGUGUUGUCCACGUACCCUCGUAGACCGACAGCGGAAGCGUUAUCACAACGCGGUUGAUGUAGUCGUACGUCUUCACGAUCCGACCGAUCAAGUACCGAACGCACGGCACCUCCGAAGUUCUACACACGUUCAGCUCGAUGACGUCCCUCGAACUCCGAUCCAGCCGAGUGUUGAGGGAGAGUUUCGUCAGCACGACGGCGUGGUGACGAUGAUGAUGUUCCACCGAUGCAGGGCUUCGCCUAAGCUCCGCGACGGUAUUAUAGAGGUGUAAUCUGGUGGAGGGGGGCACCGCACACGGCUAAAAUAUCAUAUAUCAAGUGUGUUCUUAGGUGCCCCCCUGCCCCCGUAUAUAAAGGAGCAAGGGGGAGGCCGGCUGCCCUAGGCGCGCCAAGGAGAGAGGGGGAGCCCUCCUCCUAGUAGGAGUAGGACUCCCCUUUCCUAGUCCUACUAGGAAAGAAGGGGGGAAGGAAAGAGAGGGAGAGGGAGAGGGAAAGGGAAAGGGAAAGGGGGCUGCGCCCCCUUCUCCUAGUCCAACUAGGAUUCCCCUUGGGAGGGGGCGCGCCACCUCAUUGCUGCUGCCCUCUCUCUCCCCUCAAGGCCCACCAAGGCCCAAUACUUCCCCGGGGGGUUCCGGUAACCCUCCGGCACUCCGGUUUAAUCCGAAACUUCUCCGGAACACUUCCGGUGUCCGAAUAUAGUCAUCCAAUAUAUCAAUAUUUACGUCUCGACCAUUUCGAGACUCCUCGUCAUGUCCGUGAUCACAUCCGGGACUCCGAACAACCUUCGGUACAUCAAAUCACAUAAACUCAUAAUAUAACUGUCAUCGUAACUUUAAGCGUGCGGACCCUUUGGGUUCGAGAACUAUGUAGACAUGACCGAGAAACCUCUCCGGUCAAUAACCAAUAGCGGGACCUGGAUGCCCAUAUUGGCUCCCACAUAUUCUACGAAGAUCUUUAUCGGUCAGACCGCAUAACAACAUACGUUGUUCCCUUUGUCAUCGGUAUGUUACUUGCCCGAGAUUCGAUCGUCGGUAUCUCGAUACCUAGUUCAAUCUCGUUACCGGCAAGUCUCUUUACUCGUUCUGUAAUACAUCAUCUCGCAACUAACUCAUUAGUCACAAUGCUUGCAAGGCUUAUAGUGAUGUGCAUUACCGAGUGGGCCCAGAGAUACCUCUCCGACAACCGGAGUGACAAAUCCUAAUCUCGAAAUACGCCAACCCAACAAGUACCUUUGGAGACACCUGUAGAGCACCUUUAUAAUCACCCAGUUACGUUGUGACGUUUGGUAGCACACAAAGUGUUCCUCCGGUAAACGGGAGUUGCAUAAUCUCAUAGUCAUAGGAACAUGUAUAAGUCAUGAAGAAAGCAAUAGCAACAUACUAAACGAUCGGGUGCUAAGCUAACGUAAUGGGUCAUGUCAAUCACGUCAUUCUCCUAAUGAGGUGAUCCCGUUUAAUCAAAUGACAACUCAUGUCUAUGGCUAGGAAACAUAACCAUCUUUGAUUAACGAGCUAGUCAAGUAGAGGCAUACUAGUGACACUCUGUUUGUCUAUGUAUUCACACAUGUAUUAUGUUUCCGGUUAAUACAACUCUAGCAUGAAUAAUAAACAUUUAUCAUGAUAUAAGGAAAUAUAUAAUACUUUAUUAUUGCCUCUAGGGCAUAUUUCCUUCACACUAAUGAUGAGAGAUCUCGCUAUCUUUAUAUCCUUAAAAUAUUCCCGUUCUCAUUAAAGGGUGAUGCUAAGAUAUGGUUUAAUUCUCUUGAUCCUGGUUGUGUGCGUAGUCCCCAGGAUAUGAUUUAUUACUUCUCUGCUAAAUAUUUCCCUGCUCAUAAGAAACAAGCUGCUUUAAGGGAAAUAUAUAAUUUUGUGAAAAUUGAAGAAGAGAGUCUCCCACAAGCUUGGGGGAGGCUUCUCAAGUUAUUUAAUGCUUUGCCUGAUCAUCCUCUCAAGAAAAAUGAAAUACUUGAUAUCUUUUAUAAUGGACUAACCGAUGCUUCCAGAGAUUUCCUGGAUAGUUGUGUUGGUUCUGUUUUCAGGUAAAGAACACCGGAUGAAGCUGAAAUUCUAUUGAAUAAUAUGUUGACAAAUGAAAAUAAUUGGACACUUCCUGAGCCAGCACCUGAGCCUAUUCCUAAACCAACUCCGAAGAAGAGGGGUGUUCUAUUUCUCAGUCCUGAAGAUAUGCAAGAGGCAAAGAAAUCUAUGAAAGAAAAAGGUAUAAAAGCUGAAGAUGUUAAGAAUUUACCUCCUAUUGAAGAAACAUAUGAUCUUAAUCCUUUACCUAUUGAAGAAACUCAUGGUCUUGAUAACCCGACACAGGUAGUAAAGGUAAAUUCUCUCUAUAGAUAUGAUAAAGCUGAAAUCCCUCCUACUAAAAUUGCUAGCCAAUGCUUGGAUGAGUUUGAUAACUUUAUGGUUAAGCAAGAAGAUUUCAAUGCGUAUUUUGGUAGACAAUUAAAACAAAAUUCUUAUAUGAUUGAACACUUGGGUGAUUAUAUGGCUAAUGUUAAAGGUGAACUUUAACUCAUUACUAAACAUGCUUCUAUGGUUACUACCCAAGUAGAACAAGUACUUAAAGCUCAAAAUGAUUUGCUCAAUGAAAUGAAAAGUAAGAAUAAUGACUAUGCUGUUAGAAUGGCUACUAGAACUGGUAAGAUGACUCAGGAACCUUUGUAUCCUGAAGGCCACCCUAAGAGAAUUGAGCAAGAUUCUCAGAGAAAUAAUAUUGAUGCACCUAGUCCUUCUAAAAAGAAGAAAAAGAAAAAUGAUAGGACUUUGCAUGCUUCUAGUGAACCUAUUGCUGAACCACCUGAGAAUCCAAAUGAUAUUUCUAUUUCUGUGCUGAAACACAAUCUGGUAAUGAACAUGAACCUAAUGAAAAUGCUAAUGAUGAUGUUCAUGAUGAUGCUCAACCUAGUAAUGAUAAUGAUAUAGAAAUUGAACCCGUUGUUGAUCUUGAUAACCCACAAUCAAAGAAUCAACGUUAUGAUAAGAGAGACUUUGUUGCUAGGAAACAUGGUAAAGAAAGGGAGCCAUGGGUUCAGAAACCCAUGCCUUUUCCUCCCAAACCAUCCAAGAAAAAGGAUGAUGAGGAUUUUGACCGCUUUGCUGAAAUGAUUAGACCUAUCUUUUUGCGUAUGCGAUUAACUGAUAUGCUCAAAAUGAAUCCUUAUGCUAAGUAUAUGAAAGAUAUUGUUACUAAUAAAAGAAAGAUACCGGAAGCUGAAAUUUCCACCAUGCUUGCUAAUUAUACUUUUAAGGGUGGAAUACCAAAGAAACUUGGAGAUCCAGGAGUACCUACUAUACCAUGCUCCAUUAAAAGAAACUAUGUUAAAACUGCUUUAUGUGAUCUUGGAGCCGGUGUUAGUGUUAUGCCUCUCUCUUUAUAUCGUAGACUUGACUUGAAUAAGUUGACACCUACUGAAAUAUCUUUGCAAAUGGUUGAUAAAUCAACUGCUAUACCUGUCAGUAUUUGUGAGGAUGUGCCUGUUGUGGUUGCAAACGCUACUAUUUUAACGGACUUUGUUAUUCUUGAUAUCCCCGAGGACGAUAGUAUGUCUAUUAUUCUUGGAAGACCUUUUUUGAAUACUGCAGGGGCUGUUAUUGAUUGCAACAAAGGUAAUGUCACUUUUCAUGUUAAUGGUAAUGAGCACACAGUACACUUUCCGAGGAAACAACCUCAAGUUCAUAGUAUCAACUCUAUUGGAAAAAUUCCAUCGAUUAUAUUUGGAGGUUUUGAAUUUCCUAUUCCUACUGUCAAGAAGAAAUAUGAUAUUCUUAUUAUUGGGGAUGUGCAUAUCCCCGUUGAGGUAACAUAGUGUUAUUCAAAAUUUCUCCGGUUCCAUGUUAUUCGAAAUGAGUUUGUUAACAAGACUUGAUCAACCUUGUUAGUGGAUUCCUUUUGAUGAGCAUGAGAUGGAUGAAACUAGAAGGCACAACCUUCUGUACCCUAUUUCUACUUUCUGUUAUUUAGUUGAAAUAAAGUAAAAAUAGUAUUUUUCUGUCCGUUUCUGAUUUAUCCAUGCAAUAUAAAAAUACCCCGAAAAUAAAAGUUCUCUAAAUGCCCUGAAAAUGAAUAUGAUUUUUUCUAGAAUAUUUGAGAAUAUCUGGCACUGAGAACACAGCAGGAGGGGCAAGCACCUGGCCACGAGGGUGGAGGGCGCGCCCUACCCCCAGGGCGCGCCCCCCCGCCUCGUGGGCCCACGGUGGCCCCCCUCCACUUAUUCCUACACCCACACACUUCUUCUUCCUCCCACAAACACCAAUAUCCAGCUCAAGCACGAGUUCUAGCUCAUUUUGCUGCGAUUUUCGAUCUCCUUGCUCAAAGCACUUCUCACAAAACUGCUUGGGGAGAUUGUUCCUUGGUAUGUGACUCCUCCAUUGGUCCAAUUAGUUUUUGUUAUAGUGCUUUAUUCAUUGCAAAUUUGUGCUGCCUAGGUGACCAUGUUCUUGAGCUUGCAUGUCAAAUUUAUAUGGUUCCAAGUAGUUCUAAUGCUUGAUAUAGGCUCUAGUCACUUGUAGGAGUAGUUGCUAUAAGUUUUGUUGAGCUUGGUUCACUUUUGUUUGAAGUUACUAAAAAUUUCAGAAUUUUUCAGAAAAUAAUGAAGAGAUUUUUGAGGGGCUCAUCGAGCCGAAGCUCGAAGGAAAAGCAGAAUGAAGAAGCACAGAGGCCCAAAUAUAAUUUGCCUCGCACCACGGAGGUUCGGCCAUGUGAAUGGCCUUCCGAUGAUUUCUUGAGAGAAGCCGGGAUUUAUGAUGAUUUCUAUUCAUUGGCUGAGAAUGCUGGCCUCACCGACUUCCUCCGCGACCAACGUCAUCAGUAUCUCUUACUCACCAAUACUUUUGUGCAAAACUUCUACUAUUUUCCUAAGGAAACACCUCCUUCAGUAGAGUUUCAUUUAUAUGAUGUUGUUAAGAAGAUGCCACUAGAUGAAUUUUGCAAGGUUUGCAAAAUACCCUUCGAGGGUACCUUAGAUGAACCACAUCAUAAAGAUGUGGACGGAUUUAUUGACACCAUUACUGUGGGGGAAACCAGGAAGGUUUCCGAUGCAAGAAUCACUAGCAUACAUUUUCCUGUUUUACGCUACUUUGCCAUUUUUGCUAGUCGUUGCUUGAUUGGUCGCGGAAACUGUGGAAACCUUAGUGUUCCUGAUAUUAUCAUUUUGUUCCAUGGUUUAUUUUCCGAUCACACUGUUAGUAUGGGCGGUAUUAUUGCUAAAUGGUUAAGUUUGAACCGUACAAAGGGCCCCAUCUUUGGAGGUAUUUAUGCUUCAUGCCUUGAUGCACAUUAUAACAUACCUAUUAGGCUCUAUGAGAAAGAAGAAAAAUUGCUGCCCAAUGCUUAUUUAGAUUAUAAGAGUAUGGUAGCGCAUGACUUUAUUGUUAAGAAUAAGGAAGGGGAGCUUAAAUACAAAUUGUUCUUUGAUAAACAUCACCCUGAUACUAUUACCUUGCCUGCUCCUUCCUUGUUUAAUUUAUCUGAAGGCCCGUAUCGCGUUCCGUGGGCGGCCAUUUACGCCUACAGGAACCCUACACCAGCCCCUGAGCCGGAACCACAAUUUGAGCCUCCACAACAGUCUGAUUACUUUUGGGAUCUGGAGAUGACUGCCAGCCAGUGGCAGUCAGAGCCUUCUUCAUCUCAGUACGACCCCAGCUACAACUACGGAUAUCCGCCAGGCCAUCCGUGGCAAUGAACCAACUUAGGCCAAAAGCCUAAGCUUGGGGGAGUACGUAUUUCCCACCGACAUUACAUUUAUGUACACACACUCAUUGCUAGAUGUCGGUGCUCAUACUUUUUCAUUCUAAUAUCCUUGCUAGUUUAUUUUUCUUUUUCCUGCUUUCUUCUUGUGUGUUUAAUAAAGUUUAAGAAAAACCAAAAAAAUUAGUGUAGCUUCUAGCUAGCUUACUUUUCUUGUAGUAGUAGUAAUAAUUAAAAAGAAAACCCAAAAAGAUUUCCUGUUCUUCUUUUUGCUUGUUGGGAGCUUUCCCAUGUAAAUAGCUUUUAUUUAUUUUCUUUUCUUUGGGGGUCGAUAGGAGAAGACCAUGAUUAAAUUGUUGAAGUGGCUCUUAUAUGCAUUAUUGUUGAUUUAACCAAGAGCCCAUAUUGCCUUGUCUUCUCCUGCUUAUUGAAUGCUCGCAGAUUCCAGCUUAGUCCAAUGCACAUGCACUCUUAUUAUUAUUCACAUCAUUCGGUUGUGCAAGUGAAAGGCAAUUAUGACGAUAUAUGAUGGACUGACUGAGAUGAGAAAAGCUGGUAUGAACUCGACCUCUCUUGUUUUUGUAAAUAUGAUGAGUUCAUCAUUCCUGAUUCAGCUUAUUAUGAAUAAACAUGUUUGCAAUGACAAUUAGACAUCAUAGAUGCUCGUGCCAUGCUUGAUUAGCUAUGAGUUAUAAUGGUUUACCUUGCGUGCCAACAUGCUAUUAAAAUGGUUGUGAUGUGGUAUAGUGGGGUGGUAUCCUGCUUUGAAUGAUUUAAGUGACUCGACUUGGCACAUGUUCGGUGGAUUAUAUCCUACUCAUGCUUGUAAUCAACGUUUAUUAAUUUUAAUGCAUGUUCAUGACUGUUGUCGCUCUCUAGUUGGUCGCUUCCCAGUCUUUUGCUAGCCUUUGCUUGUACUAAGCGGGAAUACUGCUUGUGCAUCCAAUCCCUUAAACCCCAAAGUUAUUCCAUAUGAGUCCACUAUACCUUCCUAUAUGCGGUAUCUACCUGCCGUUCCAAGUAAAUCUGUAUGUGCCAAACUCCAAACCUUCAAAUAAACAUUCUGUUUUGUAUGCUCGAAUAGCUCAUGUAUCAACUAGGGCUGCCCUUAUCUUCCAUGCUAGGCGGGUUAUUCUCAAGAGGAGUGGACUCCGCUCCUCACUCACGAGAAAAUGGCUGGUCACCGGGAUGCCCAGUCCCAUGCUUUAUGCAAACUAAAUCAAAAUAAUUGCAAACAAAACUCCCCCUGGGACUGUUGCUAGUUGGAGGCACUCGUUGUUUCGAGCAAGCCAUGGAUUGAUGCUUGUUGGUGGAGGGGGAGUAUAAACUUUACCAUUCUGUCUGGGAACCACCUAUAAUGUGUGUAGCAUGGAAGAUAUCACCAUCUCUUGGUUGUUAUGUUGACAAUGAAAGUAUGCCGCUCAAAAUAUUAUUUAUCUCUAUUUCAAAACCGAGCUCUGGCACCUCUACAAAUCCCUGCUUCCCUCUGCGAAGGGCCUAUCUAUUUACUUUUAUGCUGAGUCAUCACCCUCUUAUUAAAAAGCACUAGCUGGAGAGCGCAGCUGUCAUUUGCAUUCAUUACUAUUAAUUUAUAUUGGGUAUGACUAUGAUUGGAUCUCUUUUACCAUGAAUUACAACGUCUAGUCAGUCCUUGAUCUUUAAAGGUGCUCUGCAUUUAUGUUUUGCGGUCUCAAAAAGGGCUAGCGAGAUACCAUCUUGUUAUAUCAUAUUAUGAUUGUUUUGAGAAAGUGUUGUCAUCUGAGAUUUAUUAUUAUGACUCACUAGUUAAUUAUGCUAUUGAUAUGAGUAAACAUGAGACUUAAGAGUUAUUGCAAAUCUGGUUAGUCAUAAUCUUUGCUGAAAACUUGAAUGCUGGUUUUACAUAUUUACAACAACAAGAGUAAACAGAGUUUGUAAAAGUUUUUCUUUAUCACUUUCAGUUUAUCAACUGAAUUGCUUGAGGACAAGCAAAGGUUUAAGCUUGGGGGAGUUGAUACGUCUCCGUCGUAUCUACUUUUCCAAACACUUUUGCCCUUGUUUUGGACUCUAACUUGCAUGAUUUGAAUGGAACUAACCCGGACUGACGCUGUUUUCAGCAGACUUUCCAUUCUCGGAAUGACCUGAAACUCCACGGAACAUCUAUUUGGAAAAUAAGAAAAAUACCGGAAGAAAAAUCCACGUCAGGGGGCCCACACCCUGCCCACGAGGGUGGGGGGCACGCCUGCCCCCUAGGGCGCGCCCCCCCUACCUCGUGGGCCCCCUGACGCUCCACCGACCUCAACUCCAACUCCAUAUAUUCACUUUCGGGGAGAAAAAAUCAGAGAGAAGGAUUCAUCGCGUUUUACGAUACAGAGCCGCCGCCAAGCCCUAAAACCUCUCAGGAGGGCUGAUCUGGAGUCCGUUCGGGGCUCCGGAGAGGGGGAUUCGUCGCCAUCGUCAUCAUCAACCAUCCUCCAUCACCAAUUUCAUGAUGCUCACCGUCGUGCGUGAGUAAUUCCAUCGUAGGCUUGCUGGACGGUGAUGGGUUGGAUGAGAUCUAUCAUGUAAUCGAGUUAGUUUUGUUAGGGUUUGAUCCCUAGUAUCCACUAUGUUCUGAGAUUGAUGUUCCUAUGACUUUGCUAUGCUUAAUGCUUGUCACUAGGGCCCGAGUGCCAUGAUUUCAGAUCUGAACCUAUUAUGUUUUCAUGAAUAUAUGUGAGUUCUUGAUCCUAUCUUGCAAGUCUAUAGUCACCUACUAUGUGUUAUGAUCCGGCAACCCCGAAGUGACAAUAAUCGGGACCACUCCCGGUGAUGACCAUAGUUUGAGGAGUUCAUGUAUUCACUAUGUGCUAAUGCUUUGUUCUGGUUCUCUAUUAAAAGGAGGCCUUAAUAUCCCCUAGUUUCCAUUAGGACCCCGCUGCCACGGGAGGGUAGGACAAAAGAUGUCAUGCAAGUUCUUUUUCCAUAAGCACGUAUGACUAUAUUCGGAAUACAUGCCUACAUUACAUUGAUGAAUUGGAGCUAGUUCUGUGUCACCCUAUGUUAUGAUUGUUACAUGAUGAACCGCAUCCGGCAUAAUUCUCCAUCACCGAUCCAAUGCCUACGAGUUUUUCACAUAUUAUUCUUCGCUUAUUUACUUCUCCGUUGCUACUGUUACAAUCACUACAAAACACCAUAAAUAUUACUUUUGCUUCAAUUACUUUUGUUACCGUUACCACUACUAUCAUAUUACUUUGCUACUAAAUACUUUGCUGCAGAUAUUAAGUUAUCCAGGUGUGGUUGAAUUGACAACUCAACUGCUAAUACUUGAGAAUAUUCUUUGGCUCCCAUUGUGUCGAAUCAAUAAAUUUGGGUUGAAUACUCUACCCUCGAAAACUGUUGCGAUCCCCUAUACUUGUGGGUUAUCAUCAUGCUUCGCUAAAAAUGGAUUUUAUUGUUUCAGAUGAUAUCUCCAGAAGAAAUAAGAGUUAAAGUCAGAGUUGGAUAGGCGUGUAAGCUAAGAGAGCAGUGAAAGAAUAUCCAAACAUCGUCGGAACAGUGCACAAGGGAGUGAUGUGUGGAUACCUAGUUCGGGCCGGCGUUUGGGCAUGCUCGCCUAGCUAGAGUGCGGGUCACUUCAGAGCCGUUGAAGGUGAUGCGCUGGCGUUGGCUGGCCGUGCACGGAUGCAGAUCUUGAGUGGCAGCGGAGCGCUACGAUGCGGUGGACGAGAACGUUGGUGAAGCCCCAGCGGCCUCGAGGGGCGGAGGCGCGACGAUGUGCUCGGUGAAGUAGCCCCGGUGAGCUAGGAGACGCCAUCGGUGAAGCGCACCUGAUGCGGUGGAAGUCGGUGUCUGUGAGGCACGUCGGUUGCGGCGGCCGACGUUGUCGGUGGACCACCCGGUGCGGUGGAUGAGGGCAUAGAUGAGGUAGCUCCGGUGCGGUGGUGAAGCGCGACCGUCGUCUUCAUCUUCGUCGUCCGGCACAGAGGUGGGGAAAGAGACGAGACGAGGGGCGAUUCAAACUUUGCUUGGGUUGGCGGCGAAUUAGGGAUUUGAGCAAUCUGGGCGCGGAAGGGGAUGGUGGAGAAGGGAUAUUUUGCAGGGCUGGAAUUGGGGCCGCCGGAUAUUUCAAUCCGAAACGUGGAAGCGCGAACUUAUUUUGUUGUCGUCCUUUUUUUGGGGGGGAGGGGGGAGGGAGGGAGGGGGUGGGUGGCUGGGUGCUAAGCGUCCGUCCGACACGACCCUGGCCUGCCUGGUGCGCCUACAUUUGAGAAUGCAAACGAAUCUUCUUUCAUUUGCAAACGAAUCUGUAUGUAUUACCAUGCCUGUGUUUUCCUUGCAAUAGUUAGUCAUUCGAAACGAGAUACUAUAAAUUGAUUAACGAGGAGUUAUUUGAAAAAAAAUCGAAACGGUAUCCACGCUAACGUGGAUUAGAGUGUGUGUCACAUAAUUAGUUAUUUGAAUUAGAGUGUGUGUCACAUAGCGAUCUCCAAUUCUAACGUGGAUUUCGCAUUUCACUGUAUCCACGCUACUUUUUUAAUACAAAUUCAUAUGUAUAUGAUGAACACCAUGGUAGUGAGAAAACUUUUGGAUGGAUUCAAACAUAUGACCUACAAAAUAGCACAACAAAUCGAGUCAAUGUCAACUUUUCGAAACCUAGUAUGGCACGAAUUCGAAAUAAUUACCCAUAUGCAUGGUCCUCAGUUCAAAUCUUACAAUGUACACCAAAUUGAAACAUCGAUAUUAAGUCUCGUACUAUCUACAUUCAAAUGUUGUUUUUAGCCCCCCCCCACACGCUACAUACUUCCUGUAUCGGUCAACCUUCCUCUCCUAACCACCUUAGGAAGCUAUCGGUUUCCAACACACAUCCAUUCUUUCUCUCCAUGUUUCUAUCUCUAACUCUCUCAACUACACAACCCCCUUUUUCCACUCUGUUACAAAAUGUAUAUACCUCACACACCCGCCAUUGCACCCCAUGCCGAGCUCUCUCUCUCCCUCUCCCUCUCACCCUCUCGCGCUAAAUACAUGCAUUGCCUAUCUAGCCCCCAACCUCUCGUGUGCACGCACGCACACUGUCUAUCUAGGUCACUCCCUCGAGACUGUCUCACUCUUUCUUCCACACGGCGGGCCACACUCGCUCAAUCUCGCUCUCUUUAUCUGAGUCUCGUUUAACCUUGUUUUCUUUCACACAUAAAUGAUAUAUCUCCCUGUUCGGGCCUCGAUCGACACACUCUAUACCCUCUCAUGCAGAUUGUCUAUCUAGGUCAGUCCAUCGAAGCCGCCCCACUCUUUCAACCUCAUGGCGGGCCACACACACACUCUCUCUCUCCCUCUCUCUCCCUCUCUCUCUCUCUCUCUCUCUCUCUCUCUUUGUAUGUCUCGAUUGACCUCGCUCUUUCUCGGACAAAAAUGAUAUAUCAUGUUUGAGCCCAAUUCGACUUAUUCACAUUGUAUACUCUCUCACGCACAUUGUCUAUCUAGGUCACUCUCUCCAACCCGUCUCACUCUUUCGAUCGCACGACGACCCUAUGUGAUCAAUUGACCUUGCUUCCUCCCACGCACAAAAUAUAUCUACACGUCUGUGACUGGAUCAUCUCUCAAGCUCUAUCUUACAGCCCUCACCUUUGCCAAAAGCUCAAUCGGACAAUAUCUCUCCAGAGAAUAUAUAUUUGUUCAAUGAAUGUCGGACCACACUCACUUUGUCUCUCUAUCUAUAUGUCUCUCGAUUGACCUUGCUUUCUCACGCCGUAUCUUCCACACAUUGAAGCUACCUCUCCAUCCCUCGCAAGCCGGAGCUAUUUACAUUGCGAGGGGCACUCCAACCUUGGAUUAAUUUGUGUAGGCAUUUAUUCCAGUCGGUUUAGAUUAUAUUUUCGUAGCAUUCGGCCCACAACUACUCAAAACACCGUUGCCACCCCCGCAACUCCCCUAGUUGAUUUCCCUCUGGCUUGGUCAUCGCUCUCUCGCACGUCCUUUCUCGCCUUCAACGUUGCACCAUGGUAUUAUUGCAAAAAACUCUGUUGUUCUUUUUAAUUAUUAUAAAUAAGCUACAAAACUACACACCGAUAGUCCACUUGGAAUGGAACAAAUUUCGACCCACAAAUUAAAGUGCUCCAAACUGCACACCGAGGGGCCCACAUGUCAUGAAACAAAUUUGGACCCAUAUACAAAUUAAAAAAUAAAGGACGAGGAUCGAACAUGCGACCAGGGCCUUCAAGCCGCACGUCAAUAGGCAACAUACGUAGAACAACAAUGUUUGUUGUACCUCCCUUUGUUCACAUAAUGUUUUUAUAUUACCACAACCUAUUUAAUUGAUAACAUGUAAUAUUAUUCUUAGUACUUUUCGCCUUCACUUACUGGUGGGUUCCAUGUGUGCUCUCUCUCUCUCUCCUCCCCUUCUGCGUUUAGACGCACGGGCAAACACGAAGAACUCGCGAGCGAUGUUGCCGUUGACCAUAUCUGGACGCGUUCACAAGUUACGGCACCAGUUUCACGUGCUAGCAGCACUAGUCAGUGUGUACGUGCAAUGCACGUUAAUUUGGAAGUAUAUUAAGUGCAUGCGGAUAUUAUUUGCGUGUUAUUAUGUGAUUAGCACUAUUUUUGGCAUGAAAUUAACUGCACGCUAAACGUGUUGAGCGCUCAACAUUGAAGCAGUCUAGGUCAUUGGAUGACAAGGAAUACAUGUGGCUUGAUGACGGUUUAUAUUUUAUUUGAUACGGCUCUAGCAGAACAUUAAAUCGAUCAAACCAUAGAUUUCGUUCAGUCUGACUCCGACUUUAAAUUAUACGACGAUCGAUCUAAAAUAAACGGAAAUGAUAAAGGUUUGGAUUUUAAGCAUGGCAAUCCGAACGUUUUUCAUGGCAAAUUUAGAUUAUGCGGCGGCGACGGGGGCGUCUUGUGAUGGGAAGCGGCUCCUCUGCCAUGCUCUGUGUGUCGUCGGGCCACUGACCGACGGCGACGGCGGCGCCUUGCGCCGUUGUUGGCAUACUCCUGGACGUUGCCUAGCUUCAAGGAAGGCCAAAAUGUUCUGGACUUCGGAGCGAGUCAACUGGCGGGAGGAGGCGACUGGCGUUGGUGCAAGGAAGCGGUCGACGGCGGCCAUCCAUGCCACUGAGGGGGGCACUGGCACCCGCGCGGGGACAGGCGCUGUCAACGGCGCGACGGAGACAUUCGUGUGCACGAGCACCGGCACGGGCGCGCACGUCAGUGCACGCGCAGGCGCAUGCGCUGGCAGGUGCACGGGCAGCAGCACGGGCGUGCGCGUCAGUGCACGCGCAGGCGCAUGCGUUGGCUAGUGCACAGGCGCGUGAAAGUUGGCGGUGACCUCGUGGAACCCCGUGGCAUCAAGCUCGGCGACAAUGUGCGGCUCCCAGCCCAUCAAUGCCACGGGGAUGGGCGCUGGCGCAGUCGGGGCGACGGGAGCCGGAACGGGAGCGGGGACAGGCGCGACGUCUUCCCGCAAGGCCAGUUCAAGCUCGUCCCAAAGCGCCUUAUGUUUUUGAGACUCCUGCUGGGUGUCUUCCUCAGGAAACUGGAAGACUAAGGGCAGACCAUCGUGAUGCGGCAUGGCGUACGUUUAGGUCAGGCUGGUUGGAGGUAGACGACAGGAGAAUCGGAGAGGAAGAGAGAAGAUUGUAGCGAUACCGGGUAGUGCUGGGUGGAUUUUAAACUGCGGCCGGCGACAUUAAAAGUGGGAGCAGUUGGGACGAAGGUGGGCGGCAGAGCCUGCUCAAAGGGCUCGCCUCCCGGUGAGCCUGCACAACGGUCUGCUCGCACGCCUCCCUGUCAGCCGGCGCAGCGGUCUGCUCGCACGCCUGCCGUCUUGCUCGGACGGCACCUGCCGAUGAGAAGUGGGACUCGUGGCGGCACGUAAACGCCCACGGUUUCAAUAGUGAAAGCGUUCGCUUAAUGUGACAGGUCUUUGUUCCAAAAUACCUUGGCUCUUCAUUUAUGCAACUUGUCAUAAGCAGCUUGUCUCAAAUUGAAGAAAAAAAUUACGAAGUAAUAUUUGUGCCAUAUCACGUGACCAUGCUCAAUUUCAAGAAUUUAUGGUCACUUUUGGAUUUUCUGAAAUUUAAGAUCCAGGAUUGGAAACAAUAUCAUAACCUGCAUCAUGCAAUAAAUUUUCAAGCCAUACAUCUGUCCUAUUGUAUUUCUUAAGAAAGGAUUUGGUCAAACAUUUUGAUUAGUUAGACUUCAGACAAGUUAGAUAUGAAGAGCAAAAGGAUAAUCCCUCCAUACCAAUGCAUUGCCUGAUAUAUUAACUCAAGUACUAGGCAUGAACAAACGGGCUCAAUUAUGUGCUCAUCCUGGUGUAGUAGUAUUAGUACCAGGCAAUGCAGUUGACGGGUGACCUUGGCGAGCGGCGAUCGAGGGAAUUGAACCGUGCUCGGCACGGUAGGUAACGUUGUCUAGUUACUAAAGCAUCCCUCCGUUGUUCAUCGGUAGUCAUUAUGGACCGGGGACAUGAGGGGAAUUUCCUAGGGCUGGAAUUCUGGCCGCCAGAUAUUUCGACUCGAAACGCGGAGGCUCGAUUGGUUGGGGUUGCCUAAUGUGCGUACCACGCACGCCACCAGAAGGACACGAGCCCGGUUUUUUUUAUUUUUUUAGGAUCAACACGAGCCAAGGUCUAGCUAGUACGCCGUUGGGUCCUACCAUUCGAGAAUACGAAAGGAACCUUUUAAAUUGCCGAACGAAUCUAUGUGUAUUACAAUGCCCGUAUUUUCCUUGCAAAUACUAAUCUCAACAUGGUAAUUGAUUUAUGACGAGUUGUUGAAUUAGAGUGAGUUUGUGAUAUAGUGAUCUCAAUGUGGAUUUCACAUUUCAUGGUAUCCCUGGUAAGUUUUUCAAUGCAAAUUCAAAUUUAAAAGAUGAACAAUAUGGAGGUGAGAAAACUUUGUAUGUGUUAAGCAUAUGACCACACACACACACACACACACACACACACAGAGAGAGAGAGAGAGAGACACCCACACCCACACACGAACACAACAACAACCCAAUAAGUAUAGUGCAUCUAUUUUUCCAAACCAUGCAUGUAUGCCACGAAUUCAAAAAUACUCCUUCUGUUCCUAAAUAUUAGUCUUUUAGAGAUUUCAACAAGCGACUACAUACGGAGCAAAAUGAGUGAAUCUACACUCUAAAAUAUGUCUAUAUACAUCCAUAUGUGCGAGUCCACUUGAAAUCUCUAAAAAGACUAAUAUUUAGGAACGAAGGGAGUAAAAUGUAAGACAUCCAUGGUCCUCAAUUCAAUAUUUAAAACAAACAUGAAACUGAAACAUGAAUAUUAAGUCUAGUACUACAGUACAUGCAAAUGUUGUGUUUAAGUAGGCGGAGCUAUGAUUGUUGAGGGUCACCCCCUCGACCUUAGAUAAAACUGUGAAGCUCCGUUUAGGGUUGUUUAGAUUAUAUUUGUCCCCACCCUCCCAACCACCGAUUGGUUGUGCACCCCCACCCCUCCUCCCCGGGAGAAUAUCAUGUGCCCCCAUACCUUAGAUGCUAUAUGCCGAUACGAGUUGCUUGGAGCUUGUAGAUUGAGAUAUAGCAGCUCACAUGAUGUCUUAAUAUUUUUACCGGAAACCUUGAUGAGUUUGAGAAUUGCACACAAUUUGUACAAAAACUACUCAGAUGCCCUUGGAUCCCAUAUCCAACGACCUCGAAGCUCAUAUCACCGUAGCAUCUAAGAUGAAGGAGGACAUCAUAUUCACCUGUAUGUAAGAAUAUCAUGUGCUACCACACCUUAGAUGCUUUGGUGAUACAAGCUCUUCGGAGCCGUUGGACUUGUGCCCCAACACCUCCUCGGUGGUUCGAAUGGUUUUUUGCAGAAAAGCCCCAAAGAGUUCGGCCACUGCUUACAAGCACAAAGACUGCUCAGAUGCCAUUGGAUCUCAGAUCAAACGACCUCGAAGCUCGUAUCACCGUAGCAUCCAAGCUGCGAGAGCACCUUAUGUUUUCUCGCACGGGAGAAUAUGAGGUGCUCCCGCACCGUAGAUUCUAUGGUGAUACGAGUUCAUGGAGAUCUAACGGCCCACAGUAGGAGGUUUGAAUUUUUUGCAAUAUACGACUGAGAGAGUUUGGGAACUGCGCAGAAAGUACAAGUACUACGCAUGUGCCAUCUGAUCACUGAUCAUACGACCUAGAUUCUCAUAUCACUGUAGUGGGUAAUUAAGCUAUGGGGAGCACCUAAUAUGAGCAACGAGGAGCCGUUGGAUCCAAGAUGCAGCGGCACACACGAGGCCUGAAUGUUUUAUUUGCAAAAAAACCUUUGGAGAGUUUGGAAAUUGCGCAUAAUUACAAAGACUGACCCCAAGCCAUUGGAUCUCACUUCCAACGGUGUAAAAACUCGUAUCACCAUAGCAUCUGAACUGCAGGGUGGAUGUGAUAUUCUAUGCCGCUGUCAUUUUUGUUCGUAAACUUGCAAAAUACGUGUAACUUGUGUCAUUACUUGUCUAACCGCGCAAAUUGUUUGUUCAAAAAAACCAUCCUACACGGAAAUAUCGGAACAACACACGGGGGUCCCACUUGUCAUUAAUCAAAUUUGGACCUAAAACUAACAAAUCUGAAAGACGAGAUUCGAACUGGCAACCUGGACUACAAAGCGUAAGUCGAUAGCCUGAAACAACAACGGUUGUUGGCUUUGUCCCAUAACUUGAUUUUAUACAGUAUUACGUUGAGUAGAGUAGAGGGAGUGCCUCGUCAACAUGUGCAUGACCGUUGACUCACUUACUGGUGGGUCCUAGGUCUGCGAUCUCUCUCUUCUCUCCAUCGUCUAACCUUUGCACGGGCACACACGAAGAGCAGCGCUAGCUUGCCAUGGUGUUAUUACAACUGAAAAAAGCUUGGAAAAUAGAAGAAUCGCCUAGAACAAGAGACAUUGUGGCUGGUCGAGACAGAGCUAACCACACCUAUCCUCCGUGCCAUGUUAGCAUGAUGAAGCUGUGUGGCUAGUGGGGUGUUUUCGACCGACUGGCUGGGUCCCGAGGUCGAACCAUAGGUACUACGUCUGAUACAGUAAAUUUUUACACGCACAUUUUUCAUCCGUGCCGAGACAUGGCACACCCUACCACGCGAUUUCGGGGUCCUCCCGGGUGGUGCACGCGUAUAUUCUUCCUGACGUGGGACGCCCUACCGCGCGUUUUCGCCGAAGCAAGUAAAUGAGUCGUCAAAUCAUGAAAGACCACUUUUCCCGCCGAGUACAUCAGUGAAGCACGGUGGCUAGCUAGUUGGGCUAGUUUGACCGAUUAGCUAGGCCACCGCCACAUUUGUUUUUUCACCCCUUUUUUUAUCUACUUGCCGGCAGGUAAAUUUAAGUAUCCACCACGGCGUUGCUCUGGUGUUAGAGUGCGGCAGGAUUUUUAAUUUUUUGAUUGACGGGAGCAGGCGCGGCAGGAUUUUUAAUUUUUUGAUUGACGGGAGCAGGCGCGGCAGCAAUUAGUCACGAUGACUCCGCCUGUAAAACCCACUGCUCCCUGGUGUGAGAAGUCGUUGACUGGUGUUUUACCAUGGUGAAAACCAAAAGAUUCCCCGCUCCUCGGCUGGCUCCCUCCGCCUUCCCGUAGAUUGCAUUGCCUUUCAGCCGUUUCGCCCCCUACAUCACCAACGUCGUGCACCUCGAGAAGCAGACGGACUUCGGUGGUGUUUAGGCGCCCUCUGCAUGGGCAUGUCCAUGUCUCGGCGCAACAUGACCGUUGGAUCAAACUCAGACGGCGCAGAUCAGUCACUGUAGCACAAAGCGUGUGGGUGUGUUUGGUUGCAUUCUCAUCUCAAUAUAGUUGUUUCCUCUUCGUGUAUUUGUGUUAACCUACUAGUGUGAACCCAUGCACCCUUCAUGCACUCUGCGAAACACCCAAAAGUGGGUCGAGAAGGGAACUUUUGCUCCCAUCCCGUGCACCCUUCAUACACCCUUCCUAACACUAUUUGUGCUUCAUAUGGUUCAUGUUUCGUGGAGUACUGUAGCACCGUACUCUCCGUGCGCUGUAGACCUAGUUCUAUUAACAUUGAUCUCACCGUUCAUUCUCGACUGGACAGUCGAGAGAGCGGUACUAUGUUACUACAUUACUGUUCAUAUAGUUGACAUGCACACAACAUCAUUUGUUGUCGUCAUAUCUUACUACACUAGCAACAAGAUUAUGUAGUACUGACAUAUGAACCACUGCACAUGCCUAGUAGUAGGAGCACUGUGUAUGUUCAAGUGGCUGCCGUGUUUCACACUCCUCCGUCGUAAGAGUGGAAACGGUUGCUGUAAUCAUUUUUUCUUCAAAAAAACAAUGGACACGCUCUACCGUGCGGAUCCUCCUCCAGCCAAGCACUAAAUUACUCACUUUCGCCGACGUGUGGGACAGCCAGCAUCGGGGUCCACCAGCCAUGCACUAAAUUACUCCGUAGUAGAGUGACGGUAGACUAACCCGAUCGAAGCGCCGCAGUAAUGCCCAAUGAGCCGUCAAAUCACAAAACCCCCUCCUUUCCAGUAGUAAGUUGGACGGAUGAAGCAACCAUCAUUUCACUCUUCUCUCUCAGCUUCCUCUCUACCCAACUCGCUUCUCCCUCAGCUUCCUCUCUACCCAACUCGCUUCUCCCUCAUAUUGUUCCUCAUUUCUUCAAGAAAAUCCCGACCUGCUUCUGCCAUUGUUCUUCUCUCCCAAAUAAGGAAAGGUGAGCGCAUCAAUGGUGUUGAUUCUGGCCAAGACCCAGUCUUGCAACCCCGAGACUGAUCCUAUAACUCCCUCUCUUUUCUUCUUUUGGGUUUGUGAUUAUGGUUUAUUUUCUUUUAUUUCUAUUUGAUAGUUUCUUGAUGGACGCUGGAGCACCGGCCGAAGUGAUGUCUAUGGCUCUGGCCUUAACCAUCGAGGCUCAUGGUACGAAGAAGCGCAAGCACCCCGCCGAGACUACCGCAGACAAGCUCAAAGCCAUCACCCUGUCCAAGCCCCCCUCUCCGGGAUCCCUCAUUAAGCAAGUCCAGGUAAUAUCUCUUCUUGACGAUCUUUUUCUCGAUCUUGAUCGUGUUUUUUCAUCUAACACGCAGUACUAGUACUAGUAGUACAACUUUCUGGGUGAUCUUGCAUGUGAUUUUUGUGUGCCAAAUGACGGUUCUAAAUUCCUCUUUUGACCAAAACAUGCGAGAGGUUGACACUGAUUUCUUAUAGAUUACUUUCAACUACUCCCUCUGUCCCAAAUUUCUUGUCUUAGAUUUGUCUAGAUAUGGAUGUAUCUAAUACUAAAAUGUGACUUGAUACAUCUGUAUCUAGACAAAUCUAAGACAAGAAUUUUGGGACGGAGGGAGUACUUUAUGAACAUCAAUGCUACCUUUGAAGAGGGUAUAUUUGCCUUAGUAACUUGUGUUAUGGAUAUUGCAAGUAAUCCCUCUGCUCUCAUGCCUUUGAAGACAUGUUCUAGUGUCUUUGUUCACUCAUUUCUGUGCGUAUAUGUAGUCAUAUAUGGAGUAUAAUAUCAAAAAUCAUCUUAUAUUUCUGAACAGAGGUAGUAAUAAAAUAUGGUUUCUGUUUGAAUUAGAACCAGGUCCGCGGUGGAGAUGAAGUUCUCAAAGUCAUGCCAUGUGAACUGGAAGACCUGAGGAUGAGUUCUACUGCUAAACUAUCCAUCUGCUGUGUCCUUGUCGCCACGUGUCCUGAACUAGUGUUUUCCUGUAGCAUUGUUGUCAGGCGUGUUCUCGAGGCUGUACUUGACCACAACAAUUUCCUGGCUGUGCCUUCGAUUACAAAGGGUGUGGUUCUUGUAAAGCUUCCCAACAAAUCUGAUGCGGCCUGUCUUCAUGAUCAUGUUUAUGAGUGGAAAGAACACUCUGUUAGGUUCUCCAAGGUUGACGAGAUGGUGAUGGUGCAUGUAGACAUCUCUCAUGAAGUCCAUGGCCUAGUCAGUUAUGCGGGGUUCAUCCCGUAGGUCAGUGGCAAGAAAUAGUCUGCAGAGUUUAAUUAGUGCAACUUUGCUUGUCUAUAGUAAGUGCUAUUGUUCAGUACUUGAUUUGUGUUUGUGAACCCUGUAUUUUUUAAUAGUACUGCCGCUUUUGGUGUGUGGUCAGUCCUGAGAACGGUCUAUGUUAAUGUCUGUCCACUCAAUUCAGUCUGUAUAUUUUGAAGUGUCCAGAUCAUCUUUUUUGUGAGGACGGUUUAUCAAUUAUGGUUACACUCCAAUAUCUGUAUGCAUUGCAGUGUUUAUCGCACCCACCAGGAUUUCCAGUCCCAUGGAUGUUCGAUCCAUACGAUUUGUCACGACCUUUGGACUGUCCUGCUUGUGGGAGUAGGUGGGGUCCCUACAUGCCACUCGUAGUUGGACGAUCAAUCUUCUGUUUAGUACUUCAACAUAGCGAUUUCCUGGUAAGGAUUCACUCGUGUCACAUCAAGUAAAUCUUAUUGAUUUACUGUCUAAAUCUUAUUGAUUUAAUGUCAUGUUUUCUUUCUUUUCCUGCAAUUUUACGAUGUAGGUUUUGCCAUGUGACAUUCAUCACAGAAUAAACCAUUUGGUUUGCUCUACGAUGGCUAUUUUUGCAGGUUUCACUUCUUAUGUCAUGUCAGUAACGAAGGCACUGUCCAUCACUUAUAUUA